ACUACGUUUAUGGGUUAUGUAUUAGAGACAACCACAUUCACUUUAAAUAGGGCACCGCGUAUUUCCGUUGAGAUGACACAGUAUAGACUGAGGUUUAGAGAAAUCUAAUCUGUCGUUUCUUGAAAGUUUGGGGCUUCGACACUUAUGUGAAAAAGUUUCAGUCUGAUAAGCUCGAACCCAAAGCGGAUAAAUGCAUCUUCAUAGGAUAUCCAAAACAGUUGGGUACAUCUCCUAUCUCAGAUCCGAAAGCAAAGUGUUUGUUUCUAGAAACGGAUCCUUUCUCGAGGAAAGGUUUCUCUCGAAAGAAUUGAGUGGGAGGGUGGUAGAACUUGAUGAGGUUAUUGAACCAUCACUUCAACCAGUGUGUAGCAGGGCGCGGGAAGUUGUUCCUGUGGCGCCUACACCAAUUGAAGUGGAAGCUGAUCAUGGUGAUCAUCGAGCAUCGGAUCAAGUUACUACAAGCCUCGUAGGUUGACAAGGUCGCGUACUACUGCAGAGUGAUACGGUAACCCUGUCUUGGAGGUCAUGUUGUUGAGCAACAGUGAACCUACGAGUUAUGGAGAAAGCAAUGGUGGGCCCGGAUUCCGACAAAUGGCUGGAAGCCAUGAAAUCCGAAAGAGGAUCCAUGUAUGAAAACAAAGUGUAGACUUUGGAAGAACUACUUGAUGGUCAUAGGACUAUUGAGUAAAGAUGGAUCUUUAAAAGGAAGACGGACGAUGAUGGUGAUAAGUCACUAUUAAGAAAAGCUCGACUUGUCGCAAAGAUGUUACUGACAAGAUCAAACAGUUGACUAUGAUGAGACUUUCUCACUCGUAGCAAUGCUAAAAGUCUGUUAGAAUUAUGUUAGUAGUUGCUGCAUUAUUUAUGAAAUAUUGCACGUAGGAUGUCAAAACAUUGUUUCCUCGACGGUUUCCUUGAGCAAACAUUGUAUGUGAUACAACCAGUAGGUUUUGUCGAUCCUAAAGAUACUAGCAAGUAUGCAAGCUCCAGUGAUCCUUCGAUGGACUGGUGCAAGCAUCUCAGAGUUGGAAUAUACACUUUGAUGAGAUGAUCAAAGAUUUUGGGUUUGUACAAGGUUUAUGAGAAACUUGUAUUUCCAAAGAAGUGAGUGGGAGCACUAUAGAAUUUCUGAUAUGUAUAUGUGGUUGACAUAUUGUGGAUCAGAAGUAAUGUAGAAUUUCUGUAAAGCAUACAAGGUUGUUUGAAAGGACUUUUCAAAGGAAUACCUGGAUUGCGCUACUUGAACGUUGAGCAUCAAAGAUCUAUGGAGAUAGAUCAAAAGCGCUUAAUGGAAGUUUCAACAAAAUGCAUGCCUUGACAAGUUUUUGAAGGAGUUCAAAAUAGAUCAGCAAAGAAGGAGUUCCUGGUUGCAUUGUAAGGUGUGAAUUUGAGUAAGACUCAAAACCCGACCACGGCAGAAUAAAGAGAAUAGACGAAGGUCGUCUUCUAUGCCUUAGCCGUAGACUCUAAAGUAUGCCAUGCUGAGUACCGCACCUGAUGUGUGCCUUGCAACAAGUCUGUUAAGAGGUACACAGAGUGAUCCAGGAUUGAAUCACCGAUCAACGGUCAAAGUUAUCCUUAGUAACUAAAUAGACUAAGGAAUUUUUCUCGAUUAUGGAGGUGGUUAAAGAGUUCGUCGUAAAGGGUUACGUCGAUGCAAGCUUUGACACUAAUCCGAAUAACUAUGAGUAGUGAAACAGAUUCGUAUAGUAGAGUAGAUAUUUGGAGCAUUUUCGAAUAGCAGGUAGUAGCAGCAUCUAUAAGAUGACAUAAAGAUUUGUAAAGAACGCACGGAUCUGAAAGUUCCAGAACCGUUGACUGAAACCUCUAUCACGAGCAAGACGUGACCAGACCCCAUGGGUGUUGGAUUCGUUGGAAUCACAUGGUGAUGUGAACUAGAUUAUUGACUCUAGUACAAGUGGGAGACUGUUGGAAAUAUGCCCUAGAGGCAAUAAUAAUUAGUUAUUAUUAUAUUUCUUUGUUCAUGAUAAUAGUUUAUUAUCCAUGCUAUAAUUGUAUUGAUUGGAAACACAAUACUUGUGUGGAUACAUAGACAAAACACUGUCCCUAGUAAGCCUCUAGUUGACUAACUCGUUGAUCAAAGAUGGUCAAGGUUUCCUUACCAUAGGCAAGUGUUGUUAGUUUAUAACGGGAUCACAUCAUUAGGAGAAUCAUGUGAUGGACUAGACCCAAACUAAUAGACGUAGCAUGUUGAUCGUGUCAUUUUGUUGCUACUGUUUUCUGCGUGCCAAGUAUUUGUUCCUAUGACCAUGAGAUCAUAUAACUCACUGACACCGGAGGAAUGCUUUGUGUGUAUCAAACGUCGCAACGUAACUGGGUGACUAUAAAGAUGCUCUAUAGGUAUCUCCGAAGGUGUUCGUUUUGUUAGUAUGGAUCAAGACUUGGAUUUGUCACUCCGUGUGACGGAGAGGUAUCUCGGGGCCCACUCGGUAAUACAACAUCACACACAAGCCUUGCAAGCAAUGUAACUUAGUGUAAGUUGCGGGAUCUUGUAUUACGGAACGAGUAAAGAGACUUGCCGGUAAACGAGAUUGAAAUAGGUAUGCGGAUACUGACGAUCGAAUCUCGGGCAAGUAACAUACCGAAGGACAAAGGGAAUGACAUACGGGAUUAUAUGAAUCCUUGGCACUGAGGUUCAAACGAUAAGAUCUUCGUAGAAUAUGUAGGAUCCAAUAUGGGCAUCCAGGUCCCGCUAUUGGAUAUUGACCGAGGAGUCUCUCGGGUCAUGUCUACAUAGUUCUCGAACCCGCAGGGUCUGCACACUUAAGGUUCGACGUUGUUUUAUGCAUAUUUGAGUUAUAUGGUUGGUUACCGAAUGUUGUUCGGAGUCCCGGAUGAGAUCAUGGACGUCACGAGGGUAUCCGGAAUGGUCCGGAAACGAAGAUUGAUAUAUAGGAUGACCUCAUUUGAUUGCCGGAAGGUUUUCGGAGUUACCGGGAAUGACGAAUGGGUUCCGGGUGUUCACGGGGGGGGGGGGCAACCCACCCUGGGGAAGCCCAUAUGCCUUGGGGGUGGCGCACCAGCCCUUGGUGGGCUGGUGGGACAGCCCAAGAAGGCCCUAUGCGCCAAAGGAUAAGAAAUCAAAGAGAAAGAAAAAAAAGGGGAGGUGGGAAAGGAGAGAAGGACUCCACCUUCCAAUCCAAGUUGGAUUCGGUUUGGAAGGGGAGGACUUCCCCCCUUGGCUCGGCCGACCCCCUUGGGGCUCAUUGAGCCUAAAGGCAAGGCCCCUCCCCUCCCACCUAUAUAUACAGAGGUAUUAGGGCUAAUUUGAGACAACUUUUGCCACGGCAGCCCGACCACAUACCUCCACGAUUUUUCCUCUAGAUCGCGUUUCUGCGGAGCUCGGGCGGAGCCCUGCCGAGAUCAGAUCACCACCAACCUCCGGAGUGCCGUCAUGCUGCCGGAGAAAUCAUGUACCUCUCCGUCUCUCUUGCUGGAUCAAGAAGUCUGAGAUCAUCAUCGAGCUGUACGUGUGCUGAACGCGGAGGUGCCGUCUGUUCGGCACUAGAUCGGAUCGGAUCGUGGGACGGGUCGCGGGACGGUUCGUGGGACGGUUCGCGGGGCGGAUCGAGGGACGUGAGGACGUUCCACUACAUGAACCGCGUUUCUUAACGCUUCUGCUGUGCGAUCUACAAGGGUACGUAGAUCGGAAAUCCCCUCUCGUAGAUGGACAUCACCAUGAUAGGACUUCGUGCGCGUAGGAAAAUUUGUGUUUCCCAUGCGACGUUCCCCAACACAUAGACCGUUACAAAACAUGAGAGAAGGCAAAGGAAAGCAGAAGUGGUCGAAGCCAAAGGCCUGGUUCAAUCUUGGAAAGCCAGCUAUGAGGGAAAUUAUCUUGUGGGUCAAAAUGCACUUGAUGUUCCCCGAUGGGUAUGCAGCGAAUCUGAAGAGGGGAGCGAGUCUUGAAAAAUUAAAAAUCUUUGGUCUCAAGAGUCAUGAUUGGCACAUAUGGCUAGAGCGGGUAAUGCCGGUGAUGUUACGUGGCUUUAUUCCUAAGGAUGAAUGGCUAGUACUGGCGGAGCUGAGCUAUUUCUUCCGUGUUCUUUGUGCGGAAGAAUUGUUGCCUGGCAUGGUAGAAGACAUGGAGGAGUUUGCACCGGAGUUGUUGUGCAAGUUAGAGAAGAUCCUUCCACCGGGCUUCUUUAAUCCAAUGCAGCAUUUGAUUUUACAUCUACCGACCGAGGCAAGAUUGGGUGGGCCCGUGCAAGAUCGUUGGUGCUAUGCAACUGAGAGGAUGCAGAAGACCCUUCAAGCUAAAUGUAAAAAUAAGCGUAGAAUUGAAGCGUCGAUGGUUGAGGCAUUCAUUACUGAGGAGGUGGCAAACUUUGCGACAACACACUAUGAAGACAAAAAUCAUCAUUUGCAUAAUCCGAAGCCUCAACACAAUGAUGCAGACCUUAAAAAAGGUGGGUCCAACCUGAGCCUAUUCAAAGGGAAGCUCGCACCAGCCGGUGCUUCGGAACCAAUAACGUUGGAUGUCGAAGAAUGGCGGAACAUUUCGUUGUAUAUCUUCAACAACCUAACAGAAGUGCGGCCGUACAUCGAGUGAGUUCUCGGCACAUUUUCCCGUAAAUUAUAAUUCCUUUGAACUGCUCUUAUUCCCGGAUAUUUCAAACAGCCGUUACAUCGCCAAAUUCUCAGAUGGAGCGGUGAUCGAAAAUGAUUCCGUCGAAGAGUAUGAGCUUCUGUCAAAGACAGGAGGCGGCUAUCCCGGUUUCAUCUCUUGGUUCAAACAAACGGUAAUUAUCAAUAAUGGACCAUUUCAUUUCUUGGUCUAACUUGCGGCUAAUGGCUAAUGGUUUUGACUAUAAGGAUCGUUCAUUUGAGAAAUACAACAUCAACGGGUAUCUCUUUCGUACCUUUGGCAAAGAGCUAUCUAUGCCCGACCGGAAAUCUACAAAUUGUGGUGUCUGUGCUAUCGGCGAAGGUGUUAUCGAGUAUUAUGGAAGAGUUGAAGCAAUUUAUGAACUUCAAUUCUAUGGUGAAAACCCACCGAACGUCGUAGUCUUCAAAUGUUAUUGGUUCCAGCCGAAGGAGACUAGAAGGACUCAUGAACAUAUAGGACUAGUCGAAAUCAAUCCAAACACCAAUUUAGAUGUUCCCGAUGUCUAUAUUACAGCUCAACAGGCGACCCAAGUUUUAUAUCUACCGUGGGCAUGCCAAAUUGAUAAGAAUUUGGAAGGUUGGUAUGUUGUUUAUGAAGUGCCGCCACAUGUCAGACCACCUCUCCCAAAUGAACAGGAUUAUGAACCUCACAUUAACCCAGACACAUAUGAUGGAGAAUUCUUCCAAGAAACACGUCUUUCCAAGAAACGUUUCAAGAACCGCCGUGCUUCACCCAAGAACAUGGAAGUAGACAGCGACAAUGAAUCCGACUCCACCCCUGAGCCGGAACCAGAAGACCUGGAACUCGUAGAGGUUAUUGAUGCGGAUGACCUGUCAAUGCUUCCACGAUUAAAGAAAGGCCUUUCACAACUUCACGCCGUUGAACCCGACGAGCACGCCAUUCAUGAAGACAUGUGUGAUAGUGAUGAUGAUGAUGCAUUUAUUGAUGAUGAUUAGUAGUUUGUAAGAUUCACAACUUAAAUUAUAUAUUUUUUAAUCUUUAUUAUUCAUGUACAUAUUAUUAUUCAUGUCAGUUAUUCAAUUUUUUUAUGUUGUACUAAUUUCUUUUAAUCUUUAUCAUGGCAGGUCACCAGGUGUUGAAAGAUGGUGGGCGCUGGUCCAGAGCGCUCGACAGGUUCUUCCCAGCCGCCCCGCACGAGGGGUGGUACUUCCCUUCCACCCCUAUCUCUCCGUAGAGCCUUGGCAGACAUUCUGUCGACACCACCCGUGGGUUCUUCUUCGUCGGCGGCAUUGCCCACUGGGAGAGGUGCUGGUCGGGUAGGGAAGAAGGGGAAGGGUACAGGGAGAGGUGGUGGCCGCGGAAGAUCCAGGAGGACUGUUGAACCGUCCUCGCCACCACCACCAGCUCAUUCACCCGAGCAUAGGACUACUAUGGUCGACCCGUUUGCGGAGGAGGCUACGGGGACUCCGGUCCAGGAGCCUAGUGUUGACGGGCAUUCGUCCCAUGAGACUCCGGUCCAGGAUUAGCCUCGGGUCGAGGUGCAUUCGGCCCACGAGACUACGGUUCCGGAGGCUUCACCCGACGUGGAGAGGCCCGGAUGGGAUACCUGGCCGGAUUGGACCGAGGGUCCGGAUGGCUCAGGGGGCGGGGAUGGCGGGGAUGAGUUUACGGAUAGUGAGGGCGAUGUGCAGGUGGACGGGGCCACCGUGUACAAUUGUGGUAGUACAUGUCUCCCGGUCGUGCCGGCUACCCGCGAGCACAGGCCGGUGAUUAAACGUGAAGGAGAUAGGUAAGUACAUUUACUCUUUUUUUAGAUUUUGCCUUCAAGUUUGUUCAAAUAUCGAAUGCGUUGACCUUAUCAUAAUGCAGGGAAUGGGCACACCCUUGUGGAGUCUGCAAGCCGAACUCCGUCCUUGGUGUGUUUUGCCGGACAAAUUUCCCGGGGUUUGUCACGUUGCCUGGUGAGGGUCAGGUUCCUACACUAGGAUUUUCCUGGGAGCAGUACUAGGCUGCGCCGGCCCCGUCGGAGGAGAUUAUAGAUGGUGUGUUGUGCCACACGAGGGCCGAGAUGGUGAUCAAGAGCUUUUGGGUAAAUUAUCCUUUUACACAAUCUAAAAUUAACAAUAUAGCUAAUUAUUGUACUAAUCGGUGUUUUCACGUUUGAUUGCAGACCUUCUAUAGGUGUGAGGAUGGAUAUGAGGAGGAGGCGGCCAAGGUUCUCGAGGCCAAGUGUAGGCGGUUACUACAGAACUUAUGCCACGAGACUCGGUCGCAGGCUAUUCGAGACUACUACGCCACGCGUGGUAUUAAGAAGUAGAAGAAGGAUUGCCGCAGAAAGUUUCUCAAGAAGGAGCAAUACAUGAAGGUAAUUACCUAUUCUUAAGUCCUUCUACGUAGUUUUCUUGAUUUCAUUCAUAGGCGUAGCACUCAAAAUUCUUUCUAAUAACUUACAGGUGCUCCCGAGAUGGUGUGCGGAUAAAAUGGAUUAUUGGGAGGCGUUGGUUGAUGAGUGGUGCACAUGCAGCUGGCGAGCCGUCCACGAGAAUGCGAAGGAUCGGCGUAGCCAAAUGGUUGGUGUGCCACACCAUCAAGGCAGUGCUAACUUACUUCAGUUCGGACGAAACUGAGUAUGUGAUUUGCUUCAUGAUUCAUGCAAUUCAUUCUUCAUGCUAAUAUUUUGUUCCUCUCUUUUAGGCGCAUCACAAUAAGACGGAGAUGCCACACUUGUAAGACCUUUAUGGCAUGGCCCAUACUGCCUCGUACAAGAAGGCGAAGGCAUUCUCUGAGUCUGCCUAGAUGAUCCAAAUAACUUCAUCAACAUAUCAUCCCACCACAAGCUCGUGACAUACAGGGACACGGGGAAGGCUCCGAAAGGGGAUGACUUUAACCCGAGCCAGGAACCUUUGGAUCCAGAGCUGGUGAUGGUAUGUGGUGGCGGGAGGACCCAUGGCUCGAUAGCCAUUGGAGAUGGGAUAAUACGUUGUCCACUCACUCUCCCGGAGAUCAAGGCGCGCCAGUUGAGCAGCUGUCCUGAGAUAAUGCGUCGUCCACGACCAGUCGAUCUUGCCAUCGAGGUUAGUUGUACGGACUAAGAAAACUUUCAUCCAUUUCAUUAUGUGUGUCACCAUAGAUCAUUACUGUGGUAACGAGGAAUGGUGUUUCAGGCUGCUCUUCAGAAAGAGAGAGCGGCAAACCAGGCUGCUCUUGAGAAAGAGAGAUUGGCAAGCCAGGCUGCUCUUUAGGCUUCUCUUGAUGAGAGGGAGCAGACCAUGACACGAUUGAUUGAGGAGGAGAGGGCCCGGAAUGAGGCGGGUCAACGGGCCCUGCACGAGCUUUUUGUGGUAUGGUUUUUUUCACAUUAGCCAAAUCAUGUGUGUAAUGUCUGUUUCAUUACUAACUAAUACGACCCACUCUUCAGGGUCUGUGCGAGAAGAGCGGUCAAGUCCCUCCGCCGAUGCCCGUCUUCUCUUUGAUUGGAAUGGUGAGUUUCAUUAUAAACUAGUAUUAAUAAUUGAGUGUCACCAUGCUAACUGAGACAUUGCAAAAUAUCUUUUGUGCAGAAUAACUCCCGAACGUCAUCGCACGACCCUUCUCCAGGUGUUUCUCCUCCUUGAUGACCACUACGGUAAGUUUCUCUUCUCCUCUUUCAUAUUAUCCUUGCCUUAAUUUCCCCAACAAUGACAUAAUUAGCCCAUUUAGCUCCAAAAUGCCAUAAUAACCUCAAAAUGGCAUACGAACCUUAGUUAGCUCAUUAAUAUUAUAUACUUAGCUAGUUUUCCUCUAAAAGUGUAUAAUUAGCCCAUAUAGCUCCAAAAAGACAUAGUUAGCUAACUGAGCUCCAAGAAGAGGAGAAGAAAUAGGAAAAAUGAAAAGAAAGAAGAAGAAGANNNNNNNNNNNNNNNNNNNNNNNNNNNNNNNNNNNNNNNNNNNNNNNNNNNNNNNNNNNNNNNNNNNNNNNNNNNNNNNNNNNNNNNNNNNNNNNNNNNNNNNNNNNNNNNNNNUCCUCUUUCUUCUCAUGUUUCAUAUUCUCCUUGCCUUAAUUUCCUCAACAAUGACAUAAUUAGCCCAUUUAGCUCCAAAAAGACAUUAUAAGCUCAAAAUGGCAUAAGAACCUGGGUUAGCUCAUUAAUAUUAUAUACUUAGCUUGUUUUCCUCUAAAAUGGGAUAAUUAGUCCAUUUACCUCCAAAAAGACAUAGUUAGCUAAUUUAGCUCCAAGAAGAGGAGAAUAGGAGAAAUGAAAAGGAAGCACAAAAAGAAGAAGAGAAAGGGAAGAUAAGGNNNNNNNNNNNNNNNNNNNNNNNNNNNNNNNNNNNNNNNNNNNNNNNNNNNNNNNNNNNNNNNNNNNNNNNNNNNNNNNNNNNNNNNNNNNNNNNNNNNNCAAUAGCAUGUGGAAGAGAGACCCUUAUAAAGGGGUCCAAACUCUCCUCCACUAGCGGGGUGGGACUAAACUCCUACCACCUUGUCAUGCCACCACCUACAUGGGCCCUUGGAGAUUUUCUGAAAUUCUCUAAUGGACGUAAAGCCCACCUCCAAAUUUCAACAAGGCGUGUCGCCGGCUGUUGACCACCGCCAUCUUGUUCCACGCUGGAGCGGGUCGGUGCAGAGGCCAGAGGAGACCAGGCCGAGGACCGCAGACAGUGCGCGCUAUGCGUCGGUGGACGCAUCACGACCAAAGGCCAGAUGAAAUAGANNNNNNNNNNNNNNNNNNNNNNNNNNNNNNNNNNNNNNNNNNNNNNNNNNNNNNNNNNNNNNNNNNNNNNNNNNNUUUCUUGAUUCACGUUCUCUAAAAUAAUUUAGAGUCGAUGGAUGCCGAUGCCCUUGUUCUUAAUUCUUCGUUCAUUUCCUGCAAGGAACCGCUCUUGAAGAAACAAUUAGAGAUCGAGGAUUUGUGCUGUUGCACUCCACGGUGCGAGGCUGCCGUCUUGGAUUGGAAACGCUUCCGGCACGCUGAGGGCCGCCGAGUUAGUGGGCGCCACCACGCCUUGUCGAGGGUUGUGGCCGUCGAACUCUCUUUUCAUGCAGUAGCCGAGAACACCGCAUCGAUGGAAUCGCUCCGCCGGGAGCGUGCUGAUAACGUGUUUGAAAAUGAAUUCUUNNNNNNNNNNNNNNNNNNNNNNNNNNNNNNNNNNNNNNNNNNNNNNNNNNNNNNNNNNNNNNNNNNNNNNNNNNNNNNNNNNNNNNNNNNNNNNNNNNNNAAAAAACUUGCGACCAGUAACCCCCAAGGGCCGGGUCAUCAGUAAAAAGAUGAGCCGGGUCUUGAUAUUGUAUAAUUUUAUCUGAGAAAAAAUUAUACAUUAGCCCCCAAGUGUCAGGGAUAUUGCUUGCAAUAGUUCUGAGACUUGCCCCUUUUUGUACUUUCAACAGGAAACUCUUGCUCAGACUGAAUCGGCGCUUGGCGAGUUAAAGAAAAACUUAUCUGGUCAGCAAGAUGCCCGAGCUAAGUCGGAGGAGAAAUAUCAAUUGGCGUUGGCUAAGCUGGAAAAACUCAAAGCCGAUUUGAAAAGAGCUCAAGCUGACCAAGAUGCCGCCAUAAAAAGAGCAGAGAAGGCUGAAGCCAGGCUGGCUACUGUGCAACAGGAAUUGUCCGGCUUGAAGCGUCAUAUCUCAAACAUGACGCAAGCCGUCUUCGGUAAACUUACUCAAACUUUUGGUCUCGGGGGAAAUAACUCUUAUCAUAAGUCGCUGAUCAUCAUGACCCCUUACUCAGGUCCGAGAGCCUCCAACCUUCACGAAGACUGUGUGCUGAUGCUAAAGGCGAUUUACACGCUAACAGAGCAAAUGUACACCGGCAGUGUCUUGACUGUUAAAGCUGUGAUGGGUGCCAAAGAGCCUAUAACUUCCAUAAAGAAAGUGCUUGGCUUCCUAUCCACACUUCCCCCUCAGAUUGGCGAGCUAACUCGGUCAGCCGCCCGAAAGGGUGUUCUGACUGCCCUGAGUUGCUGCUUGGCUUAUGCUCCAGAGAUUAAUCCGGAAGAGGUAGCAGCAGGCUUUCCUCAACUUAAAGAUGAUGGGUCAGAAUUCGUCGAAGAGGACUACCAACGUGUUGUCAAGGACUCCCGGCUGGCAGCAACCCAACUCGCAGCUAGUCUUUAUUUAUCAAAAUAUCAGGCGGCUUAUGACAACAAAAACAAGAAGGUCAACCCGCCAACCUUUGUGACGACCAGCUUAACUCCUUGGCGACCCAAGAACCCUUUUGACUUGGAAGCAGACCUGGCAUCAAUCCUGACUGAUGAAGAUGACUUCGCAGCUCUGGCUAAGUGCAACUGGGUACUGGGCAAUCUGCAAAUUGAGGUCGGUCAAAGCUCACAGCAGAAUGAUCCUAAGGCGCCAGCAGAAUAAACCUCAUUGAUUUGGCCUGAGAGCCAUGUAAUAGGUCUUUUUCAUCAGUCGGUAUUGUUUUUGUGAUACUCUUCGAAAGAAUCUUUAUAUCGCCCUUAGGGCGAUUUAAAAUAUUUGACCUGCCUUUUGAGAAUCCUUUAUGAUGCUUAAUCCUCCAUGGACGAAGUAAUUCUGAUCAUCAUCCCGACUUAAGCUUUGAAAAUGACAUAUGUGAAACCAAACAAAUGAUAACAAAUAUUUUCAAUAGGAAACAGAAAGAAAGGUUUAAAACCCCCGAGGCUAUGCCACGAAGAAACAUGAAAAACAGCAAUUUCGUCGGCUCAUAAGGACGCGACAGGAUGGGGCGAGUCAGAAAGCUCGAACACACACCCUAAAUGCAGGUUUCGUCGGCUCAUAAGGUCGCGACAGGAUGAGGCGAGUCAGAAAGCUCGAGCGCACACCCUAAAUGCAGGUUUCGCCGGCUCAUAAGGUCGCGACAGGAUGAGGUGAGUCAGAAAGCUCGAGUACACACCCUAAAUGCAGGUUUCGUCGGCUCAUAAGGUCGUGACAGGAUGAGGCGAGUCACAAAGCUCGUGCACACACCCUAAAUGCAGGUUUCAUCGGCUCAUAAGGUCGCGACAGGAUGAGGCGAGUCAGAAAGCUCGUGCACACACCCUAAAUGCAGGUUUCNNNNNNNNNNNNNNNNNNNNNNNNNNNNNNNNNNNNNNNNNNNNNNNNNNNNNNNNNNNNNNNNNNNNNNNNNNNNNNNNNNNNNNNNNNNNNNNNNNNNGAAGAUUGAUAUAUAGGAUGACCUCAUUUGGUUACCGGAAGGUUUUCGUGCAUUACCGGAAAAGUUUCGGGCUCAUCGGUAGUGUACCGGGAGUGCCGGGAGGGGUGUCGGGGACCAUCGGGAGGGGUGUCACGCCCCAAGGGGUCUCAUGGGCUAUGGGAAGAGAUAAACCAGCCCCUAGUGGGCUGGAAUAAGUUCCCACUAAGGCCCAUAAGGUUUGAGAAGGAAAAAACACAAGGUGGAAAGAGUUUCCAAGUGGGAAGGUGGAAUCCUACUCCAAGUAGGAUUGGAGUAGGACUCCUCCACCUCCAAUUUCGGCCAAACCUUUAGGUUUUGAGGCUGCCUCCUCCCCUCCCUCCCACCUAUAUAUACGGAGGUUUUAGGGCUGAUUUGAGACGACUUUCUCACGGCUGCCCGACCACAUAUCUCCAUAGUUUUUCCUCUAGAUCGCGUUUCUGCGGAGCUCGGGCGGAGCCCUGCUGAGACAAGAUCAUCACCAACCUCCGGAGCGCCGUCACGCUGCCGGAGAACUCUUCUACCUCUCCGUCUCUCUUGCUGGAUCAAGAAGGCCGAGAUCAUCGUCGAGCUGUACGUGUGCUGAACGCGGAGGUGCCGUCCGUUCGGUACUAGAUCGUGGGACUGAUCGCGGGAUUGUUCGCGGGGCAGAUCGAGGGACGUGAGGACGUUCCACUACAUCAACCGCGUUCACUAACGCUUCUGCUGUACGAUCUACAAGGGUACGUAGAUCACUCAUCCCCUCUCGUAGAUGGACAUCACCAUGAUAGGUCUUCGUGCGCGUAGGAAUUUUUUUUUUCCCUUGCGACGUUCCCCAACAGUGGCAUCAUGAGCUAGGUUCAUGCGUAGAUGUCUUCUCGAGUAGAACACAAAAGGUUUUGUGGGCGGUGAUGUGCGUUUUGCUGCCCUCCUUAGUCUUUUCUUGAUUCCGCGGUAUUGUUGGAUUGAAGCGGCUUGGACCGACAUUACUCGUACGCUUACGAGAGACUGGUUUCAUCGUUACGAGUAACCCCCUUUGCUCAAAGAUGACUGGCAAGUGACGGUUUCUCCAACUUUAGUUGAAUCGGAUUUGACCAAGGAGGUCCUUGGAUGAGGUUAAAUAGCAACUCAUAUAUCUCCGUUGUGGUGUUUGCGUAAGUAAGAUGCGAUCCUACUAGAUACCCCCGGUCACCACGUAAAACUUGCAACAACAAAAUUAGAGGACGUCUAACUUGUUUUUGCAGGGUAUGCUUGUGAUGUGAUAUGGCCAACGAUGUGAUGUGAUAUAUUCGAUGUAUGAGAUGAUCAUGUUGUAAUAGAAAUAUCGACUUGCACGUCGAUGGUACGGCAACCGGCAGGAGCCAUAGGGUUGUCUUUAUAACUAACGUUUGUGCUUGCAGAUGCGUUUACUAUUUUGCUAGGACGUAGCUUUAGUAGUAAUAGCAUGAGUAGCACGACAACCCCGAUGGCGACACAUUGAUGGAGAUCAUGAUGAUGGAAAUCAUGGUGUGACGCCGGUGACAAGAAGAUCGUGCCGGUGUUUUGGUGAUGGAGAUCAAGAAGCACGUGAUGAUGGCCAUAUCAUGUCACUUAUGAAUUGCAUGUGAUGUUAAUCCUUUUAUGCACCUUAUUUUGCUUAGAACGACGGUAGCAUUAUGAGGUGAUCUCUCACUAAAAUUUCAAGACCAAAUUGUGUUCUCCCCGACUGUGCACCGUUGCUACAGUUCGUCGUUUCGAGACACCACGUGAUGAUCGGGUGUGAUAGACUCAACGUUCACAUACAACGGGUGCAAAACAGUUGCGCACGCGGAACACUCGGGUUAAGCUUGACGAGCCUAGCAUGUGCAGACAUGGCCUCGGAACACAUGAGACCGAAAGGUCGANNNNNNNNNNNNNNNNNNNNNNNNNNNNNNNNNNNNNNNNNNNNNNNNNNNNNNNNNNNNNNNNNNNNNNNNNNNNNNNNNNNNNNNNNNNNNNNNNNNNAAUUAGAGGACGUCUAACUUGUUUUUGCAGGGUAUGCUUGUGAUGUGAUAUGGCCAAUGAUGUGAUGUAAUAUAUUGGAUGUAUGAGAUGAUCAUGUUGUAAUAGAAAAUAUCGACUUGCACGUCGAUGGUACGGCAACCGGCAGGAGCCAUAGGGUUGUCUUUAUACUAAUGUUUGUGCUUGCAGAUGCGUUUACUAUUUUGCUAGGAUGUAGCUUUAGUAGUAAUAGCAUGAGUAGCACGACAACCCCGAUGGCGACACGUUGAUGAAGAUCAUGGUGUGGCGCCGGUGAUAAGAAGAUCGUGCCGGUGCUUUGGUGAUGGAGAUCAAGAAGCACGUGAUGAUGGCCAUAUCAUGUCACUUUGAAUUGCAUGUGAUGUUAAUCCUUUUAUGCACCUUAUUUUGCUUAGAACGACGGUAGCAUUAUGAGGUGAUCUCUCACUAAAAUUUCAAGACCAAAUUGUGUUCUCCCCGACUGUGCACCGUUGCUACAGUUCAUCGUUUCGAGACACCACGUGAUGAUCGGGUGUGAUAGACUCAACGUUCACAUACAACGGGUGCAAAACAGUUGCGCACGCGGAACACUCGGGUUAAGCUUGACGAGCCUAGCAUGUGCAGACAUGGCCUCGGAACACAUGAGACCGAAAGGUCGAUCAUGAAUCAUAUAGAUGAUAUGAUUAGCAUAGGGAUGCUUACCACUGAAACUAUACUCAACUCACGUGAUGAUCGGACUUGAGCUAGUGUAAGUGGAUCAUGAACCACUCAAAUGACUAGAGAGAUGUACUUUUUGAGUGGGAGUUUAGCAAAUAAUUUGAUUGAGUUGAACUCUAAUUAUCUUGAACAUAGUCCAAGUCCACUUUGAAUAUGUUUGUGUUGUAGAUCAUGGCUCACGCAACUGUCACCCUGAAUUUUAAUACGUUCCUAGAGAAAGCUAAGUUGAAAGAUGAUGGAAGCAACUUUGUAGACUGGGCUCGUAAUCUUAAGCUAAUCUUACAAGCUGGGAAGAAGGGUUAUGUCCUUAGUGCUGCACUAGAAGAUGGACCACCCGCUACGGCUGAUCAGGAUGUUAAAGAACGUUUGGUUAGCACGUAAGGAGGACUACUCAAUAGUUCAAUGUGCAGUCUUGUAUGGCUUAGAACCGGGACUUCAACGUCGCUUUGAGCAUCAUGGAGCAUUUGAGAUGUUCCAGGAGUUGAAGUUCAUCUUUUAGAAGAACGCCCGGAUCGAGAGGUAUGAGACCUCCGAUAAAUUCUAUGCUUGCAAGAUGGAGGAGAACUCGUCUGUCAGUGAACAUGUGCUCAAAAUGUCUGGGUACUCAAACCGUCUAGCUGAGCUGGGAAUUGAACUCCCGCAAGAAGCUAUCACUGACAGAACCCUUCAAUCGCUGCCGCCAAGCUAUAAAGGCUUUGUGUUGAACUACAACAUGCAAGGGAUGAACAAGUCACCCGGCGAGUUGUUUGCGAUGCUGAAAGUCGUAGAGUCUGAACUCCGUAAAGAGCAUCAAGUGUUGAUGGUGAAUAAGACCACUAGUUUCAAGAGAAACGGCAAAGGCAAGAAGGGUAAUUCAAAGAAGAGCGGCAAGCCUGUUGCUAAUCUGACGAAGAAACCCAAAGCUGGACCUAAGCCUGAAACAGAGUGCUUCUAUUGCAAGGGUAUGGGUCACUGGAAGCGCAACUGCCCCAAGUAUCUGUCUGAUAAGAAGGCGGCCAAAGAAAAAUCAGGUAUAUUUGAUAUACAUGUUAUUGAUGUGUACUUAACCGGUUCUCGUAGUAGUGCCUGGGUAUUCGAUACCGGUUCUGUUGCUCAUAUCUGCAAUUCGAAACAGGAACUACGGAGUAGACGAAGGCUGGCGAAAGAUGAAGUGACGAUGCGCGUAGGAAAUGGUUCCAAGGUUGAUGCAAUCGCCGUCGGCACAGUUUCACUUCAGUUACCAUCAGGAUUAGUGAUGAACUUAAAUCAUUGUUAUUUAGUGCCUGCGUUGAGCAUGAACAUUAUAUCUGGAUCUUGUUUAUUGCGAGACGGUUACUCUUUUAAGUCAGAGAAUAAUGGUUGUUCUAUUUCUAUGAGUAAUAUCUUUUAUGGUCAUGCAUCCAAUGUGAGAGGUUUGUUCAUAUUGAAUCUUGAUAGCGAUACGCAUAUACAUAACAUUGAGACCAAAAGAAUUAGAGUUAACAAUGAUAGCGCCAUAUUUUUGUGGCACUGCCGCUUAGGUCAUAUUGGUGUAAAGCGCAUGAAGAAACUCCAUGCUGAUGGACUUUUGGAGUCACUUGACUUUGAUUCACUUGACACGUGCGAACCAUGCCUCAUGGGCAAGAUGACUAAGACUCCGUUCUCCGGAACAAUGGAGCGUGCAAGUGACUUAUUGGAAAUCAUACAUACCGAUGUGUGUGGUCCGAUGAGCGUGGAGGCACGCGGCGGAUAUCGUUAUUCUCUCACCUUCACUGACGAUUUGAGUAGAUAUGGUUAUGUCUACUUGAUGAAGCACAAGUCUGAAACAUUUGAAAAGUUCAAGCAAUUUCAGAGUGAAGUGGAAAAUCAUCGUGACAAGAAGAUCAAGUUCCUACGGUCUGAUCGUGGGGGUGAAUAUCUGAGUUUCGAGUUUGGUGCUCACUUAAGACAAUGUGGAAUUGUUUCACAGUUAACACCGCCUGGAACACCACAGCGUAAUGGUGUGUCCGAACAUCGUAAUCGUACUUUAUUAGAGAUGGUGCGAUCUAUGAUGUCUCUUACCGAUUUGCCAUUAUCUUUUUGGGGUUAUGCAUUAGAAACAACUGCAUUUACUUUAAAUAGGGCACCAUCAAAAUCCGUUGAGACGACACCAUACGAACUGUGGUAUGGCAAAAAACCAAAGUUGUCGUUUCUUAAAGUUUGGGGAUGUGAUGCUUAUGUCAAAAAGCUUCAGCCUGAAAAGCUGGAACCCAAAGCGGAAAAGUGCGUCUUCAUAGGUUACCCAAAAGAGACAGUUGGGUACUCCUUCUAUCUCAAAUCCGAGGGCAAAGUGUUUGUUGCUAAAAACGGAGCUUUUCUCGAGAAGGAGUUUCUCUCGAGAGAAUUGAGUGGGAGGAAGAUAGAACUUGACGAGGUUGUCGAACCUCUCAUCCCUCUGGAUGGUGGCGCAGGGCAAGGGGAAACCUCUAUCGUUGCGACGCCGGCUGAGGAGGAAGUUAAUGAUGAUGAUCAUGAAACUCCAGUUCAAGUUUCUGUCGAACCACGCAGGUCGACGAGACAACGUGCUGCUCCAGAGUGGUACGGAAAUCCCGUCUUAUCAAUCAUGUUGUUAGACAACAAUGAACCUGCAAAUUAUGAGGAAGCAAUGGUGGGCCCAGAUUCCAACAAAUGGCUAGAAGCCAUGAAGUCCGAGAUAGGAUCCACGUAUGAAAACAAAGUGUGGACUUUGGAAGUACUACCUGAGGGCCGCAAGGCUAUUCAGAACAAAUGGAUCUUUAAGAGGAAGUAGGACGCUGACGGCAAUGUGACCGUUUAUAAAGCUCGACUUGUGGCAAAGGGUUUUUCACAAGUUCAAGGAGUUGACUACGAUGAGACAUUCUCACCCGUAGCGAUGCUUAAGUCCGUCAGAAUCAUGUUAGCAAUAGCUGCAUUUUUCGAUUAUGAAAUAUGGCAGAUGGAUGUCAAAACGGCGUUCCUUAACGGUUUCCUUAAGGAAGAGUUGUAUAUGGUACAACCCGAAGGUUUUGUCGAUCCUAAGAAUGCUAACAAAGUGGGCAAGCUCCAGCGAUCCAUUUACGGACUGGUGCAAGCAUCUCGGAGUUGGAACAAACGCUUUGAUGAGGUGAUCAAAGCAUUUGGGUUUAUACAAGUGGUUGGAGAAUCUUGUAUUUACAAGAAAGUGAGUGGGAGCUCUGUGGGGUUUCUAAUAUUAUAUGUGGAUGACAUAUUGCUGAUUGGAAACAACGUGGAGUUUUUGGAGAGCAUAAAGGAUUAAUUGAAUAAAAGUUUCUCUAUGAAGGACCUAGGAGAAGCUGCUUACAUUCUAGGCAUUAAGAUCUAUAGGGAUAAAUCAAAACGCCUGAUAGGACUUUCACAAAGCACAUACCUUGAUAAAGUUUUGAAAAGGUUCAAAAUGGAACAGUCCAAGAAAGGGUUCUUGCUAGUUUUACAAGGUACGAGAUUGAGUAAGACUCAGUGCCCAGCAACUGAUGAAGAUAUAGAGCAUAUGCGCUCCGUCCCCUAUGCUUCAGCCAUAGGUUCUAUCAUGUAUGCAAUGCUGUGCACUAGACCGGAUGUUAGCCUGGCCAUAAGAAUGGCAGGUAGGUUCCAGAGUAAUCCAGGAGUGGAUCACUGGACGGCGGUCAAGAAUAUCCUGAAGUACCUAAAAAGGACUAAGGAGAUGUUUCUCGUGUAUGGAGGUGACGAAGAGCUCACCGUAAAAGGUUACGUCGAUGCAAGCUUUGACACAGAUCCAGACGACUCUAAGUCGCAAACCGGAUACGUAUUUAUUCUUAAUGGGGGUACGGUAAGCUGGUGCAGUUCCAAGCAAAGCGUCGUAGCAGAUUCUACAUGUGAAGCGGAGUACAUGGCUGCCUCGGAGGCGGCUAAGGAGGGUGUCUAGAUGAAGCAGUUCAUGACGGAUCUUGGAGUGGUGCCAAGCGCACUGAAUCCAAUAACCUUGUUCUGUGACAACACGGGUGCCAUUGCCCUAGCAAAGGAACCACGGUUUCACAAGAAGUCCAGACACAUCAAACGACGCUUCAACCUCAUCCGCGACUACGUCGAGGGAGAGGACGUAAAUAUAUGGAAGGUGCACACGGAUCUGAAUGUAGCAGACCCGCUGACUAAACCUCUUCCACGGCCAAAACAUGAUCAACACCAGAACUGUAUGGGUGUUAGAUUUAUUACAAUGUGAUUCACAUGAUGAUGUGAGGGCUAGAUUAUUGACUCUAGUGCAAGUGGGAGACUGUUGGAAUUAUGCCCUAGAGGCAAUGAUAAAUGUAGUUAUUAUUAUAAUUCCUGUAUCAAGAUAAUCGUUUAUUAUCCAUGCUAUAAUUGUAUUGAAUGAAGACUCUUUUACAUGUGUGGAUACAUAGACAAAACACCAUCCCUAGCAAGCCUCUAGUUGGCUAGCCAGUUGAUCAAAGAUAGUCAGUGUCUUCUGAUUAUGAAAAAGGUGUUGUUGCUUGAUAACUGGAUCACGUCAUUAGGAGAAUCACGUGAUGGACUAGACCCAAACUAAUAGACGUAGCAUGUUGAUCGUGUCAUUUCAUUGCUACUGUUUUCUGCAUGUCAAGUAUUUAUUCCUAUGACCAUGAGAUCAUAUAACUCACUGACACCGGAGGAAUACUUUGUGUGUAUCAAACGUCGCAACGUAACUGGGUGACUAUAAAGAUGCUCUACAGAUAUCUCCGAAGGUGUUGGUUGAGUUAGUAUGUAUCAAGACUGGGAUUUGUCACUCCGUGUGACGGAGAGGNNNNNNNNNNNNNNNNNNNNNNNNNNNNNNNNNNNNNNNNNNNNNNNNNNNNNNNNNNNNNNNNNNNNNNNNNNNNNNNNNNNNNNNNNNNNNNNNNNNNACCCCGGCCUCUGCAUCUGGGAGAUGCAUGCGGUUAUUUUAUUGAUUAUUUUCGAUGACCUUACAAAGCAGUACAACAAUAUGCCUGAAUCCGUCAACUUGCCAACAUCUGCCGCUACUCAUAUCCAUAUGAUGAAGGGGUGCAAGCUGGACCAAAUACCCAGAACUCUCACCUAAGCCUAACAUCUAAAGCCGGAGACCCUGACCGAGCCACAUACCGGGUCCGGGGCACAAACCGGUCCGACACACUCACAUGUGUUGUCGCCGCCAUCUUCCACUAGUCCAUCUUCAGAUCAGAUUGAGCUACCAGCCUAUAGAGGUUGCAAUCAAAAAAGUGGUUUUUCGCUACAUAAUAUAAAAAUGAAAUAGAAGUGUUUGAAAGAGGAUUCAAACCGAGGUCUAUGCAAUAGUUAUUGAAUCUAAUAAUCAACUAAGCCACCUUUCGUUGUUGUCUAUUGUAGAUAAGCAACGUUAUUUGAAUCUUUCUUCUUUCUACCAUAUCAGAAAAAAAUAAUAUAGAUUGGCUUGGUAACUUUGGCAUGACAAGCGUGAUAAAUAUAGUAUGAGUAACAUGAUAACUAUACCAUGAUAAGGCUGGAAAGUACACUACAAGAAGGUUAAAGCAUGGGAUAGUAUGGUAAUUUAUAACAAAAUUACAGGUGAAAUGUUUCAAGAACUUUUUCACCUUGGAUGAAAGAUACCAUGGUGUUUAAACAUAAGAUGUUAGGUCUGUGAUGCAUAAAAUUGUCAUAUAUUUACAUGAAAGUUAUCAGAGGAGUUGUGUUUCAAUGUUUUUUCCUCGAAGUCAAAGUUAACAUGGUGGUUGAAUGUAAGUUAUGAGGUCCUCGGUGCAUAAAUGACCAAGCUAUUUACACAGAAGUUAUCGGGACAUGUUUCAAUAACGUUUUUUCCAUGGGUAAAAAGUUAUCAGUGUGUUGUAUGUAAGUUAUUGGGCGUGUGGUGCAUAAAUUACCAUGCUAUUUCACUAGGUUAUCGGGGGAUAUUUCGAAAACUUUUUGCCCACGGUGAAAAGGUAUCAAUGUGUUUAUAUGUAAGUUAUUAGGUUAGUUGUACGUAAGUUAUCAUGUUAUUUACACAUAAGUUAUCGGGGAUAUAUUUCAACAACCUUUUUAUCCUUGAUGGUCAAAAAAUGGUAUUUUAUUUGAACUUGUGAGGAGACAAGUAGUGGGUGAGUUGGCUAGUGUGUAAAGAUUGCAAUAUUGAAGUCUUGAGUUCAAUCCUGAGCUUUAGCAUGAUUUUUAGGCUAUAAACUACAAGUAUGGAAACUGCUAGCAUCAAGAUUUGUUUCCAACAUCUUUUUGUGCCAAAAGUUAUCAGGUCUGCGAUGUGUGAGUUAUCAAACUAUUCACACAAAAAUUAAUCGAGGGUAUUUCAUCAACGUGCCUUCCUCCACCCGUUCGCCAAAUUGACCAAGAGUGAGGUAAAUAAGUUGUCAAGUCACUGAUGUGUGAGUUACCGUGAUAUUCACGUAAAAUUUAUCAGGGUUAUAUUUCAUCACCUCUCUUCGCCAAAAGUUACCAGGACCGGGCUGCAUAAGUUAUCAGGUCUCCGAUGUGUGAGUUACCAUGCUAUUCACAUCAAAGUUACCGGGGAUAUCUCAUCAACCCCCACCCCCACGCCAAAGUUAUCAGGACUGGGUUAUAUAAGUUAUCAGGUCUGUGAUAUGCGAGAUAUCCUGAUAUUCACACAAAACUGACCGGGGAGUAUCCCCCUCGUAUCCAAAAUUACCACGGUGUCAUCAACUCUACAUGAGUUGGUAAAUAGUAUAGUUAAGUGUGUUAAAGAUUGGACAUUGCAUUAAUUUUUUUGCAAACGUAGAAGAGGAGACAAGUUAAAUAGCCUAUUUGGUUUCAUAUUGUCAAGAAAAAGGAACAUAGGUGAGUUGGUUGGCUAGUUGAGUUACCUCAUUAUAGGUACAAGGAUCAAAUCAUGUUGUGUGCACCAAUUUUUAUAUGUAAAAACAAAGAAAAAACUUAUGAGGGAUCACGCGAAAGAAUCGGAUCGAACGAGCCUCGGGUCGUGCGGAUCUGUCGCUAACGUCCGGUGUGCUGGAUAACAAUGCUAGUUCCUGUCGAUAGAUUGAAAAUUAUCCAAUGUUUAACAACAUCAUAUUUGUUUCUUAUUAUUGAUAAGAUCUCCUAAUCUUGCAAAAUAUUUUGUCGUUAGUUCACGAAUAGUCAUCAAAACUGGACACUGUCCACUGGCAUAAUUCGAUUAUCUUAAAUCUUUAGAAAUGUGAACAACCAUGAAUUUAGAUUGGCUUUUGCAAAAUGUACAAUCCAGGUUCAUAUAUGAUUCUAUCUACCUUUCACAACACAAAAAACCAUCAAGACUCCCUUGCACAAAGUGAACAACUAUAUGAUUACCUAGAAUUCCCGGUUCUGAACAUCAAAGACAGAAUAUAGAACGUUUUUAUAUUCUUUUUACAGAGAAGGUAUAAAGUUUUGUAGUUUGGUUUGCCAUAUAACAUAUGAGUUUGUUUUUUUAAUGCUUUUGGACCUUGCAGGCUCAAUCGAUGGCUCGGGAAGCCUUAUCCCACUUUUCAUAGAUCCUACGUUUCGAAAACAAUGCUAGCGCGACAUCUCCAAAGGAUUGUCUGUUCGGCAUAUUACCUGCAAAACUCCCUAAGUCAGGUAACCUUCAAUGAGACUCCUACAAUAUAUGAUCCAUGUGACUCCAAAAUUAGGUCCAUAAUAGCGUGUGAUUGUUCCCCGGUUAGCAAUUGAGCGUGACGCUUUCCUCACUUUUCAUAUACCAUGCACAUUGUGACAGAAAAAGAGAUAUGAUCAUUAAUUUUUUUACAAAACAACAAAUAUUUAGAAUGUAUUAACUCUCAGACAUUAAGCGGAUUUAUGAUCCGAUUUCACAAUCGGCUCUGUCUUGAUAAGGGGUUUUAUACUAAAUCUCAUAUAUAUGUUUGAACAACAACAACNUAUGUUUGAACAACAACAAAAAUUAAAAGUUGUCACCCAAUGAUUUAUGAAGUUACCACUAUAUUGAACCUAGUAUGGGGUAGUUGCAACUUAAUUAAUCAUGGAAUGAUAACUUUAGGGGUGAUAUAUUAUAUAGCAAAACAUAUGCACGAAAAUGGGUUUAGUAUUGAAACCAUCGUUGAUACCAACGCAACGGUGGCAACAGAUUGCAAAUUUCACAUGCAAAAGAAAACAAAUUGCAAAUUUGGCAAACCGUUUGUUCUAUAUAGUAACAUUUUUCGUUCAGAUAUUGACACUAAGUCCACUGACGACAUCUCUGUGUGCAUAUAGCAGUUGCCCUCUGCAUUUAAAUGUCAACCUACUAGACUGAACGUGUGAGGUUGUGUCGCCCUAGAGUGCAAAGGAGUAAACAUUACUCUAAAAUUUCCACAAAGUUAUAGUGUUGUAAAUUUAUUUGAUUAUGAAUUCUACUAUAUAUGUUUUGUGGUACAAAAACCACAAUGUAUUGGUUAAAUUGAUAAUCAAUGUACUGAAUACAUGUUUGUCGUUUUAAAUAGUGUGGGCAAGUAUCCACGAAAGUACUCCUAGCUCCGCUAAUUCUAAAAUAAUAGUAAUUGGGUGUGAAGCCUACAUUGAUACAGCUUAUGUGGUGGUACUUGCUAAUUCAAUUUUUAGUUUAUUUUGUUCAAAUGUCCUCAAAUAGCACAAAUUGUUUUACUCAUGUAUAGGUUUUUCUCUCCCUUAGAUUUGGGAUAUGAGAAACAUCACUACUCCUUUGUGUGAAUUGUGAAAAAAUCCCAAACGUUGGAAGUCUUAGACUUUUCUCAUACCUCGGAUGACUUAAAUUGAACAUAUUUGUAAAGGUGUGACGGCUAUGGCACCGAGUCAGGAUUGUGAAGAUGAUACACACGUUUCCACCAAGAAACGAAAGAUCGCAUUAUGGAACUUGGGACAUCGGCAGGUGUGUACUCCGUCAACAACAUAUGUGGCAUGUUUCAGUAUUUAAAAGAAUCUAUAUUUUAAAAUUUUGGGUGUGGAAAGGGUUUAAAAAUAACCUUCAGUAUUUACAAAAAUGGGUGAUUACAAGAAUUUAGACUUUAGGCUAAGAGAUUAACUUUGCAUGUGAUCUGACGAGGGGACUUGGUGAGGUGAUGCCACUGGGGCACCGAAGACCCCUUUGCCAUGACCUCAUGUGACAGUUUGACCACCUCGAUACAAAUUACCACCCUAGGGCUAGCGCACAAGAAUAUCCUAACGGAACUUGUCAUAGGUUUCAGCUCCUCGACGAUGUUGAGUCGAGUGAGCUAUUCUUGUGGUGGAGGCAGGAUUUCUAAUUUGGGUGUAAAGAUAUCCAAUUAUUUUUUAAGCCACCAAUUAUAUUUUUUCUUAUUUCUUUGCUCCCCUUGAUAUAUACACAUUUUAUACUAAAACUUUAUAUUUACUAUAUUAAUAUGUUGAAGAGUAUAAUUUUUCAUUACUUAUUUAUCAAAGUUAACCACAAAACAAAGUUAAAUAAUAGAUGUAUCAUUUCUUUAUUUUAUAUUUUUAAUGUAUCAUUACCCCGCAAAAGAUGUGCAUCAUUAAGAGCAACUCAUGUGUUACCCUGAAUUUAAUUUAUACUUUGUAGCAAAAUUUUUAUUUUGAUGAUACUUGUGUAGAUUAUGUAGUUUGCACAUAUCAAUGUUAUAUAUCUCAAAAAAAUAUGGUUUAACUAAUAUUGUAAUAGUAGUUGUAUUAUAUGAUUAUUAGGAAAACAUGUCUAUAGAGUAUUCUGGAGUACAAAUUUAAUCAUAUGUGAGGGUUUGUGUGAGAUAUACUUGUUUUUUGGAGCACCCAUGUAUAAAUUUAAGCAUAUAUUUAUUAAUCCAUAUGUGAGUGAUUACAAAAAGUAUAAAUUUACCAUAUAGCUUCAUUUUUAAAUAUAAGGUUUAUUAGUUUCUUAGAAGUCAAAUAUUGUCUAUGUUUGACCAACUUUAUAGCAAAAUGUAGGGGGGGGGGGGGGGGGGGAUUUACACUAAUAAAUAUGUAUAUAUAACUAUUAUUUUUGUGAAUAUAAUGAUAAUGAUUUAGUAUUCUAGACAUUCAUAUUUUUGUUUCUAAAUUUGGUACAGUUAGAAAGGUUUGAGUAUUUCAAAAAAUAAUACACUUUAUAUUUAUGAGGAAGUUUUCAUUAAAUCAUAUCGAGUAGAUGAAAGCAAUAGAAAUAUAUACUUAAAAAUGGAUAUACAUCUGUAUACCCAUGUACUCUUUUAGUUCCAUCAUGACAAAGGCUCUACGGACGGGCUGUCUGUAAGCGCUUAGGGUCAUAGUAGAGAGUAACUUAGAUUAGUAACAUGCAUAUGUUAUCAGUCUAUAUUAUUUCCUUCUUAGUUGGUAGUGUCAUAGAUACGGUAACAUAGAUGACUUUUUUUAUUGCUUUGUAGAGUCAUUUUACAUUGGGGAGCGCUAUGCGAUGUUAAUAUAAUAUAUUACUCUAUUUGCCUCUUUCCUCAUUAGCUACCCGCCACAUUGUUAUUUUUGCUUAUGUGACAUCUAUAUUACUACGUAUGUUACUCCUACUACAAUCAUCCUUAUAGCAGGUGGUAGGGCCGGUCCUGAGAUUUUGGGGGCCCGAGACCAAACUAGAAUACUAGGCUCUCAUUUCUUUAUAUAAACUUAGUAACAUUGAUGCUAAUAAAAAUAAUUAGAAAUAUACGUCUUUGAACGGUGUGGUCUCCUCUCAACGUGGUUGUGCAGGGGAAGGUGAGGGAGUGUUUCGAGUAAAGAUACACAAGAUAACAAACAUUGAUCACAUACAUCCAGUCAAGGGUGUGAUCCAUAGGCAAACCUAUGUGUGAUUGGAUGUUAAGGAGGACAGUGAUAUCCCCUGUCCAUCAUAGUUCAAGUCUGAGACUUACGCUUGCAUUUUCCCGGACUUCGUGAAUAUCAAGAUGAUGUGUCGGCUCAAUAUUUUAGAGGUGCUCAUAGAGAUAAGGUGCGUGUUUGUGCGUUCAUAAGAUCCGAUGGCAUUGAAAGCGGGAGACCAUUUGUGUGGGACCUCUACGAGCAUAAGGUGAGUUUUCUUACGUGUUUCGCUCUCGGAUCAAGCCGCGGGUGAGAAACAAUGGUUGAGCGUUCCCGCGCCUACUAGCUGGACGUAUACCUUUGCAUGUGCAGCCUGACCUGGUCGGUCCGACCAGACCCGACCCAAAAUUCUCGAGCCGGGCCGGGCUUAUUUGUCCCAUAGGGCCGGGCUCGGGCCGGAAGGAUGAGCCUGAUGGUCAGUUCGGGCCAGGCUCGGGCCUCAGAAAAAAUAAAAUUACGCCGCGGUCGGGCCUAGUCGGGCUUUUUGUAGUUCGGACCGGGCUUGGGCCCAAAAUUUAGGCCCGACGACCGGACCGUGCUCGGGUCUGGGUUUUUGGCGCCGGACUUUUCUUGUUCCGGCCCGAAGCCCGGCUCGGCCAAUUAAUGCCGAGGUAUAGCUGGAGGCACGCGAGAGUAGCCAACAUACGGGGCUAUAGUGUGUUAAUCCUAUGCAUUUCAUCGAUCAUCUUGGGCGAGUUAAUUGCACAAAGGUACCACUCUUCAACAUCAUGUUACAAAUGAGUAUCUAUGUUCAUUUUGCUCGUAGUUCAGUAUCAUUGUUCGAUCUAAUCGUUAUAAAACAGACUGAUCUCCGUAUAAUCAUGUAUUGACGAUGUAUUUGACAUCAUGGGCCCAGGCCUGACGUGACAUGUUCUUUUGCACAAAAAAAAACCUUCACUUUGUAUUUAUUCACGCACACACCUUUUUUUUUCAAAAAGUUUUAAAGAUUUUUUUUCCAAAAAACUAUCAAACGCGUGCAUCGCUGACAGGAUUCGAACCCAGGUUGACCAGCUGCGUGUGCGCGCUCCUUGCCACUCCCUACAAACCAACAGUAGUGCGUACACAUUUCUAUAUAUUGUCUGAAGUGGAUUUAAUACNNNNNNNNNNNNNNNNNNNNNNNNNNNNNNNNNNNNNNNNNNNNNNNNNNNNNNNNNNNNNNNNNNNNNNNNNNNNNNNNNNNNNNNNNNNNNNNNNNNNGGGUAUCUAGUAGGAUCGCAUCUUACUUACGCAAACACCACAACGGAGAUAUAUGAGUUGCUAUUUAACCUCAUCCAAGGACCUCCUCGGUCAAUUAUGAUUCAACUAAAGUUGGAGAAACUGACACUUGCCUGUCAUCUUUGAGCAACGGGGUUACUCGUAGCGAUGAAACCAGUCUCUCGUAAGCGUACGAGUAAUGUCGGUCCAAGCCGCUUCAAUCCAACAAUACCGCAGAAUCAAGAAAAGACUAAGGAGGGCAGCAAAACGCACAUCACCGCCCACAAAAACUUUUGUGUUCUACUCGAGAAGACAUCUACGCAUGAACCUAGCUCAUGAUGCCACUGUUGGGGAACGUUGCAUGGGAAACAAAAAAUUUCCUACGCGCACGAAGACCUAUCAUGGUGAUGUCCAUCUACGAGAAGGGAUGUUCGAUCUACGUACCCUUGUAGACCAUACAACAGAAGCGUUAGUGAAUGCGGUUGAUGUAGUGGAACGUCCUCACAUCCCUCGAUCCGCCCCGCGAACCGUCCCGCGAUCAGUCCCACGAUCUAGUGCCGAACGGACGGCACCUCCGCGUUCAGCACACGUACAGCUCGAUGAUGAUCUCGGCCUUCUUGAUCUAGCAAGAGAGACGGAGAGGUAGAAGAGUUCUCCGGCAGCGUGACGGUGCUCCGGAGGUUGGUGAUGAUCUUAUCUCAGCAGGGCUCCGCCCGAGCUCCGCAGAAACGCGGUCUAGAGAUAAAACCGUGGAGAUAUGUGGUCGGGCUGCCGUGGCAAAGUUGUCUCAAAUCAGCCCUAAAACCUCCAUAUAUAUAGGGGGAGGAGGNNNNNNNNNNNNNNNNNNNNNNNNNNNNNNNNNNNNNNNNNNNNNNNNNNNNNNNNNNNNNNNNNNNNNNNNNNNNNNNNNNNNNNNNNNNNNNNNNNNNNNNNNNNNNNNNNNNNNNNNNNNNNNNNNNNNNNNNNNNNNNNNNNNNNNNNNNNNNNNNNNNNNNNNNNNNNNNNNNNNNNNNNNNNNNNNNNNNNNNNNNNNNNNNNNNNNNNNNNNNNNNNNNNNNNNNNNNNNNNNNNNNNNNNNNNNNNNNNNNNNNNNNNNNNNNNNNNNNNNNNNNNNNNNNNNNNNNNNNNNNNNNNNNNNNNNNNNNNNNNNNNNNNNNNNNNNNNNNNNNNNNNNNNNNNNNNNNNNNNNNNNNNNNNNNNNNNNNNNNNNNNNNNNNNNNNNNNNNNNNNNNNNNNNNNNNNNNNNNNNNNNNNNNNNNNNNNNNNNNNNNNNNNNNNNNNNNNNNNNNNNNNNNNNNNNNNNNNNNNNNNNNNNNNNNNNNNNNNNNNNNNNNNNNNNNNNNNNNNNNNNNNNNNNNNNNNNNNNNNNNNNNNNNNNNNNNNNNNNNNNNNNNNNNNNNNNNNNNNNNNNNNNNNNNNNNNNNNNNNNNNNNNNNNNNNNNNNNNNNNNNNNNNNNNNNNNNNNNNNNNNNACUAUCUUUGAUCAACUGGCUAGCCAACUAGAGGCUUGCUAGGGAUAGUGUUUUGUUUAUGUAUCCACACAUGUAUAUAAGUCUUCAUUUAAUACAAUUAUAGCAUGGAUAAUAAACGAUUAUCUUGAUACAGGAAUUAUAAUAAUAACUAUAUUUAUUAUUGCCUCUGGGGCAUAAUUCGAACAUAAGCCAACUACCAAAUCACGCACCGCCGUGCUCUAAAGAUAUAAGUGAAGCANNNNNNNNNNNNNNNNNNNNNNNNNNNNNNNNNNNNNNNNNNNNNNNNNNNNNNNNNNNNNNNNNNNNNNNNNNNNNNNNNNNNNNNNNNNNNNNNNNNNNNNNNNNNNNNNNNNNNNNNNNNNNNNNNNNNNNNNNNNNNNNNNNNNNNNNNNNNNNNNNNNNNNNNNNNNNNNNNNNNNNNNNNNNNNNNNNNNNNNNNNNNNAGAUAUAAGUGAAGCACUAUGAGCAUUCUAGCAAAAUCACGAUGAGUGCAUGUCUCUCUCUCUCAAAAAGGUGUGAAACAAGGAUGAUUGUGUCACAACAAAAAGAAAAGACUCCUGAGAUACAAGACACUCCAAGCAAAACACAUAUCAUGUGGUGAAUAAAAAUAUAGCUCCAAGUAAUGUUACCGAUGGAUUGAAGACGAAACAGGGGAUGCCUUGCCGGGGCAUCCCCAAGCUUAGGCUUUUUGGUGUCCUUGAAUUUGGCUUGGGAUGCCUUGGGCAUCCCCAAGCUUGAGCUCUUUCCACUCCUUAUCUCUUUGUCCAUGAGAACAUCACCCAAAACUUGAAAACUUCACAACACAAAACUUAAACAGAAACUUGUGAUAACAUUAGUACAAGAAAACAAACCACCACUUCUUUUGGUACUGUAGAAAACUUCAAUUUCAUCUAUAGAUGAUGGGCUACUGUAUUCUCACUUUUCCAUGUCUAAUACCCCCCGAUACUAACCAUAGUUUCAUCAAAACAAGCAACCAACUCAACAAAAACAUAAUCUGUCAAAAACAGACCAGUCUGUAGCAAUCUAUAUACUUCGUAUACUUCUGUUACCUCAAAAAAUCUAACAAAUUACCACAGCGUGGGGAAAAACAUAUCAAUCAGUAGCAAAAAGAAUCAACUCAAAAGCUAUUUCUGAAUAAAAAUUAAAAAUCAUCUCGGGAGCAAAAAGUUUAUGUCUAUUUCCAGCAGGAUCAAACAACCAUUACCAAGACUAGUCAUAAAGGUUUUGCUUGGCUCAAACAUAAAAAGAAACACAAAAAACACAAUCACAACAGAAUUAUGAAAGUGUGGAUGCAAAAAAACAGAAAUAAAAAGAUAAAUUCACUGGGUUGCCUCCCAACAAGCGCUAUUGUUUAACGCCCUUAACUAGGCAUAGGAGCGAUAGAAUCACGUAUCGUCGUCUUUGGUGCUCACACCAUAAGUGGCCCUCAUCAUGGAUUCAUAAGGCAAUCUUAUUUUCUUUCUAGGAAAGUGUUACAUGCCCUUCCUUAAAGGAAAUUGAAAUCUAAUAUUCCCUUCCUUCAUAUCGAUGGUAGCACCAAUAGUCCUUAGGAAAGGUCUACCAAGAAUAAUAGGGCAUGUAGGAUUGCAAUCAAUGUCAAGCACAAUGAAAUCCACGGGUACAUACUUCCUAUUUGCAAUAAUAAGAACAUCAUUGAUCCUUCCCAUGGGUUUCUUGAUAGUAGAAUCAGCAAGAUGCAAUUUAAGAGAACACUCUUCAAUCUCAUUAAAACCCAGAACAUCACAUAAAGACUUUGGAAUCGCAGAAACACUAGCACCCAAAUCACACAAAGCAUUGCACUCAUAGUUUUUGAUUUUGAUUUUGAUGGUAGGUUCCCACUCAUCAUGAAGCUUUCUAGGGAUAGAGACUUCCAAUUCAAGUUUCUCUUCAAGAGCUUUUAUCAUAGCUUCGACGAUAUGAUCGGUAAAGGCUUUGUUUUGGCUAUAAGCGUGUGGAGAGUUCAACAUGGAUUCCAUCAAAGAAAUGCAUUCAAUCAAGGAGCAACUAUCAUAAUGGAAUUCAUUGAAAUCCACGGUAGUAAUUUCAUUACUACUCAAAGUUUUAACGUCUUCUACUCCACUUUUAAUGCUUUUAGCAUCAAGAUAGAUGGACUCCGGAUCCUUGGGGCACUUUUCAACCAAAGUGGAUUCAUAUCUAGCCCCAUAAUCAUUAGGUUUGACACAAGAAAACAAAGAUUCAAUGGGAGUCACACCAAGCACUUUAAUAUCUUCGUGAUUCUCAUCACGAGAACACGCCCUUUUAAGCCAUUCAUGUCUAGCACGAAUUUGGGCGGUUCUUUCUUGGCUCUCAAUCAUGGAAACACGCAUAGAUUUCAAAGUUUCAUCCAUGUUGAUUUUGGGAGGAGCACAUCUAACUUUCAAAGCAUCAACAUCACAAGAAAUCCUAUCAACGCUUUUAGCCAAAUCGUCAAUUUUGAGUAGUUUUUCCUCUAUGGACGCAUUGAAUUUUUUUUAGAGCUGAUGAACUCUUUGAUAUUACUCUCUAGAUCAGAGGGUAAUCUAUUGGAAUUUCCAUUAGUAUUGUUGUAGGAGUUGCCAAAGUUAUUAGAGGAGUUACUAGGAAAAGGCCUAGGAACAUAGUUUCCUCUAAAGGCAUUGUUGUUGCCAAAGUUAUUCCUACCAACAAAAUUAAUGUCCAAGCUAGCGUUGCUACUCUCAAUCAAAGAAGACAAAGGCAUAUCAUUAGGAUCCAAAGGAGCACUUCUACUAGCAACCAAAUUCAUUAACUCAUCCAUCUUAGCACUCAACGAGUUAAUUUCUUCUAUAGCGUGUACCUUCUUACUAGUAGGUGACCUUUCAGUGUGCCACUCACAGUAGUUUGUCAUGAUGUUGUCUAAGAGCUUUGUGGCUUCUCCUAACAUGAUUUCCAUGAACGUUCCACCCGAGGCGGAGUCCAAGAUAUUUCUAGGAGCGAAAUUCAAGUGAGCGUAAAAGAUUUGGAUAAUCAUCCAAAGAUUCAAGCCAUGAGCGGGACAAUUUCUAAUCAUUAAUUUCAUUCUCUCCCAAGCUUGUGCAACAUGUUCAUGAUCAAGUUGCUUGAAAUUCAUGAUAUCAUUACGUAGAGAGAUGAUCUUAGUGGCGGAAAAUACUUGGAUAUAUAAGCAUCUUUGCACUUAUCCCAAGAAUCGAUACUAUUUUUGGGCAAAUAAGAAAACCAAGUUUUUGCGCGAUCUCGCAACGAGAAAGGAAAAAGCUUCAAUUUAAUCACGUCAUUAUCCACAUCUCUUUUAUUUUGCAUAUCACAAAGCUCAAUGAAGGUAUUGAGAUGGGAUGCGGCACCUUCACUAGGAAGGCCAGAAAAUUGCUCUUUCAUAACAAGAUUCAAGAAAGCGGCAUUGAUUUUGUAUGACUCCGCACUAGUGGCGGGAACAAUCGGAGUACUAAUAAAAUCAUUAUUAUUAGUAUUCGAGAAGUCACAAAGUUUGGUGUUUUCGUUCAUGGUGACUUCAGCAAGCAAGCUAACACACAAGCAAACAAAAAGAACGCAAGAAAAAGGGCGAACGGAAAGGGCGAAUGAAAAGGCGAACAAAAAAGGCAAAUUGGUGAAGUGGGGGAGAGGAAAACGAGAGGCAACUGGCAAACAAAGUAAAUGCAAGAGAUGAGUUUGCGACACCUACUUGGAUGAGUUCUUGACUUGAUCUUCCUCCCCGGCAACGGCGCCAGAAAUUCUUCUGCUACGGCAACAAAAGUCCUUCCCUGGCGCUUAGGAAUUCUUCUUGUUACUUCUCUAGUUUGCGUCGGUUUUUCCCUUGAAGAGGAAAGGGUGAUGCAGCACAAGAGCAGUAAGUAUUUCCCUCAGUUUGAGAAUCAAUGUAUCGACCGAGAAGGAGAGCCUCGUCAAGUCCAAAGUACCUGCGCAAACACAAACAAGCUUGCACCCAACGCUUCAAAGGGGUUGUCAAUCCCUUCAAGAUUGUUUGCAAAGUGAGAUCUGAAGGCGGAAAGUGCGACGAAGUAAAAAUUUUAAGGGUGAAAACAUGGUGUGGAGUAGACCUUGGGAGCCAUAGUGUUCACUAGAGGCUUCUCUCAUAAUAGCAAAUAUCACGGUGGGUGAACAAAUUACUGUCGAGCAAUUGAUAGAACUGCGCAAAGUCAUGACGAUAUCUAAGGCAAUGAUCAUGCAUAUAGGCAUCACGUCCGAGACAAGUAGAUCGAUACUUUCUCCAUCUACUACUAUUACUCCACACAUCGACCGCUAUCCAGCAUGCAUCUAGUGUACUGAGUUCAUGACGAACAGAUUAACGCUUUAAGCAAGAUGACAUGAUGUAGAGGGAUAAUCUCAAACAAAUGAUGAAAAACACAUCUUUUUACCCUUGAUGGCAACAACAUGAUGCGUGCCUCGCUACCCCUUCUGUCACUGGGUGAGGUCACCCCACGGUAUGAACCCAAAACCAAGCACGUCUCCCAUUGUAAGAAUCAUAGAUCUAGUUGGCCAGACAAAACCCACAACUCGAAGAGAAUUACAAGGAUAUAAAAUCAUGCAUAAGAGAGAUGAGAAGAAACUCAAAUAAUAUUCGUAGAUAAUCUGAUCAUAAAUCCACAAUUCAUCGGAUCUUGACAAACACACCACAAAAGAAUAUUACAUCGGAUAGAUCUCCAUGACGAUCAUGGAGAACUUUGUAUUGAAGAUCCAAGAGAGAGAAGAAGCCAUCUAGUUACUAGCUAUGGACCCGUAGGUCUAUGGUGAACUACUCACGCAUCAUCGGAGAGUUCAUGGUGUUGAUUAAGAAGCCCUCCGUAUACGAAUCCCCCCUCUGGCAGGGCGCCAGGACGUGCCCCAGAUGGGAUCUUGCGGAGACAGAAGCUUACGGCGGCGGAAAAGCGAUUGCGAUGAUCUCUUGAUUUUUUUGGGAAUAUAUAGGCGCAAGAUCUAGGUCACGGGACCUCCAGGAGGGCCACAAGCCUGGAUGGCGCGGCCCCCCUGGCCGCGGGGUGGGGGCUUGUGGGGCCCCUGAGGCUCUUCUGGCUUGGCUCCCAAGUUCUCCGAUCUUCUUCUGUUCCAAAAAAAAUCUUUUCGGGGAUUUUCUUCCGUUUGGACUCCGUUUCAAAAUCUUCUCUGAAAGGGGUCAAAAACAUGGAAAAAACAGGAACCGACACUUGGCACUGAGUUAAUAAGUUAGUCCCAGAAAAUAAAUAAAAAGCAUGCAAGACAUCCAAAGUUUGACAAGAUAAUAGCAUGAAACCAUAAAAAAUUAUAGAUACGUUGGAGACGUAUCAGAUACCCUAAGGAAACUAUUGGGUAUACCUUUUAUCUUAGAUCCGAAGGUAAAACCUUUGUUGCAAAGAACGGAUCCUGUCGUGGUUUUGUCACGGUAGAUGUCCUCGUGAAAGGACUUAGUAUUGGAGCCAUCGCACCUUGGUGGCGACUCAAAGGGGUUAAGCGGGAGAGACACGGCAAUUUACCCAGGUUCCGCCCCCCGUGAGGAGGUAAAAGCCUACGUCCUGCUUUGGUGUGUAUUGAUAUGGUUUCGAUUACAAGGAGGGCGUAACUCGCCGAACCUAGCACUCGAUGAUUUCUAACCUACCCUCUCCUCCCCUGGGACUCGCCUUUAUAUCCAGGUCGAACCCCUAGGGUUUACACGGGUACUUUCCUUCCUACAAGUCGUGACCCCUGUGGUCUCUAAGUCGCCAUCUUCCAAAGCCUGGAGACCUUCCAGAAAUAAUAACCCGUCAUACGACCUUGAUCCGGUCAGGACAAGGCCCAAAUAAUUGUCAAGGUGAACCGCCUGAUUGAAUAACCCGGCCCAACUAGGGCGGGUCAUUCACUGGUAAUAUCCCCAACAUUAGGCCCCAGAUUGACUUGAACUUCUCUUUCACGCCAAUACUUCUGCUUAGUUGAAGGCAAUUCAUUCCUCAUUUUUCUUCAUACGUCAGAAUUUGUAACCCGCCAUCUGGCACCGAAAACUCUUUAAGUCGCCAAACCAUUUCUUGUUGGCCUCUUCUUAUCCCUAGAUUCUCGGGAAAAUUGAUAUAAUCCCAACGGACCUUAGUGCAUCGUUAUCCCAAAAUCUUCGGAACGCCUUUAUAGCGAAUCUUUUCAUUCCUCGGCGGUUCCCGCUCACGACGCCUCGAUUCCAGUGCCCGCCCUGAUAAAUAUACGGGGGGGGGGGGACAGGACUGGCGCUUCCCACCUACCAGUCUCGUCAACCUCCCCCCCCCCCCAUUGUCACAGCGAGGAAAUCUCAUCACCUUCCGAGGGCUCCGCCGCCGACCGUACUUUCCGUCUUCGCCCGAGAAGCUUCGGCGCCGUCCAUAGACCUUCGCCAUCGUCAAGCUUCGCACUGCGGCCAAUCCGUCCGCCGCCAUUGACCACCGCAUCAUCGUUGGCCAUCUCGCCGUUCGCCACGAACUCCGCCGCCGUCGACAAUCUCUUCGCUCGACGGAACCUCCAUGUUUCUCCAACAACCUCCGUCACUGUCGGCCUCUUUCGACCGAGAGAUCAGGUUAGGCCUCCGCCCAGUUAGGAACAGAUUCAAUCUCCACUUGAAGCCCCAGUCACUAUCGUGUUCUUGAUGUUCUUCGCGAGCACAUAUUUGCUUACCCGUAAACUUAAUAGUAUAAACGUCGACGAGAUAGCCAAUACUUCGAAUACCUUCAUUUAUCCGCUCUUACUCGUGAACUUAGAAUAAUGUUUCAUCAAGCGAAAGGCGUCACCUGGCCCUAGUAAUAGAUUGUUGCAUCUAGCCACCUUUCUCAUGUUUUUUCAUCUGCCCAGUAGAUCCAUAAUUUACCUACUGUUUUGCAAAAAACUGUUUGUAGUCCCCAUACUUUGAUGUUUUGAACAAACGUCUCCAUCAUCCUCAGAACGCAACUUUCUAGAAUAGCCAGACUUCGUAAGUCGCCAUAGCAACCCAACUCGGCUCUUAAUAUGGCGGGUCAAGUUUCCUUCGUAGUCCGUGAACAAAUUACUUGGCGCAUUAGAUGAACUCAUUUCGCCCCUUACAGCAGAUGUUCAAGACAUAUAAAUUCAUACUUUACUUCCUUGUAGCAUGGGCACCAUCUUCAAAAGUGACUGGCCUCCUACCAAGGUCGAUGACACCAUACUAGCAGACUAUGUGAAAACGGGCAGCUUGGAUCCUCAGAAUGUUAUCGGCUGGCGCACCGGAUUUGGAGAAGAUCUCCCCAACCCCAAAGAAGGGGAGAUAGUCAUUUUCAUCGAACACCUGGAGCGAGGUUUUAAGCCGCUCGGAUCGAAGUUUCUUAGAGAAGCCAUGGCUUUCAUGAACGUCCGCCUCUAAGAUCUGGGACCUGAUUCCAUUAGUAACUUAUGCCAAUUCCAAGUGUUCUGUGAGGCUUACCUACGGAUUGAGCCCUUCGUCCCCUUAUUCUGGCACUUUUUCCAUCUGAAUCGCCAAACGGAAUUUCACAAUGGCCCCAGCCUGGAACUCGGCGGUGUCAACGUCUAGUGCCGUAAGGAUAGCCCGUUUCCCUCACUCGCCAUGCCCAGCCAUCCCAAAGGUUGGGGCGAGUCUUGGUUAUACUGUCAAGAGACUUCUCCUGCAGGCGAAAACAAGCUUCUGGGCUACAGGCCAACUCGCCUUCCAACCAACUUCAAGCUUCCAGACAAGCUCACCGAGGAGGAGGAAUCGGAAUUCAUCCCAAUAUUGUCUGAAUUAAGAUCCUUGACGAACAACGGCCUUACUGGGGUUGACCUAAUCCGCAGCUGGGUCGAAUGGCGUAUCCUCCCUCUGAGUCGCCGGGACGGUCUGAUGUGCGAAUUUGAUGGCACCCUAGAUCAUCCUCAAUGUUAUUUCCAUACGGCUUUAACAGAAAAGGACAUUGUUACCAUUAUCAAGAAGCUGACUGGCGAGCCUGCGGGAAAAUGCGGCCAAAUCGGCCUCAAGCCUUUCUGCAAAAUUAACCCGGCGCCCAAGGUGAACAAACCUAAACCGCCUUUGGUCUUUACUUCUUAUGCUUCAUUUGUAUUGUGGUUUUUGUAACAUAUGCUAUUUCAGAAAGGCGAUAAGUUUUGGUCCAGGAAGCCCAAAAGGCCAGCCAUGAAAAAUGUUAGGCCGCCCUCAAAGAAAACCAAGGGUAAGGGCAAAGCUGCUGCGGCUGAGCCAUCCGAAGCCGAUGAAUCUCAAGUCGGCGAUGCACUUUUGGAGGUAAAAAUUCAUCCUCUUUUCACUCGCCAUCCACUACUGUUAAUCUUUGUAUUUAUAUCUCUCCCUCUUGUUGUAAUAGAAUGAAGGCAACGAAAGCCAGGAGGACUCUGUUGAGGUAAUUUCUGUUUCCUCCGAUUCAUCUCCUUCUCCACCUAAGCCGGCCAGGCAAAUUUGUGGGAAAGUUCCCUUCUGACACCCAAAUGCUUGUUUGGACCCAAAUUUCCUACUAAAGAAAGCACAUCAUACUUCAAAUCGGAAGACCCGAAGUCAUUCCGGUGAUCUGGUGUCCGGCUUACCAGCAACGAACAAGAGGAAACCAAAUGAGGUAUUUAUGAAUAACAAUUUUUCAUGUCUCUUCGGAUCACGCCUGUAACCCGCCUAUAUUGUUGACGUAUAAUUCUUGCAUAACUCUCCUCCUACAUCUGGCGACUCAGUGAUGUCGACACUUCCACCAAUGAUUCGAGUUCCAGGGUAAGUCUUUUGUUAAUCUUGCUUUGAAUCCUGAGGGUAAUAAACUUUCAGUUCCUUAAUGCGCUUCUCCCUUCUUUUUAGGGCACAAGCCAAGAAAAGGAAAACCAGCGGGUCAACUCCUGUCACAACUUCAAAACCCAUCAAAGAAUCAGUGCCUAUUCAGGACAACCCGGACCAAGCCAAGCCUGAAAAUCAAAUGGAUCUUCCUGACUCGCCCAAGGAAACAAUGGAUGCCCCUAAGCCGCCAAGUCCAUUGACGACGACAGAAGACCCAGAUGUUGUGGUUAUUACUGGUAUUGGCUUCUCUAAGCCGGCGGCAACGGUGUUGUCAAAGCAUGUGGCAUCCUCCUCCCAAGCCAUUCCUGAAUCUGGACUCUCCAAGGCUAAGCUUUCUGAGUAUGAAAAUCUGGAGUUCAAGGAACUCUGCUCUGGUUUUUCAAGUCGCCUGGAGGCGAGCUAUGAGAUGGAGAAAAGCCUGUUGCGGAUGUUGAAAAACAAACAUGAGGUAAGUUUUGUUAUAUUGUAUUACUCCCAUUAACCCCCAAGGGCCGGGUCAUCAGUAAAAAGAUGAGCCAGGUCUUGACAAAUUAAAAAAAAAACUUGCGACCAGUAACCCCCAAGGGUCGGGUCAUCAGUAAAAAGAUGAGUCGGGUCUUGAUAAAUUUAGAAAAAACUUGCGACCAGUAACCCCCAAGGGCCGGGUCAUCAGUAAAAAGAUGAGCCGGGUCUUGAUAUUGUAUAAUUUUAUCUGAGAAAAAAUUAUACAUUAGCCCCCAAGUGUCAGGGAUAUUGCUUGCAAUAGUUCUGAGACUUGCCCCUUUUUGUACUUUCAACAGGAAACUCUUGCUCAGACUGAAUCGGCGCUUGGCGAGUUAAAGAAAAACUUAUCUGGUCAGCAAGAUGCCCGAGCUAAGUCGGAGGAGAAAUAUCAAUUGGCGUUGGCUAAGCUGGAAAAACUCAAAGCCGAUUUGAAAAGAGCUCAAGCUGACCAAGAUGCCGCCAUAAAAAGAGCAGAGAAGGCUGAAGCCAGGCUGGCUACUGUGCAACAGGAAUUGUCCGGCUUGAAGCGUCAUAUCUCAAACAUGACGCAAGCCGUCUUCGGUAAACUUACUCAAACUUUUGGUCUCCUCUUCUUUCUUAUAAAUAACUCUUAUCAUAAGUCGCUGAUCAUCAUGACCCCUUACUCAGGUCCGAGAGCCUCCAACCUUCACGAAGACUGUGUGCUGAUGCUAAAGGCGAUUUACACGCUAACAGAGCAAAUGUACACCGGCAGUGUCUUGACUGUUAAAGCUGUGAUGGGUGCCAAAGAGCCUAUAACUUCCAUAAAGAAAGUGCUUGGCUUCCUAUCCACACUUCCCCCUCAGAUUGGCGAGCUAACUCGGUCAGCCGCCCGAAAGGGUGUUCUGACUGCCCUGAGUUGCUGCUUGGCUUAUGCUCCAGAGAUUAAUCCGGAAGAGGUAGCAGCAGGCUUUCCUCAACUUAAAGAUGAUGGGUCAGAAUUCGUCGAAGAGGACUACCAACGUGUUGUCAAGGACUCCCGGCUGGCAGCAACCCAACUCGCAGCUAGUCUUUAUUUAUCAAAAUAUCAGGCGGCUUAUGACAACAAAAACAAGAAGGUCAACCCGCCAACCUUUGUGACGACCAGCUUAACUCCUUGGCGACCCAAGAACCCUUUUGACUUGGAAGCAGACCUGGCAUCAAUCCUGACUGAUGAAGAUGACUUCGCAGCUCUGGCUAAGUGCAACUGGGUACUGGGCAAUCUGCAAAUUGAGGUCGGUCAAAGCUCACAGCAGAAUGAUCCUAAGGCGCCAGCAGAAUAAACCUCAUUGAUUUGGCCUGAGAGCCAUGUAAUAGGUCUUUUUCAUCAGUCGGUAUUGUUUUUGUGAUACUCUUCGAAAGAAUCUUUAUAUCGCCCUUAGGGCGAUUUAAAAUAUUUGACCUGCCUUUUGAGAAUCCUUUAUGAUGCUUAAUCCUCCAUGGACGAAGUAAUUCUGAUCAUCAUCCCGACUUAAGCUUUGAAAAUGACAUAUGUGAAACCAAACAAAUGAUAACAAAUAUUUUCAAUAGGAAACAGAAAGAAAGGUUUAAAACCCCCGAGGCUAUGCCACGAAGAAACAUGAAAAACAGCAAUUUCGUCGGCUCAUAAGGACGCGACAGGAUGGGGCGAGUCAGAAAGCUCGAACACACACCCUAAAUGCAGGNNNNNNNNNNNNNNNNNNNNNNNNNNNNNNNNNNNNNNNNNNNNNNNNNNNNNNNNNNNNNNNNNNNNNNNNNNNNNNNNNNNNNNNNNNNNNNNNNNNNNNNNNNNNNNNNNNNNNNNNNNNNNNNNNNNNNNNNNNNNNNNNNNNNNNNNNNNNNNNNNNNNNNNNNNNNNNNNNNNNNNNNNNNNNNNNNNNNNNNNNNNNNNNNNNNNNNNNNNNNNNNNNNNNNNNNNNNNNNNNNNNNNNNNNNNNNNNNNNNNNNNNNNNNNNNNNNNNNNNNNNNNNNNNNNNNNNNNNNNGGCUCAUAAGGUCGCGACAAGAUGAGGCGAGUCAGAAAACUCAAGCACACACCCUAAAAUGCAUGAUUCUGUCGGCUCAUAAGGUCGCAACAGGAUGACACAAUUGCUCUUUAAUGAAGAAGCCCCCAAGCUAGGGAGUAUUUGUAACUUUAUUACUUCAUAAUGAAACUGAAAAACUUACAAAAUGUAGAGCUUAAGAGCUCAAGUGUAAUAAGGCCGCAGGUGGGCAAUAUUCCAGGGGCGAGUUGACUCAGCCUCCGUGGUUUGCCGGUUAGGCCGGAGAUCCACCAAAUAAUAAGAGCCAUUGCGGAGGUUCUUGCUGACGACGAACGGCCCUUCCCAAGGUGGUGACAACUUGUGCAUGCCUGCUCGAUCUUGUAUCAACCGAAGAACCAAGUCGCCUUCCUGAAAGGUCCGACUUUUAACCCGGCGGCUGUGAUAACGCCGCAGAUCCUGCUGGUAGAUAGCUGAACAGGCCGCAGCCAGGUCACGCGCCUCCUCUAAGGCGUCCAAAGAGUCUUGACGUGCCAGCUCAUUGUCUUGUUCCACAUAUGCGGCGACUCUAAGUGAGUCAUGCAUUAUGUCAGUAGGAAGAACAGCCUCUGCUCCAUAGACCAGAAAGAAAGGGGUGAAACCCGUGGAUCGGUUCGGGGUGGUCCGAAUACUCCACAACACUGAAGGUAGUUCUUCAACCCAACACCCUAGGGUUUUUUCCAGGGGAACCAUGAGUCGGGGCUUAAUCCCUCGCAAAACCUCCUGAUUCGCCCGUUCUGCCUGCCCAUUAGAUUGUGGGUGAGCGACUGCAGAAACGUCAAGUCGGAUAUGUUCUCGAUGACAAAACUCCUGCAUCGCCCCUUGGGACAAGUUAGUACCAUUAUCAAUAAAGAUACUGUGCGGAUAUCCAAACCGGAAAAUCAACUUUUUCAAGAAUUUGACCGCUCUUUCCGCAUCGCAAGCUCCAAUAGGUUCCGCCUCAACCCACUUGGUGAACUUAUCAACCGCCAUCAGCAGGUGGGUCUUCUUAUUAGAGGACAUUUUAAAGGGGUCGACCAUGUCCAGCCCCCAGACUGCGAAAGGCCAAGUGAUGGGGAUCAUUCUUAAUUCUUGAGCCGGUACAUGAGCCUGCCGCCCAUAACGCUGACACCCUUCGCACCGACGAACUAUAUCUUCUGCAUCUGCAUGAGCCGUCAGCCAAAAGAAACCAUGACGGAAAGCCUUUGAUACUAAAGAACGUGACCCGGCGUGAUGCCCACAGUCUCCGGAAUGAAUGUCAUUUAAGAUUAUGCAUCCUUCUUCGGAGGAAACACAUCGCUAAAAAACUCCAGAAGCGCUCCGCUUAUAUAACUCGCCAUUGAUGAUGACCAUGGAUUUGCUGCGCCGAACGAUUUGACGAGCCAAAACUUCGUCUGCCGGUAACUCGCCCCGAGUGAGAUAAGCCAGAUAAGGAAGAACCCAAUCCGGCGUGACAUGGAGAGCCGCCACAAGCUGAGACUCGGGAUCUGGUAUUGCUAAUUCCUCCUCUGAUGGUAGAAUCACGGAUGGUUUAUGCAAGACAUCCAGAAAAACAUUGGGAGGAACUGGCUUUCUCUGGGAGCCAAGUCGUGAAAGGGCGUCAGCUGCCUCGUUGAGGCACCGAUCAAUAUGGUCCACCUGAUAACCAUGAAAAUGACCCGCCACAUCAGACAUAGCUCGUCUGUAAGCCGCCAUCAUGGGGUCCCGGGAAUCCCAGGUACCUGAAACUUGUUGUGCCACCAAAUCAGAGUCGCCAAAGCAUCUGACUCAUGUUAGAUUCAUCUCCUUGGUGAGUCGCAAGCCAUGAAGCAAAGCUUUGUAUUCCGCCGCAUUGUUAGUGCACGGAAACAUGAGUCGGAGAACAUAACAGAAUUUAUCUCCUUGAGGGGAUACCAACACCACACCAGCCCCCGAGCCUUCCAGCUGCCUAGACCCAUCAAAAUAAAUAGUCCAGUAAGUGAGAUCAGGCCGAUCUUCCGGAGCCUGUAACUCCGUCCAGUCGUUGACGAAAUCAACUAAGGCCUGGGAUUUGAUGGCUGUGCAGGGGGUAUACUGUAUGUGAUGGGGCCCGAGUUCUAUUGCCCACUUGGCGAUCCGCCCUGUGGCCUCCCGAUUCUGGAUGAUGUCCCCAAGGGGGGCAGAGCUAACCACUGUGAUAGGGUGUUCUUGGAAGUAAUGCUUAAGUUUUCGACUCGCCAUAAACACCCCAUAUACCAACUUCUGCCAGUGUGGGUACCGCUGCUUGGAAAGAGUUAGCACCUCGCUGAUAAAAUAUACCGGGCGUUGCACUGGGUAUUCCUUCCCUUCCUCCUUUCUCUCAACGACCAUUGCCACACUUACUGCUUUGGAAUUUGCCGCGAUAUACAGAAGCAUGGGCUCCUUUUCAGUCGGGGCGGCCAGGACCGGCGGGUUAACCAAUUGGCGUUUCAGGGCUUCGAGCGCCUCGUCUGCCACAUUCGUCCAAACAAACCGAUCGGAUUUCCUCAAUAACUGAUAAAGAGGGAUCACCUUCUCGCCCAGGCGACUCACAAAAUGACUUAGGGCCGCAAUGCGACCCGCCAGUCGUUGAACUUGAUUAACGUUCGCCGGUUUUCCAAGGGACGUAACUGCUUCGAUCUUGUCCGGGUUAGCUUCAAUGUCGCGCUCCGAUACCAAGAAACCCAACAAUUUCCCUGCAGGCACACCUAAAACACACUUGGUGGGAUUUAGCUUCAUCUGAUAUACCCUUAGAUUAUCGAACGUUUCCUUGAGAUCUUCUAGUAGUGUCUCCCGCUGGCGGGUUUUGAUCACAAUAUCGUCGACAUAGGCAUGGACGUUGCGACCAAUUUGGUUGCGGAGGCAAUUCUGGAUGCAGCGUUGAUAAGUCGCCCCCGCACUCUUGAGUUCAAAGGGCAUGGACACAUAACAAAAAGCCCUGAAGUGGGUUAUAAAGGCUGUUUUCUCUUGAUCCUCCACGGCCAUCUUGAUCUGGUGAUAUCCUGAGUAGGCAUCCAAAAAACACAAUCGUUCGCAUCCCACCACCGAGUCAAUGAUCUGGUCGAUGCGGGGAAGAGCGAAGGGAUCUUUUGGGCAAGCUCUGUUGAGAUCUGUGUAAUCAAUGCACAUAUGAAAAGUACCGUUCUUCUUGAGUACCAAAACCGGGUUAGCCAGCCAUUUGGGGUGAAAAACUUCCACGAUAAAUCCGACGGCUAAAAGACAGGCAACCUCUUCCCCAAUCGCUUUGCGUCGCUCCUCCUUAAAUCUGCGAAGGUACUGCUGGAUGGGUUUGCACUUUGGGUCAACAUUAAGAUGGUGCUCAUCGAAUUCUCUCGGCACACCAGGCAUAUCAGAAGGUUUCCAUGCGAAGAUGUCCCGAUUAUCACGGAUGAAUUCGAUGAGCGCGCUUUCCUAUUUGGGGUCCAGACCCGUCCCGAUGGUGAACUACUUGGAUGAAUGGCCAGGCACGAAAUCAAUUGUCUUAGUGUCGUCCGUUGGCUUGAACUUGAGGGGCGACUCAGAAUCUUUAGUCGGCUUCUUUAGGGGUGACAUGUCCGCCGGGUCAACAUUGGCCCUGUGGUGUUUGAGCUCCUCCGCAGCAUAGGCGACUUCCGCAUAAGCCGCGUCCCCUUCUUCACAUUCCUUUGCAAUCCUUCUAUCUCCAUCAACUGUGAUGGGUCCUUUGGGACCAGGCAUUUUGAGCUUGAGGUAGACAUAGCACGGGCGAGCCAUGAAGCGGGCGUAAGUCGGCCGCCCAAACAGCGCAUGGUAGGGGCUUUUCAAUUUUACCACCUCGAAGAUCAGUGAUUCCGACCUAUAAUUCUGCGCAGUUCCAAAUGCCACUCUGAGCCUGACCCGGCCUAUGGGAUAAGCCGACUUGCCUGGGACGAUUCCGUGGAAAACCGUGGUUGAAGGCAUUAGGUCUUUUUCUAGUAGGUUCAUCCUUUGGAAAGUGUCAAAGUAUAGGAUAUUGAUGCUGCUGCCACCAUCCAUUAGCACCUUUGAUAGGGUGUAACCCCCAACUUGGGGAGCCACGACCAACGCCAGAUCGCCCGGGUUAUCAACUCUCGGCGGGUUAUCCUCCCUGCUCCACGUUAUGGUUUGCUCAGACCAAUGGAGGUAUCUGGGAAGCGCCGGUUCAGAUACACUGUACGCCCGGUUACUCACCUUCUUAUCACGCCUGCAAGCAUUAGUGGUGAAAACAUGAUACUGCCCAUUACUUAACUGUUUGGGGUUGCUGCGAAAGCCCCCAUUAUCGUCCUGACCCUGCGGAGCCCCCUGUGGGGGUGGCUGCUGGAAGGCUCCUGGCGGGUUAUACCGCCGCUGGUGGUGCACCGGGUAUUGGCCGCCACCUGGCUGCGGGCCUCCCUGAGCCCCCUGUUCGGGAAAACCGCCGAAAGGGUUCUGUCUUUGGUUGGGUGCGGCGAAUUGCUCCUGGCGUUGGUCCGGGUCAUCAUUUUGACUCUUCUUGAUCGCCUCCGCCCGAAACUCUCGCAUCACGAAGCAGUUUUCCCAAGAGUGAGUCGCCGGACCGUCUGCCGUGGCGUGGUGCGGGCAAGGGCCUUUGAGUAGCUCUUCGUAGUUACGCGGCCUCUUCCCGCUGAACCCCCGAUUCUUCUUCUUGCCGUUGUUGGCGUUGGUAUUGGCGACUAAGUCCGAGGGCUCCUCCUGCGGUCUCCGGUUGCCAUUGGUCCCUUGACUGUGACGGUUACGUCCCUGGGACCGGGUAUGAUUUUUGGAUGACUUGCCCUUCUUGGGCGAAUUAGCCUUACCAACCUCGCCAGGAUCUUUGGUAUCAUCGGCCUCAGCGUAUCUAGUGAGGGUGUCCAUCAGUUCUCCCAUGUCUUGGACCUUUCGCUUGAGUCGCCCCAAUUUUUGCACCAAGGGUUUGUAAUGGCAAUUAUGCUCGAGGAUGAGCACAACUUGAGCCGCCGUAAUGCCAUCUGACGAAUGGAUAAUUUCUGCAACCCGCCGUGACCAAUGGUGGGCUGACUCAUCCGGGCGCUGAACACAGUGCUAUAGAUCGACGAUCGUCAUCGGACGUUUGCAAGUUCCUCGGAAGUUUUUGAUGAAACGUUCUUUUAACUCGGCCCAGGACUGGAUGGAAUUGGGAGGUAAGUUUUUCAACCAAGUGCGUGCUGACCCCUCGAGCAUCAUCGUGAAGUAUCUGGCGCAAACCGCCUCGUUCACGUCGAGCAUGUCCAUGGCAAUUUCAUAACUCUCGAUCCACGAUGUCGGCUCGAGGUCCGGGGUAUAAUUAGGCACUUUCCUUGGUCCCUUGAAGUCUUUGGGCAUCUUUUUGUUCCGAAGGGCGGGGGACAAGCAUGGUACCCCAACUCGCCCUCCGCCCCCGACGAGGGGGCCGAGCGUCUUGGGUGUUCGGGAGAUCCCGGCCCGACGGGUUCCGUUCAGGAGGGUUGUCCUGUGGGAUGUGUCGCGGCCCGCUGUUUACGGUGGGCUGGUCCUCUGGCUGGCUCCUGGUGUAACUUGCCUGGGGGGUGGAAUGCAACCUCUCGAGGCUAUGUGAGAACUGGGCGUUUUGAACCACCGCCGUCUUCAACAUCUCGAUGGCGUUCCUUGCUUCUAUCUCGGCAGGGGUGUUGCCGUGAAUCGGAAGAGACUCCAGAUGGCGAGUUGUCGCAAGCACGUUAUCCACCGGGUUGGAAAAGUGGCCCUGAGGCGUCCGGAAUCGGGGAUAUGAUCCUCAGCUGGCUGAGCCGGCGGGUUAAGUGGGCGACCGAGUCCUCCCCCCGGGGCGGCUCCCACCCCAGGGGUUCGUGGAGUGUCGAACAGGCGGGUCGGGUUGAGAUCAUGGGGCAGGCAACCCUGGUGUCUCCGCUGAUGGACGGUGUCGGAUGCGCGCUGCUGUCUCUCGAGUCGCCAGUUGUCAGUGUUUAAACGCAUCCUUUCGGCCGUAAUUUGAGCUUGCCGAGUCUCGAUCCUGGUGGACUCCAUCUCGGCAUCCCGAUGAUCCUUUGCCAGUGCCUCUCUGAGUUUUGCCAGCUCCACAUUUAUCUCCUCCUGGUUUUCUGGUGUGAGGGGAGUCGCCAUCAGCCUUGUGAUCUCCGCCGCUAAAUCCACCAGGACUGCAGCCGGGCUCCUGGAUGUCUCGCCGGUUCCAUCGCCUCCGGUAGGGUUUUGCGUGGGUUGCGUCGCCCCAACCAUGUAGAUGGUGAUCUGGCGGCGGGUUCAAUCAAGGACUUCAGGGUCCAUGGCCAGCGACAAGCCCCCAAGACAAUCCCCAUGCAGAGACCGGAUUGAAUCUGAGUCGCCCAUGGAUGAUUCGUCAUCAGAGUUGACCGAUGUGGUUUCCUGAGUCACCAAGCGCUCUGCCUCCUCCGAUCCAUGCGUGAACCCCACAAAGACCGGGCGAGUCAAACUUGGCAUUAUUACUGGGCGGACGUACCUGGCCGGCUCGACGAUGUUGGUGGAGAUGUCCGGCUCAGGCGCGGAUGAUCCGAUCAUGCCGAUGAAGAUGUUGAUCUUGCCGAAGGGGACCCUAUAACCAGAUUCAAUCGAAUCCGCUUCAGGUCCCCAUCGCUGGUUGUCGAUGUAGGUUAUCCCGCAGCGGCUUCGAGUCAUGAGCCCCGUUGCGUAACUCCCAAACCCUGGUAGGGCUCCCUUUGAGAACUCAACUCCACCGUGCGUAGGCCCCAUGGUGGACGCCAACUAUCGUGGUUUUGUCACGGCAGAUGUCCUCGUGAAAGGACUUAGUAUUGGAGCCAUCACACCUUGGUGGCGACUCAAAGGGGUUAAGCGGGAGAGACACGACAAUUUACCCAGGUUCGGCCCCUCGUGAGGAGGUAAAAGCCUACGUCCUGCUUUGGUGUGUAUUGAUAUGGUUUCGAUUACAAGGAGGGCGUAACUCGCCGAACCUAGCACUCGAUGAUUUCUAACCUACCCUCUCCUCCCCUAGGACUCGCCUUUAUAUACAGGUUGAACCCCUAGGGUUUACACGGGUACUUUCCUUCCUACAAGUCGUGACCCCUGUGGUCUCUAAGUCGCCGUCUUCCAAAGCCUAGAGACCUUCCAGAAAUAAUAAACCGUCAUACGACCUUGAUCCGGCCAGGACAAGGCCCAAAUAAUUGUCAAGGUGAAUCGCUUGAUUGAAUAACCCGGCCCAACUAGGGUGGGUCAUUCACUGGUAAUAUCCCCAACAGAUCCUUUCUAGAGAAAGAGUUUCUCUCGAAAGAAGUAAGUGGGAGGAAAGUAGAACUUGAUGAGGUAAUUACACCCCCUCUGGAACAGGAAAGUAGCGCAGCGCGGGAAACUGUUCAUGUGGCGCCUACACCAACUGAAGAGGAAGUUAAUGAUAAUGAUCAUGAAGCUUUGGAUCAAAUUACUACUGAACCGCGAAGGUCCAUAAGGGCACGCUCCGCACCAGAGUGGUACGGCAACCCUGUGGUGGAAAUCAUGUUGUUGGACAACGGUGAACCUUCGAACUAUGAAGAAGCAAUGGCGGGCCCGGAUUCCAACAAAUGGCUUGAGGCUAUGAAAUCCGAGAUAGGAUCCAUGUAUGAGAACAAAUUAUGGACUUUGGUGGACUUGCCCGAUGACCGGCGAGCCAUAGAAAAUAAAUGGAUCUUCAAGAAGAAGACUGAUGCAAACGGUAAUGUGACCGUUUAUAAAGCUCGACUUGUCGCAAAGGGUUUUCAACAAAUUCAAGGAGUUGACUACGAAGAGACUUUCUCUCCCAUAGCGAAGCUGAAAUCAGUCCGAAUCAUGUUAGCAAUUGCCACCUUUUAUGAUUAUGAAAUUUGGCAAAUGGACAUCAAAACAGCGUUCCUUAACGGGAAUCUUAAGGAAGAGUUGUAUAUGAUGCAACCAGAAGGUUUUGUCGACCCUAAGGGUGCUAACAAAGUGUGCAAGCUCCAGCGCUCCAUCUAUGGGCUGGUGCAAGCAUCUCGGAGUUGGAACAUUUGCUUUAAUGAGGUGAUUAAAGCGUUUGGGUUCAUACAGUUUUGCAGAGAAGCCUGUCUGUACAAGAAAGUGAGUGGGAGCUCUAUAGCUUUCCUCAUACUAUAUAUGGAUGACAUAUUAUUGAUGGGGAAUAAUAUAGAGAUGUUGGAGAGCAUAAAGGCCUAUAUGAACAAGAGUUUUUAAAUGAAGGACCUUGGAGAAGCUGCAUACAUAUUAGGCAUCAAGAUCUACAAAGAUAGAUCGAGGCGCCUCAUAGGUCUUUCGCAAAGUACAUACCUUGACGAGAUAUUGAAGAAGUUCAAUAUGGAAAACUCAAAGAAAGGGUUCUUGCCAGUUUUGCAAGGUAUAAGAUUGAGCAAGACUCAGUCACCGACCACGACAGCAGAUAGAGAGAAGAUGAGUAUUGUCCCCUACGCUUCAGCCGUAGGCUCUCUAAUGUAAGACAUGCUGUGUACCAGACCUGAUAUAAACCUUGCCAUAAGUUUGGUUGGGAGGUACCAAAGUGAUCCCGGUAUGGAACACUGGACAACGGUCAAGAAUAUCCUUAAGUACCUUAAGAGGACUAAGGAGAUGUUUCUCGUUUAUGGAGGUGACGAAGAGUUCGUCGUAAAGGGUUACGUCGAUGCUAGCUUCAACACAGAUCCGGAUGACUCUAAGUCACAGACCGGAUACGUAUAUGUUUUGAAUGGUGGGACAGUGAGCUAGUGCAGCAGCAAGCAAGAAGUUGUGGCAGCAUCUACAUGUGAAGCGGAGUACAUAGUUGCUUCAGAAGCGGCUCAUGAAGGAAUUUGGAUGAAGGAGCUCAUCACCGACCUUGGAGUGGUUCCAAGCGCGUCGGGUCCAAUGGCGCUCUUCUGUGAUAACACUGGGGCCAUUGCCAUAGCCAAGGAGCCCAGGUUUCACCGAAAGACCAAGCACAUCAAACGCCGCUACAACUCCAUCCAGGACCAUGUCCAGAGUGGAGUAAUAGAGAUUUGUAAAGUACAUACAGAUCUGAAUGUUGCAGACCCGUUGACUAAACCUCUUCCUCGAGCAAAACAUGAUCAACACCAUAAUGCUAUGGGUGUUCAAUACAUCACAAUGUAACUAGAUUAUUGACUCUAUCGCAAGUGGGAGACUGUUGGAAAUAUGCCCUAGAGGCAAUAAUAAAAUGGUUAUUAUCAUAUUUCCUUGUUCAUGAUAAUCGUCUAUUGUUCAUGUUAUAAUUGUAUUAACAGAAAACAAUAAUACAUGUGUGAAUAUAUAGAUCACAAUGUGUCCCUAGCAAGCCUCUAGUUGGCUAGCUCGUUGAUCAAUAGAUGAUCAUGGUUUCCUGAUCAUGGACAUUAGAUGUCAUUGAUAAUGGGAUCACAUCAUUGGGAGAAUGAUGUGAUGGACAAGACCCAGUCCUAAGCAUAGCACUAGAUCGUAUUGUUCGUAUCCUAAAGCUUUUUCUUAUGUCAAGUGUCUUUUCCUUCGACCGUGAGAUUGUGCAACUCCCGGCUACCGUAGGAGUGCUUUGGGUGUAUCAAACGUCACAACGUAACUGGGUGACUAUAAAGGUGCACUACGGGUACCUCUGAAAGUGUCUGUUGGGUUGGUACGAAUCGAUAUCGGGAUUUGUCACUCUGUGUGACGGAGAGGUAUCUCUAGGCCCACUCGGUAGAAUAUCAUCAUGAGAUCAGUGUGACUAAGGAGUUAGUCACACGAUGACGUGCUACGGAACGAGUAAAGAGACUUACCGGUAACGAGAUUGAACAAGGUAUAGGUAUACUGACGAUCGAAUCUCGGGCAAGUUCUAUACCAAAAAACAAAGGGAAUUGUAUACGGGAUUGAUUGAAUCAUUGACAUCGUGGUUCAUUUGAUGAGAUCAUCGUGGAACGUGUGGGAGCCACCAUGGGUAUCCAGAUCCCGCUGAUGGUUAUUGGUCGGAGAAUGUCUCGGUCAUGUCUGCAUGCUUCCCGAACCCGUAGGGUCUACACACUUAAGGUUCGAUGUCGCUAGGGUUAUAGGGAAAUGUUAUACGAGGUUACCCCCUCCCCUCCUCCUAUAAAUAGAGAGGGGUUUGUGGCCGUUUUGGACACCGUUUUCUCUCCUCCUCGGCGCAGCCCUGCUCCCCUCUUUCCUCCUCCUCCCACGGUGCUUGGCGAAGCCCUCCGGGAGACCUCAUCUCUCCAUCGACACCACGCCGUCGUGCUGCCGGAGAGCUUCCCCAACCUCUCCCUCCUCCUUUCUGGAUCAAGGUGCGGGAGACGUCACCGGGCUACACGCGUGUUGAACGCGGAGGUGCCGUGGUUUGGCACUAGAUCGGAAUCACACCGCGAUUUGAAUCGCCGCGAAUACGACUCCGUCAACCGUGUUCUAGCAACGCUUCCGCUUAGCGAUCUUCAAAGGUAUGAAGAUGCACUCACCCCUCUCUCGCUGCUGGUCUCUCCAUAGGAAGAUCUGAAUAUGCGUAGGAAAAAUUUCGAAUUUAUGCUACGUUACCCGAGAGGUGGCCCCUGCCUUGGUUCUCAAGUCUCGUGCGUAUCUUCUGUUCCGGAAAAAAUCUUUUCGGAAGGUUUAUUCCGUUUGGACACCGUUUAAAAUCAUCCUCUGAAAAGGGUCAAAAACACGGAAAAAACAGGAACUCGCACUUGGCACUGAGUUAAUAAGUUAGUCCCAAAAAAAGAUAUAAAAGGCAUAUAAAACAUACAAAGUUUGAUAAGAUAAUAGCAUGGAACCAUAAAAAAUUAUAGAUACGUUGGAGACGUAUCAGCAGACUAUAAUCUCGUAUCCCCCCUUCCAGACCUAUGUUUGAAAAACAACAUCAUCUCAUCAGACCACCUCAUUCCUAAUCAAAUAACCACCAAGGUAGACUAUAAGCUCAUAUCUCCUACCUUCCAGACCUAACUGGUUGCGCGGAGGAUGGGAAUGAGAGGCGAUUUCUGCUUGUCGGGUCUAAAGGUGAUGCACAUGGGAAGGAGAGGGGAAAAUGACUAAGAGAUUGGCGAAACUAAAAUCGCCGCCAUGGUGAUUUUGUGACUGAUUGGCAGGGACACGACGAGCGUGGAGUGGAGAUCGGAGCGUGCGCGGUCGAUGGUUGGGCAGAGCGGGGCCGACCUUGUAGUCUCCUUGGCUCGUGCACGGCUUGCGCACAAAUCGGUGCCACCUCCGCCUCCGUCAAUAAUUCCAAACCCUAGGAUGAUUCCUGGGGCGCCUCGGCUGGAUCCACCGAGAAGGCCGCGCGCCGCUGGAUCGCCUUCAAGGCCUCGGCUCGGUCACCUCCCAUGCCUCGGCUCGACCUGGUGAGAAGACCAGCGGAUGCUGGAUCUCAUCGUGAAACGCCGGCGUGGCCGACAUCCCUAUAUCAAAAGACCCCACCCUACAGAUCCUUUGAGCAAACAAUUUUUUCUUACGGAGAAAAAGCGCGGCGUCGGAUAGUUUUCUACCUAAAUGGGCUGCCCGUAGAAACCCAAUUAACCACAGGCCUUGAAAAAGGUUUCCAGAACAUCGACCUAUUAGGACAACCAGCUCAGAUCGCGUCAAUAAAAACUUAGAGGAAGAUCUGACGACCAUAAACUAAUCUAGCGCAAAUCCGACGGCCGAAAACGUUGAGGGCCUGAGAGAGCUCGCUUUAGGCUCAAUUUUACUGUCCUAAAUAAAUGUUCCCACCUGAACUCGUCAUACAUACGUGUAAGGCUGGUCUUAGUGAGGAGUAUCAUAUAGUAGUAUCAUGCAUAUGAUACUAUUGUAUGAUACUACCUUCAUAGUGCAUAAUAUCGUAAAGUAGUAUUACAGAUGACCUUAUUUAUUGACAUGCAUGACACAUAGUAGCAUAACAUUUAACAUGUUAUGGUAUCCAUCUAUGUUACUAUAACCCUCUCUCUCUUUUUUAAUUAUCUGCCACAUCAGCAUGUUUGCGAGUUCCAAGUACAUGAUACUACCUUAGUUGCUCCCACUAUGUCCAGCCUAAGUCUCCACUUAACAUUGCUCUCAUCUGCUACUUCCUCCGUCUCGGUGAAUAAGUCAUCUUACGAAAACCAAAUAAUCCCAAAACACUUAAGCACGAUGCAUUAACUUUCACCUCGUUUCUUGUUUUUUGACAUGAAUAAAGGAAUCAACCAAUAAAAGACGUGGGGCAUGUAUGUUUUCAAUGACUCGAGACUAACUAGCACAACAUGCAUUGAUCAAUUCAUUGCAUGCAAUGGUAUUAAUUAGCAAAUUAGCAUUAAUAUCUUUCGUUUUCCUCUCCGUCUUGGUCACGGUGCACAACCUAAGAUGACUUAUACACCGAGACGGAGGGAAUACCAUUACAUCAAUGAGCAUAGGGUCAAGCUCCAGCCUUUGUACUUACAUUUCUUUUUUGUAACCAGUACCAAAACAUCUUUUCGGGCAUCUCCCUCACACCAAUUUGUGAACCAUUCUUAAUCUCGUUUGUAAACAUUCAGCCGGAUAUAUUUUCAAGUGCGUCUCCGACAAAAACAUCACAUCUGGGUUGCAUGCUCGCUGGACAUCCAACAAUGCCCGAACCGCUGCAGCAUUUUCGAGCCCGUUACAGUUCUAGCUUAAAACUUCCAUGAUGACCGGACAACCUCCAUCGAGAAGGCCAUGAAUCCGGUGAUCUACGACGAAAAAACUCGGUCGACAUAGCCGUCGGAGGACAGCCGAUCACAACUUUACAACGAUGAUUUAAGAAGAGAACUCAGUAUCAAUUUAGCUGCCGGAGGACAUCAAAACCCUGACUAAGUGAGGGGAUGGGAACCUCACGAGGGAGCACCUCCUUAGGGCAUCAGACUAGACUCACGAGGAGGUCUGAGGGCCAGCGGCAGCGACCACGAUGCACCAGCCCUAGAUCGAGGUAUAUUGUAUGUUAUGAAAUAUUUACUUUUGUGUCUUUAACGUUAACAUUUUUGGGAAAAUCUAAUCUACACACGCCGCAUCGCUGUUUUCCGGUGCGGCCGUUGACACCACGUCUAGCAACAAAAGAAACCAGACCUCUCUUUCGAUAUGCAAUGAUGUCACAAAAUUCAUUCUAAAUGAUCAAAAUUUAAAAAGUUUUAUAUUUGAAACCAUUAAUUUGAUCGAUGAUCCGUUUUCGUCGUUGACUUUAUUUCGACGAAAUCUUUAAAGCUAGAUCCCAUGUCGACAUGUUUCGAUAACUUUUCUUUUGCUCGUACUUACCACAUUUGUUGCACUUGUUUGAUAAAAAUAACUUAAUCAUCAUACUUUUAGGAAAUUGCGUAUAAAUAUGACAUCUCGACAUAAUCGAACUUGUAAGCACGAACAAUUUCUUUAAAAACGAUAACAUGUCAAAAUAUGACAACUCAACAUAUUUAAAACCGACGAUCAUAAAUUAUAUUUUUUUUGGUAAUUGUUAGUAAUAUGAUAUGUCGGCAUAGUUAAACCAGCAAGCACAUAAAAUAUUUUUCUGACAAAGUUGUAUGUAAAUAUGAUAAGUUGACAUAUUUAAAUUGAUAAACCUAUGACAUACGUUUAUAUCAUGUAUAAUGAAAAAUGCUACAAGACAACAAUCAUUUGUCAAACACGGUCAUCGGGUUUAAGUAAGCGUAGUUGCCAAAAAUCUAUACACACGGCUGUCAAGUUGACAACUAAUGAAAAUUGCUACAAGACAACAAUCAUUUUUCAAACACGGUCGUCGGGUUUAAGUAAGCGUAGUUGCCAAAAAUCUAUACACACAGUUGUCUAGUUGACAACUAAGUUAAUUAAAGGUGGCUACUAAGUGUUUCAUAAUCUAACAACUAAAUAAUAGUAAUCUCGCAACUGUCGAUGAAAAAAAGUUGUCGAAACAUAUGGACAUGGGAUCUAGUUUUGAAGAUCUUGUUGCGAGAAAGCUAACGGUAAAAAUGAAUUGUCAAUUGGAUUUACACUUUAAGAGAUAAACACUUUUUAAAAAUUCAAUAUUUUUUUUUUUGCUGAUGUCACACUGAUGUAUUAGCUGUAUGCAUGAAGAAAAACCGUCGCACAGAAAGACGCUCGUGCAACGCCGUUAUGUAGUGGCUUCCAACAUUUCUUAGCACAAGGGGUUAACAUUAUUAUGGGAAUAGUUUUUUAAAAAAUAGUCCCCGUGAGGAGAGAGGAGAGAGAGAGACGUGUACCGUUCGACCGGCCCACUAAAGCUCGCGCUGCCCCUUGUGCUGCAGCCCAGAAGGCCGACGCGUCGGGCCGCCUCAUUUGCAGCCGAGGAAGAGAACCCUAGACAGACCUCAAUAUAAAUUCCCACCAACGCCUCGUCCAGAAUCCAGACCCAAUAGCUCCUCUCCCCCCUUGCGGCUCCAAAGCUCCCCUGCGCAUAGCUCUGGUUUCCGAUUCGGUUCGUUUCUUGUACUUCGUCUCGAUUUUCGAUCUCAGAUGAGUGGUCGUAGCGUUGAUGACAGAUUUGUGGACUAGAGUUUCUGAUGCCGCCUCUUCAGCAGCAUCUGCAGACAACCCCUUGGCUGUCUGAGCUCCCAGAUCUCAUCCCAUCAGAUCGAUUUGUUCUUCUACUUCUUUGUUUUGAUUGAUGCGCGUUCAUUACCAAUUCCUGAGGAUGAUUUGUGUUCCUCGCGGUAAUUAGUCUCGGACGCUACACGCGAUUAUCUCAUGUGUGGUAUAUCCUGAUUGGUGGCGUUCUCUUUGCCAUUUUAUCCUGGAAACGCCACAUACAUUCACUUGACGUCCUCUCUUAUUUCUCUCUUCUUUUCUUUGUCUUCUGAUUUUUUCCAGUCGAUUGGUAUGAAUGUGGAUGAUGAGAUGACAAGUAAAAAUACAGUUAUCCCUGUCUUACUUCUUUGGAAGGAUGCUGAGAAUACUUUUAAUCUGACACCAUAUAUGUAGUGCUGUAAGAAGAAUAUUUGAUUUUCGUAGACAUAUUGUUUUUCUUUUGGUUUGGCUUGGAUGGCGAGGANNNNNNNNNNNNNNNNNNNNNNNNNNNNNNNNNNNNNNNNNNNNNNNNNNNNNNNNNNNNNNNNNNNNNNNNNNNNNNNNNNNNNNNNNNNNNNNNNNNNNNNNNNNNNNNNNNNNNNNNNNNNNNNNNNNNNNNNNNNNNNNNNNNNNNNNNNNNNNNNNNNNNNNNNNNNNNNNNNNNNNNNACCAGCUACUUCUGACUCGUCAUGCAAUCUCUCAACUGGUGGAUUCAGUAGUUUAUUUCUUAUUGGUAUAGUGGUGCUUGUUCGUGUUUUUCAUGGAGCCAGUGAUGUUAUCAAAAUAUUUGCUACUCUUGAUGGGCAACGACCCCAUUUGAUGAACACGACCACCAAGAUCUCUGAGGCUCUGUAAAUCAUCUUUUAUAUUUUUGAUGAUUCUCUGUACCUCCACAGGUAGUACGUAUAAGUCUGGCGAAACAGGAAGUAAUAUUGUUGUCUGGAGCUGAAUAUUCAAAUGUCAGAUUUCUAUCCAUAGCUGAUAAACGACAUGAUGCGUGUAAGGCAUCCAUACUGAUAAUCUAACUUAGUUUUUAUUAUCUGCUGAAACUUGGAAGUCACCAAAUAACACCUGGCGUCCUGCUUCUUUUUCCAAAAUAACUUGGCGUCCUGGCGUCCGUUCCUGGUGAUUAUCUGUACUUGCACAUGGAAAAGUCUUUGAGAUGCACCAAUUCUAAAGGGCUACUCUGUGCAACGGUUGGUGCUUGCCUUUUACUGACCUGCUUCAGAUUCGGUUCAGGAAACACGAGAAUGCAUACAAAAGAAAAGACAAAUCUGAAACAUAAGACUUUGCAGAUAGUAUGGUUUCAGGCCAAAUAAGCUUUGACAGCUCGGAGUGUUUCUGUACAUAUUAGUAUGGAGGAUGAUUUGUGUUCCUAGUGGUAUAUCUUGCUGACAUAUAUUUUUUUAUUUUUAUUUUUGGGAUCUGAUUUUGGCGAUCCUGUUUGUUCCUUCUUGUUUGAUAUGUGAAGAUGUGGUAGGUUCAACAAAUGUUAAGUUUCUUAAUUGGUUUUCAAAUCAAACUAAUUAGUAUGUAUAUGCAUGAUGAGAUGACAUGUAAAGUACAGUUAUCCCUGUCUUAUUCCCUUGGAUGGGUGCUGUGAAUACUUCGUCUCGACCCUUGCUUUUUAUGUGCACUGAUCUUUUACUAGCAUGUACAAUUAUCUUUUUAUAUUGUUUAGAAGAUCUUGUGAUGAAAUGUAUUAAUUGCUGAGCCAACCAUUGUCACUCUUUAUGUCACAUUGAAUUGACUCAUGAACAGUUUUGUAAGAGGAGACGGAGCAGCUUCGACCUAGUCUCAGAUAUUUUAAGUUUUACUUAGUUUUUGAGUGGGGAACGAAAAUAAGCACACAAUUGAAAAAUCAUCUAACUGUCAGUCUAAACUACUAAGAGGCUUCAGUGUAGUACGUUUGAUUGUGUUGAUUUGAAUCCUCAUGUUAGUAGUGCCUUCCUACAACAUGUGGGUCCUUGAGUAACCGUCCUUAUCUGGUACCUACAAGUAUUAGUAGGUUAUACAUGGUAUCUAUAAUUUGUCCAAGAAUUAGCUUUCAUGCAUUGGUUAUAUUUGUCCAGUGAUGAAAAACCUGUUAAAUCAUACCAUCUUUCCGGACUGAUUGGUCGCUAUGCGUCCAUGCUGUCAUUCUGUAAUUCUGAGGACAAAUUAUGUUGAAGAUCACUUAACUUUUGUUCUGAAUAAGGUGUCUCUGCCCUUGAUUAGUUGAUCUUUCUAUUUUAUUUCUCUGGGCUCGAAUUUCCUGAAGUGGCUAGGCUUUAUGGGGAUCAUGAGUCGCUUCACCUACUUCUAGUUGUGAUGUGUAAACUGUCAUGCUUAUCAUUACAUCUGUUAUGAUUUUAAUUUGCCCUUUUGUAUUUGGUUCAGUUCUGUGAGUCCAGUCAUGUCACAUCUUUGAGACCUGAGUUUUCUUCCUUGAUGAAAAUCAUAAUCAUAAUCCCUGAGGGCUACCAAGUUGAUCUUCUGCUAUUCCUUGAUCCUCUUUCUUCUCUUUUGAUCGACUAUUCUUCUGCUUGAUGUAGACGCAUUUGCCUAGAACACAUUUUCUUACAGCCCAACAAUCAAUCACCAUGGUACUUUCCUUCUUAAAAUCUUUAAUGUGGAAGAACUGAUCCUGGUGAUUCAUGGGUUGAUUAGAUAUAUAUUAUCACCUUGAUUUGGUUCGGUUCGUUUUGUUGUUGUUCAUUUCGAGAUUCACCUUAAUCUGAUUCUUGUGUUGGUUAGAUAUAUAUUAUCACGUUGUUUUGGCCUCUUGAUGACAGGACAAAUAUUUUUGGUUUCAGCAUUGUCCUUGUUUUAUUAUUAAUCUGGUACUGGGUAUGAUGUUGAAAACUGUCUGAUGAUGAUCAAACUAAAUACUUUUGUUCUUCUGAUGUGGUAUCUCAUAUUCUCAUGGCGCUGUGCGGAAGGAAUCUGGAGACCUGAAUUGAGGAGACAAGUCAUUUUAUAUUAUUUCUGCCCUGAAACAAUGGAUGUGGUUGGUAUCAUGUUUUUUAUGUUGAAAACUUUCUGAUGAUGAUUAAUCUAAAUACUUUUGUUCUUCUGAUAUGCUAUUUCAUAGUGCUGUGCGGAGGCAAUUUGGAGACCUGAACUGAGGAAAUACUUCAUUUCUCGCCCAAAACAAGCAUUAUUUUAUUUAUUAAAAAUUCUACGACUGGUGAAUGGAAAUGAAUUGAGUGACCAUCUUUUUAUUUGGCCGGCUUGGGCCGCAGCACCUGAGCGGAAAACCUUAGAUAAAUCCCCACCUCCUAUUUUCUUUGUGUAUAAAUCCCCACCAACGAUGCCUACAAUUUCCAAGCUGCAACCGCUCUUCCACUCAACCUGCAUAUGCAUCGCUCGUCUUAUUCUUGAUGAAUCUCGAUUUUGUUCGUUUCUUGGUUGUUCAUUUCAAUGGUUGAUGAGAGGUUGUAGUGGUGAUGACAAAUUUGUGGACUAGAGUUUCUGAUGCCGCCUCUUCAGCAGCAUCUGCAGACAACCCCUUGGCUGUCUGAGCUCCUAGAUCUCAUCCCAUCGAAUUUAUCUGUUCUUCCAUUUCUUUGUUUUGAUUGAUGGGCGUUCAUUACCAAUUCCUGAGGAUGAUUUGUGUUCCUCGUGGCACGCGAUUCUUUGAUGUGUAGUAUGUCCUGAUUGGUGGUGUCCUCUGUGCCAGCUUAUCCUGGAAACGCCACAUACUUUACGUCCUCAUUUCUUUUCCUUCUGCUUUUCUUUGUCUUUUGGCUCUAAAUGUUUUGAAUUUGAUUUUUUAUAUUUAUUUUUUGUACUUAUCUAUUGUUAUGUAUGUGGAUGAUGAGAUCACAAGUAAAAAUACAGUUAUCCCUGUCUUACUCCUUGGAAGGGUGCUGAGAAUACUUUCAAUCUGAUAUGAUACCGGUGUUGCUGCAAGAAGGAUAUGAUUUUCGUGAACAUAUUGUUUUUCUUUUGAUUUGGCUGGGAUAGCGAGGAUGAAGAAGAAAAUCAUUUGGAUUCCCAUUGACUUGUAAAACAUGAGAUCUCUAACCAGCUACUUCUGACUCAUCAUACAAUCUGCCAACUGGUUGAUUCAGUCGUUUAUUUCUUAUUGUUUUAGCGGUGCUUGUUUGUGUUUUUCAUGGAGCCAGUGAUCUUAUCAAAAUAUUUGCUACUUGGUAGAGGCUAGGGUUCUAUCAGGUCUCGGACGUAGGUUGUAGGGGUGGAAGUACGGGCUGCGAGGUUGGGGACGACGGCGUCGGCGGUUGGGCGCCGUCGCGGCGUGAGAGAGAGAGAGGUGGCUAGGGUUUGGGGCUCUCGUCUUCUGAGGGAGACGACAACAAAAUAUACUGUUUAUUGUCUGCUUAAUAUCGAAGGGGUACAUUUGUUUAUAUAGGAGGACAGCCUCUCCUAAACCCUAGAUAACUUGGACUCUAAUAUAACUUGGACUCUAAGAUAGGUAAGAUAACUUUGGCUAAGCCCGUAAUUAACCCUGCCCAAUGGGCCUCCUCCGUUGGUACGUUGUACCGGUCAUAACAUCUCUCCCCGCCUUCUCAAACAGCUCGUCCUUGAGCUAAACAUCUGGAAACUGCUGGCGGAAAUCGUCGAGCUUCUCCCAAGUUGCUUCCUCCUUUGGCAGGCCGGUCCAUUGUACCAAGACAUGCCAGAAGCCGCGACGCUGUUGUGCCUGUAGCACAUUCGCCACCUGUGCGGAAGUUGGAAGGAGGCGGCCAUCCGAAGUAGGAGGAAGGGCCGGUGUCGUUGCAGGAGGGUCCUCGCGGUAGGCCUUCAAUAAGCUGACAUGGAAGACGUCGUGGAGGCGAGAACCAGCUGGCAGCUCGAAGCGGUAUGCAAGUGUGCCGACACGCUCUAGCACACGAAAGGGACCGGCGUAGCGAGGUCCCAAUUUGUGCUUGGAGCGCGGGUCCAGAUACUGCGUGGUCCUGUGGAGGAGGCGCAGCCACACCCAAUCGCCCCCUGCGAACUCCGCCUCGUGAUGAUGAGCAUCGCAGUACUUCCGAGCCAGUUGCUGUGCUUGGAGAAGACGCUGGCGUGCCUCAGCGAGAAUGUCGUCGCGGGUGCGGAGUAAGUCGCCCGCCGUCUCGGAUCGAGCCGUCCCAGGCUCGUAAGGGAGCAUCGUCGGAGGUGGGCGCCCGUAGACCACCUCGAAAGGCGUGGUGCGCAGGGCGGAGUGAUAGGAGGUGUUGUAGUAGUACUUUGUCCAUGCCAACCAGUCCACCCAAGCUCGUGGACGAUCACCAGUAACACAACACAUGUACAUGGCGAUCACCUUGUUGCUUGUUGACCACCUUGGAUUGGCCCUCUGUCUGAGGGUGGAACGCCGUGCUCAUGUGGAGCUUCAUGCCCGCCAGUCGAAAGAGAUCCUGCCAGACAUGUCCCGUGAACACGGGAUCACGAUCGUUGACGAUGGACGACGGAAAAUCGUGGAGGCAGACGAUGCCGUCGAAGAAGGCCCGCGCCACGGAGGCGGCUGUAUAUGGAUGACCCAGGGCGAUGAAGUGCGCGUACUUGGAGAAGCGGUCAACCACCGUGAGGAUGACGGACUUGCCGCUCACCUUGGGAAGGCCCUCGAUGAAGUCCAUGGAAAUAUUCGCCCACACCUGGGAGGGUACGUCCAGCGGCUGCAGUAGACCCGUGGGUCGUAGUGUCUCCGUCUUGUUCCGCUGGCACGUCACGCACGACCGCACCCAGUCACGGACCAUCGCGCAAUUACCGGGGAUGUAAAAAUCAGCACGGAGACGAUGGAGAGUCUUCUACACACCCUUGUGCCCUGCAGAGUGCGCCAAGGUCAGGACUUGGUGGCGCAGGUCGCCAUGGUCAGGCACGAAGAUGCGGCGGCCAUGUAGGAGUAGCCCCUCGUCCAAGCGCCAGGGCGUGUCCAGCUCGUCGGUGUCAAGGCGCUGGCGCAGGCCCCGGGCGUCCACGGCCGUCGAAGUUGCCCGGCGAAUGUCGUUGAUGAAGGCGAAAGAUGGCCCGGAGCGAAUGCACAUGAUACGGCCGGGGCGGUACUCAACAGUGAAGUCGAAGCCAAAGAGCUUGUUGAUCCACUGGUGUUGCGGAACUGCGGAGAGGCGCUGGUCCAUCAAGAACUUGAGGCUGUAGUGGUUUGUGCGCACACGGAAUGACCNNNNNNNNNNNNNNNNNNNNNNNNNNNNNNNNNNNNNNNNNNNNNNNNNNNNNNNNNNNNNNNNNNNNNNNNNNNNNNNNNNNNNNNNNNNNNNNNNNNNNNNNNNNNNNNNNNNNNNNNNNNNNNNNNNNNNNNNNNNNNNNNNNNNNNNNNNNNNNNNNNNNNNNNNNNNNNNNNNNNNNNNNNNNNNGGCCGCGAGCUUGUGAUGGAGAGCGGCGAAGGGGCGGCUGAAGAAGGCGAGCGGUCCCUCGCCCUGGUGAAGGACGGCGCCGAAGCCGAUGCCAGAAGCGUCGCAGUCCACGAUGAACGGCAUAUCAAAGUCCGGCAUCUGGAGGACGGGUCCCGUCGUGAGCGCCCGCUGGAGAGCCUUGANNNNNNNNNNNNNNNNNNNNNNNNNNNNNNNNNNNNNNNNNNNNNNNNNNNNNNNNNNNNNNNNNNNNNNNNNNNNNNNNNNNNNNNNNNNNNNNNNNNNNNNNNNNNNNNNNNNNNNNNNNNNNNNNNNNNNNNNNNNNNNNNNNNNNNNNNNNNNNNNNNNNNNNNNNNNNNNNNNNNNNNNNNNNNNNNNNNNNNNNNNNNNGAUGAGGCUGAAGUCCCGGAUGUACUUCCGGUAGUAGCCGGCGAGGCCCAAGAAGCCGCGGAGCGCCCGCGGUGACCGCGGGAUCGGCGACGACGACGACCUUGUCCGCGUCCAUCACUACCCCAUCCGCCGAGAUGACGUGCGCCAGGUACGCGACGGAGGUCGUGCCGAACGAGCACUUCGAGCGCUUGAGGUGAAGACGAUGCGCUCGAAGCUCGUUGAAGAUGAUGGCCACAUGUUGUAGAUGCUCCGCCCAAGAUGCACUGUAGAUGAGAAUGUCAUCAAAGAAAACAAGCACAAAGCGGCGCAAGUAUGGGCUGAGCACGUCGUUCAUCAGGGCCUGGAAGGUCGCCGGCGCGUUGGAGAGGCCGAACGGCAUCACCAGGAACUCGAAGUGGAAUGCCGUGCUCAUGCGGAGCUUCACGCGCCGCCAGUCGAAAGAGAUCCCGCCAGACAUGUCCCGUGAACACGGGAUCACGAUCGCUGACGAUGGACGACGGAAAAUCGUGGAGGCAGACGAUGCCGUCGAAGAAGGCCCGCGCCACGGAGGCGGCUGUAUAUGGAUGACCCAGGGUGAUGAAGUGCGCGUACUUGGAGAAGCGGUCAACCACCGUGAGGAUGACGGACUUGCUGCUCACCUUGGGAAGGCCCNNNNNNNNNNNNNNNNNNNNNNNNNNNNNNNNNNNNNNNNNNNNNNNNNNNNNNNNNNNNNNNNNNNNNNNNNNNNNNNNNNNNNNNNNNNNNNNNNNNNNNNNNNNNNNNNNNNNNNNNNNNNNNNNNNNNNNNNNNNNNNNNNNNNNNNNNNNNNNNNNNNNNNNNNNNNNNNNNNNNNNNNNNNNNNNNNNNNNNNNNNNNNNNNNNNNNNNNNNNNNNNNNNNUCACGCACGACCGCACCCAAUUACGGACCAUCGCGCCAUUACCGGGGAUGUAAAAAUCAGCACGGAGACGAUGGAGAGUCUUCUGCACACCCUUGUGCCCUGCAGAGUGCGCCAAGGUCAGGACCUGGUGGCGCAGGCCGCCAUGGUCGGGCACGAAGAUGCGGCGGCNNNNNNNNNNNNNNNNNNNNNNNNNNNNNNNNNNNNNNNNNNNNNNNNNNNNNNNNNNNNNNNNNNNNNNNNNNNNNNNNNNNNNNNNNNNNNNNNNNNNNNNNNNNNNNNNNNNNNNNNNNNNNNNNNNNNNNNNNNNNNNNNNNNNNNNNNNNNNNNNNNNNNNNNNNNNNNNNNNNNNNNNNNNNNNAAGGCGCUGGCGCAGGCCCUCGGCGUCCACAGCCGUCGAAGUUGCCCAGCGAAUGUCGUUGAUGAAGGCGAAAGAUGGCCCAGAGCGAAUGCACAUGAUACGAUCGGGGCGGUACUCAACAGUGAAGUCGAAGCCAAAGAGCUUGUUGAUCCACUGGUGUUGCGGAACUGUGGAGAGGCGCUGGUCCAGCAAGAACUUGAGGCUGUAGUGGUCCGUGCGCACACGGAAUGACCNNNNNNNNNNNNNNNNNNNNNNNNNNNNNNNNNNNNNNNNNNNNNNNNNNNNNNNNNNNNNNNNNNNNNNNNNNNNNNNNNNNNNNNNNNNNNNNNNNNNNNNNNNNNNNNNNNNNNNNNNNNNNNNNNNNNNNNNNNNNNNNNNNNNNNNNNNNNNNNNNNNNNNNNNNNNNNNNNNNNNNNNNNNNNNNNNNNNNNNNNNNGGCCGCGAGCUUGUGAUGGCGAGCGGCGAAGGGGCGGCUGAAGAAGGCGAGCGGUCCCUCGCGCUGGUGAAGGACGACGCCGAAGCCGAUGCCAGAAGCAUCGCAGUCCACGAUGAAUGGCAUAUCAAAGUCCGACAUCUGGAGGACGGGUCCCGUCGUGAGUGCCCGCUGGAGAGCCUUGANNNNNNNNNNNNNNNNNNNNNNNNNNNNNNNNNNNNNNNNNNNNNNNNNNNNNNNNNNNNNNNNNNNNNNNNNNNNNNNNNNNNNNNNNNNNNNNNNNNNNNNNNNNNNNNNNNNNNNNNNNNNNNNNNNNNNNNNNNNNNNNNNNNNNNNNNNNNNNNNNNNNNNNNNNNNNNNNNNGAUGAGGCUGAAGUCCCGGUUGUACUUCCGGUAGUAGCCGGCGAGGCCCAAGAAGCCGCGGAGCGCCCGCGGUGACCGUGGGAUCGGCGAUGACGACGACCUUGUCCGCGUCCAUCACUACCCCGUCCGCCGAGAUGACGUGCCCCAGGUACGCGACGGAGGUCGUGCCGAACGAGCACUUCGAGCGCUUGAGGUGAAGACGAUGCGCUCGAAGCUCGUUGAAGAUGAUGGCCACAUGUUGUAGAUGCUCUGCCCAAGAUGCACUGUAGAUGAGAAUGUCAUCAAAGAAAACAAGCACAAAGCGGCGCAAGUAUGGGCUGAGCAUGUCGUUCAUCAGGGCCUGGAAGGUCGCCGGCGCGUUGGAGAGGCCGAACGGCAUCACCAGGAACUCGAAGUGGCCAUGGUGAGUGCGGAACGUCGUCUUCUCGAUGUCGUCAGGGUGCAUGCGCACCUGAUGGUAGACCGAGCGAAAGUCGAGCUUGGUGAAGAAGCGCGCACCUCGUCCAAGAGCUCAUCCACGACGGGGAUGGGGAACUUGUCCUUGGACGUCAGGGCGUUGAGGGUGCGGUAGUCGAUGCAGAAGCGCCAUGUGCCGUCGGACUUGCGCACAAGGAGCACCGGGGCGGAGAACGGCGAUGUCGAAAUCCGGAUGAUGCCCUGCGCGAGCAUGACCGCCACCUGACGCUCGAGCUCGUCUUUCUGUAGCUGAGGGUACCGGUACGGAUGCACGGCUACAGGUGCCGUGUCCGGCAGCAGGUGGAUGCGGUGGUCACAGGGCCGCACGGGAAGGAGGCCCUGUGGCUCGUCGAAGAUGUCGUUGUGCUGCUGCAGGAGGUCGGCCAGGAGGGGAUGUGCCUCGUCCAGUGCGGACGCCAUCAACUGGAGCUGUGGAGUCACGGCGCCGGAGCCGUCGAUGCUUGUCCACUGAACGCGACGGCCACCCUCGCGCUAGAAGAUGAGGGACAGCACAUCGAGGUCCCAAAGGAUGGGGCUGAGAGUGGACAGGAAGUCGAUGCCGAGGAUGAAGUCGUAGCAGCCCAGGUCGAUGCCGACGCAGUCGAUGGAGAACGGCUCGUCGCCGAUGAGGACGGGAACCUGCCGCGCCACCCCCUGGCAAGCAAGGUGGUCCCCGUUGGCGACGGUGACGCUGAACUUCUCCGAGCCCGUGGUUGGAGUGCGAGGCGGCGCAUGGCGUCCCCGGACAGGAAGUUGUGCGUCGAACCCGUGUCCACGAGCGCGGUGAGACGCUCCCCGUUGAUCGUCACUGGAAGCAGCAUCGUCUUUGCCGUCUUGAUGCCAGCCAUGGCAUGAAGGGAGACGACGAAGGCGGUCGCGUCGACCGGCCCGUAGGUCGUGACGCCGGCCUCGGAGAGUGUGGUGGCGUCGAGCUCCGCGGUGAGGGCCUCCACCUCCGCGUCGUCGACUGUCUCCAAGUAGAACAGGCGGGCGCACGUAUGACCCGGCGCAUACGGCUCGUCGCAGUUGAAGCACAGGCCCUUGCGGCGCCGCUCGAGCUGCUCGGCCGACGUCAAGCACCGGAAGGUGCGUGUCGGCGCGGGGGCAGGCGCAGUAGCGGCCGGCAGGGCGGGACGUGUCGGGGUGGUGGCCGUCGGGGCGGGGCGGGUCGGGGGACGCGUGCCGCGGCCCGGGAACGCCUGCUGCAGGGCGUUGGCGCGCUGCUCGUACGCGCGUGCGUAAUACAUGGCCGUCUGCAGGUCUUGGGGUCGCGCAUCUCGACGUCGAUGCGGAUGUGGUCGGGAAGGCCACCGACGAAGAGCUCGGCGCGUUGGCGAGCCGUGACGUUAGGCGCAUGGCAGGCCAACGUCUGGAAGCGGUCGGCGAAGUCCUGCACCGAGGUGGUGAAGGGAAGGCGACCGAGCUCGGCCAAGCGACUCCCACGUAUGGGGGGCCGAACUGGAGGAGACACAGGUCGCGAAAGCGCUCCCACGAAGGCAUCCCGCCCUCGUCCUGCUCGAGGGCGUAGUACCAAGUCUGGGCGGCGCCACGGAGGUGGUAGGAGGCGAUCCACGUGGUCGGACGCCAUGGUCCGCUGCCCCUGAAAAACUGGUCGCACUGAUUGAGCCAGUUCAGGGGGUCGACGGUGCCGUCGUAGGUGGCGAACUCCAGCUUGGUGAAGCGGGGUGGCUGCUGCACGUGUGGCGAGGCCGCGUAGGUGCCCUCGUGACGACCCAACGCGGCGGAAGGAGAGUGCUGCGGCACCACGGAGCUCCCGGCGUACGGAUCGGUGUGCCCGCCGAACCCCCCGAAGGUGGGGGCGGGUGGCUGCAACACCGUCGGCUGUAGUGGCGUCGUCGUGUAGGUCGGCGUGUCAAUCCACGUCGGUAGCGGGGACGGCGACGGCGGCCACCGGACCUGGGUGAUCGACAGGCCCUGGGGCACGACAGUCGCCGGGGGCGGUGGCGCGAAGGGCGCCGCCGGCGGAGCGGUGGUGGCGGGGUUGCGUACGGAGCCUAUAGGAAAGUCCGGAGGUUCGAGACCGCCAGGUUGAGGUCGCGGAUCGCCGAGGACAUCUCCGCCGGGGAGAGGACGGGGGCGGGUUCGGCCGCCAGGGCCGCGGGACCGGAGGCGGCCGGACCUGAGGUGGCCGCCGGCGGCGAGUGGUGCGGCGGCGGCGGCUGCUGCUGUGAGGUGGCGGGGAAGGCAAUGGUGGCGGCGGUGGUGGUGGUGGGAAGGUCGGACAAACUCAUCGAACCCAAGCUACCUGAUACCAAAUUGGUAGAGGCUAGGGUUCUACCAGGUCUUGGACGUAGGUUGUAGGGGUGGAAGUGCGGGCUGCGAGGUUGGGGACGCCGGCGGUUGGCCGUCGUCGCGGCGUGAGAGAGAGAGAGAGAGAGAGGUGGCUAGGGUUUGGGGCUCUCGUCUCUUGAGGGAGACGACAACAGAAUAUACUAUUUAUUUUCUGCUUAAUAUCGAAGGGGUACAUGUGUUUAUAUAGGAGGACAACCUCCACUAAACCCUAUAUAACUUGGACUCUAAUAUAACUUGGACUUUAAGAUAGGUAAGAUAACUUAGGCUAAGCCCGUAAUUAACCCUGCCCAUUGGGCCCCCUCCGUUGAUACGUUGUACCGGUCAUAACACUACUCUUGAUGGGGCAAUGACCCCAUUUGAUGAUCACAACCACCAAGAUCUUUGAGGCCCUGCAAAUCAUCUUUUAUAUUUUUGAUGAUUCUCUGUAUCUCCAAAUGAAAAGUCCUCAGAUGCACCAAUUCUGAAGGGUGGCAACUCAGCUGCUUUGUGCUUCCCUGUGCAGCGGUUGGCGCUUGCCUUGUAGUGACCUGCUUCAUAUUCGGUUCAGUAAACACGAGAGUGUAAUAUUGUUUCAGGCCAAAUAAGCUUUGAGAGCUCGGAGUGUUUCUUUACAUAUAUUGUUGCCUGGAGUUGAAUAUUCAAAUGUCAGAUUUUUAGCCAUGGCUGAUCAAGAACAAGAAAAUCAGAUAUUUGACACUUUUAAUACCGGGACUGGCUUCAUAAAAAUGCCAGCCAGUUCGUGUACACUUUGAUUACCAUGUCAUUAUUUCUUUUUUCAUAUUAUUUCUUUUUUAUUUACAUUUUCUGACUCCAGAAAGGACAAAAAGGAUAAGGAUACCCCUGAUGCUCUAUUCAGUAUUCACCAAUCGGAUCAACACUUUUAGCGAACGUGUUUUGUGGUGUGCACCGAGAAGACCGUGCUUGCUGCAUCCCUGAUCGCGCCUUGACUUCUUGAGUCAAUCGAUGAACUCACUUACGUUUUGACGCUGUCGAUUUCCUCGAUGUCGCGUGCCACCAAUCUCCUCGGCGUCCCGUCGCCGGUCGCCCAGCACCGUGGGCAGCACGAGGGUGACCUGCGCUGGAUGCUUGCACGAGGGUGACCUGCGCCUGCGAGGGAAGACAUGGAGAGAGCGGCAGUGAUGAGGGUGAGUUGAAGCGGCGCCCGCAGGGGACAGGCGUGGGUAACUAGGGCGAGGAGUUCGGGUAACUCGCGUAGGUAUUGUUAAUGUUGUAAUUGAAAAGCAGAGAUGUAAUGAAAAUCACUGUUCACUUUAUUCUUGAUGAUGAACUUUAUAUGACAGGGAAAGACAGUUCCCGCAUAUGUCGGUUCCCGCAUCAUGCGUGCGGUUACAAAUAGGGAUUAACUUAAUUAAUUACAUAAUUAAUUAAACUCUAACACUCCCCCUAAUCUCUACUUGUCCUUGAACGUGUUCAUCAUCUUGUAAUAAUCUCCUCCAAAAACCCUGUGGGAAAAUAAGAAGAAAAUGAUACCGCAUAUAAUGGUUAUUGCCUCCGUUAACUCCAUAUGAAAUGCAUCCAUAGAAUAAGAGGACAAUAAACAUGUCGUAUAUACUUUUCCUAAAAACCCCGGUGGGGAAAACAGAUAGUAUGACAUGUGUUCUUAUGUUGAUAUUACCUCAUUAAAAACCUUGAUGAGAACCUCUAGAGUAAACUCAUAGAAAAAGAGUGUAAUAUGAGGCUUUGAACAGGAACAGUUCCCCCUGACUCUUGCAAAUCUCGGAGCCGUCGCAUACCAAUUCCAUGAAGGUAUUUCUGGAAUGUUGAAGCUGGUAGAGACUUUGUGAAAAGAUCAGCGAGAUUAUCACAUGACUUGACUUGCAAGAUGUUGAUUUCACCACUUUUCUGGAGUUCAUGGGGAUAAAACAACUUUGGGGCAAUAUGCUUAGUGAUAUUGCUCUUUAUGUAUCAUGUUUGCAUCUGUGCAACACAAGCCCCAUUAUCUUCAUAGAUAAUGGUAGGUGAUUCGAUAGAACCAAUUCCACAUGACUGUUGUAUGUGGUUUAUCAUUCUGCGAAGCCACGUGCAUUCACGUGGUGCCUCAUAUAAAGCAAUUAUUUCAGAAUGAUUGGUAGAUGUUGCAACUAGGGUCUGUUUCGAAGACUUCCAUGAUAUAGCAGUUCCACCAUGUAGGAAUACAAAACCGGUCUGCGAUCUGGCAUUAUGGGGAUCAGAUAAAUAGCCAGCAUGUGUAUAUCCAAUUAUACUAGAGUCCAGUUUUUCCUGGAAUUGAAAGUAUAGACCAAAAUCCUUUGUGCCUUGGAGAUAUCGAAAGACAUUCUUGACUCCCGACCAAUGGCGUUUGGUAGGAGCAGCGCUGUGUCUAGCAAGUAGAUUUACUGCAAAUGCAAUAUCGGGUCUUGUGCAAUUUGCAAGAUACAUCAGCGCUCCAAUAGCACUGAGAUAUGGAACCUCAGGUCCCAAAAUCUCUUCACCAUCAUCCCUUGGUCUGAACGGAUCUUUCUCUACGUCUAGAGAUCUAACCACCAUGGGUGUUUUAGAUGGGUAGGAUUUGUCCAUAUUGAAUUUCUCCAAUAUUUUCUGGAUAUAGGCAGCUUGGUGUACCAUUAUUCCUGAGGUAAGAUGCUCGAGUUGGAGACCCAAGAAAAAUUUGGUUUGACCCAAAUCCUUCAUCUCAAAUUCCAUCUUUAGGUGAUUGCGUGCUUUAUCAAUAUCUGGUGCGUUGCCGAUGAUGUUGAGAUCAUCAACAUACACAGAAAUGAUGCAAAAUCCUGUAGAGGACUUCUUGAUGAAGACACAUGGGCAAUCAUCACUAUUGGAGUAACCUUUCUGAAGAAGGAACUCACUUAGUCGGUUGUACCACAUCCUCCCCGACUGUUUUAAGCCAUACAAUGACUUAUUCAGCUUUACACAAUAUAUGUUGCGUUUUGCAUUGUUACUCGGGACAGAGAUACCGUCAGGAACCUUCAUAUAUAUGUCCGAAUCUAGUGACCCGUAAAGAUAUGCGGUCACGACGUCCAUCAACUGCAUGGAUAGACGAUUUUGUACUGCCAUUGAUAUAAGAUAUCGGAAAGUUGUUCCACUCAUUACUGGAGAGUAUGUCUCAUUGAAAUCAAUGCCGGGUUUCUGCGUAAAACCUUGUGCUACGAGCCUUGCUUUAUAUCUCACCACCUCAUUGUUCUCAUUCCGUUUCCGGAGGAAAACCCAUUUGAAUCCCACAGGGAAAACAUUGGGAGGUGUAGGUAUUGCUUUAGUGAAUACCUUCCUUUUGUUAAGCGAGGCAAUUUCUGCUUGGAUUGCAGCCUUCCAUUUAGGCUAGUCGGAGCGCCUUUGGCACUCGACAAUAGACUUUGGAUCAUGAUCAGUGAUAAGGAUAUCUGCAAUCUUUUCAGCAAAAUAUAUGUCGACAGUCGUAUACUUGCGGUCAAAUGAUUCUCCAGAAUCAACAUAGUUGAUGGAAAUUUCUUGCACCCCUAGAGACUCUUCGUUAUUUCCCAAUACGAUUGAGUCUAGGUGUUCCGAUGUUCCAGCUAGUUUGUGCACACUGGAGCUGGGUUGUGAAGGUUGGCCUUCUACUGGAUGAAAACUACCCAUAAGGUGUUCAUCAACGUUGAGUUGACUUGCAUUUACUGAUUUUGAGGAUUUUCUCCUCUCUCUCCUUUGCUGCUUGCAAGAAGCAGGUUCCGGGUCAGCGGCCGUACUACUCCCCCUCUUUUUAGGAACAAGGAGUUGAGUGGUUUUAGUUGGUACCUCCACUCGUUCGUGCGCAUUCCUGGCUGGAAUAAAGGAUUUUGUAACACCUUUUAGAUCAGUAAAUGAAUCUGGCAGAUUAUUUGCAAGAUGUUGCAAAUUAAUAAUUUUCCGAACUUGUAGUUCAGUCUCAUGAGUACGUGGAUCAGAGGUUGAAAUGGCAAUGGCAUUCCAAUCAAUUUCCGGGCAUUCUUUCUGGUACUUGAAAUCUCCCCCUAAUGCCGGAAAAUGCUCCUCGUCAAAAAUGCAAUCAGCGUGACGGGCUGUGAAUAGAUCCCCAGUAAGAGGUUCUAGGUACUUGAUAAUCGACGGUGAUUUGUACCCCACAUAGAUCCCAAGUUUCCUGUGUGGGCCCAUGGAUGUCCGCUGUGGUGGUGAGAUUGGGACGUACGUAGCACAUCCGAACUUACGCAAAUGGGAAAUGCUGGGAGGAUUUCCACGUACCAAUUGCAGAGGGGAAGUACUGUGAUAUGCAGUAGGUCGCAAUUGGAUUAAGUCAGCAGCGUGUAAAAUUGCAUGACCCCAACACGAAGUUGGCAAGCUGCAAUUCAUUAACAAAGGUCUUGCAAUGAGUUUGAUCCUUUUAAUUAGAGAUUCAGCCAAACCAUUUUGAGUAUGGACGUAUGGGACAGAGUGCUGAACUUCUAUCCCCAAGGCCAUGCAAUAGUCAUUGAAAGCACGUGAGGAGAAUUCUGCAGCAUUGUCCAUGCGAAUUGAUUUAAUCCGAUUUUCUGGAUAAUGGGCCUGUAACUUAAUUACUUCCCGCAUUAUCUUGGCAAAUGCAUGGUUUCGUGUGGAUAGAAGGCACACGUGUGACCAUCGUGUAGAUGCGUCAAUCAGAACCAUGAAAUACCGAAAUGGUCUAGAUAAUGGUUGGAUUGGACCACAAAUGUCACCUUGAAUGCGUUCAAGGAACUGAAGCGGUUCAGCUUGUAUUUUAAGGUGUGAUGGCCUCAAAAUUAGUUUCCCUGUGGCGCAGGAUGUGCACACAAAGUCUGAUGACUGAGGAAACUUUGACUCAAGCAAAUUAUGACCAAUGGAAUUGCUAGUAAUUUUCCUCAUCUUCCCAACACUAGGGUAACCAAGGCGAUCAUGCCAAGUUUGGAAUGCAUUAACAUUCUGAAAAAUUACCUUGUAAGCAACAUGUUCUACGGGCUUGAUGUACGUAUAGUAUAGUCCGGACGAUAGUGAAGGAAUUCUUUCAAGUACUUGCUUGCCAUAUCCGUAAUCUUUUGUGAAGAAUAGAAACUCUUCUUUGUUGUCCUGAUGAGUUUCAAUGUGAAGACCAUUUUUACGGAUAUCUCGAAAACUGAUGAGGGUACGAGAUGAAUCGGGAUACAGCAAGGCAUCCUCAAUUGUCACCUGUGUACCACCUGGGAGGGUAAAUAUGGCACGUCCAGUGUCAACAAUUACCGUAUCGCGUCCAGCGAUUGUCAAAAUAUCUCCAUUCAUCUUUUUCAGAGUCUGAAAAUAUUUCAACUCCCUCAGAAUGGAGUUUGUGGUAGCACUGUCCACAAGGCAUAAUUCCUCUUCUAUCGGAUUGUCCCCGUAGAAAGCUAUAUAUAAAAUGAGGAAUUUUCAAUAAGAAAACCUUAUUUCAAUACAUAGAAUACAAUCUAAUUAUAUCAAAAUGCUGAUACAAUAUAUAAAUGACAACAAUACGUAUGUUCUAUUACAAUCAUCACACAUGGAUAUGAUUUAUUUAAUAAAUCGAUCACUAAGGAGAUAAUGGGACUAAUCAAAGUCUCUAAACAUGUCGGUUGAGGCGUACUCAACCAUCACGUUCUCCGUGUCUAUAGGAUCCUCUCAUGUAAGGAGUGUCAUGGUGUUGCUAGAUCCGGGAGGAAUUUCUUGCGAACCACCAGCUCCAUUGGUGCCAUCUGGAUGAAGGUUGAAGUUGGCUUCAAACCUUUUCCCAUGAGGUACUUUGCGUCCCUUAGAUUGCUGAUACAGAAUUCGGGGUCUUGCACUUAUUGGUAGGAUGUGUGUAGCAUCCACACUUGUCACAAAGCUUAGUUUUAUCAAACUUGGGCUUUGCGGUGCCUUUCCCACGGUCCGAGUUUCCAAGCUUUCUGUUCCGAUUGCGCUUGCGUUUACCCUUGAAGUUCGAUGGCUUGCCAUGGGACGCACCAUCAAACUUUCGUUUGUUCACGACGUUCAUAUGAACUUCAGGCAAAGGUUGGGAACCAACCGGACGCUGAGAACCAUUCUUAGCAAGUAGUUCAUCAUGCUUUUCAGCCUGAAGUAGGAUAUGAAUGAGGUCGGAAUAGACCUGGUAGUCACGAGCGCGGUACUGUUGCUGGAGGACCCUUUCAGAUGGGAGCAUAGUAGACAGAGUUUUUUCUAUCUUUUCCGCAUCAGUAGGUUCCUUCCCGCAAAAGCGUAAUUUGGAACUUAUCUUAUGAACCUCGUGAUUGUAUGUCCCGAUGGAUUUGAAAUCCUGGAGUCGGAUAUGCGUCCAAUCAUGGAGUGCUUCCGGCAGGACAACUGCCUUUUGCUGUUCAUACCUCGUCUUGAGGGCCUGAAACAGUGUAAGUGGGGAUUCCUCCUCCAAAUAUUCAGAUUUGAGAUCUGGGUGGAUAUGGUGCCUUAUGAUGUAUAAGGCGGCAUAUUUCUGUUCAUCUCUCAACGGCGUGACUCCAUCCGGAAGAGGAUCUUCCGGAGUUUGGAUUGCACGCACUAAUCCACGGGAUGCAAGAGCGAUCUUGAUGUCCAUGGCCCAGGUAGGAUAGUUGUGGCCAUUGAGGUCGAGUACAUCGAACUCUCUUCCAGCCAUUAGUUACCUACAUGGGUAAACCAGAGAUUAUUGAUUUACACCGUGGUAAAUAAAAAUCUUCAUGGUUACGUUGUAUUUAAUGUCGCAAAAUUAAUGAUAACUUCAAGAAAUGGGCUUGAGAUCAUUAGUGUGACUUUCAAAUUGUUAAGUUUGACACGUUGUAGAUACGCCCCAAAAUAAGAUUCGGGGUCCAUCUCUCAGAACUAGAGAGUAUAAUCUGAUAAAAAACAGUAGAUACUCAUGUUUCUAGUACCUUAUGUCAUAACUUAAUAAAAUGUAUGGGAGGGCACAAUAUUAAGCAAUCAUCAUAUCAAUAUGAUAGAAUGUAGGCUUAACCAUAGUGGCGAUAAUCUGCUAUGCAGUAGAUCAACUCACUAUUGUGUGGUCCCAAAACAUCAAUUUGAAGGAAAAACACUUUGAAAUUUUGCAUAUCAACCCGUGCUUGUAUUAAGCCAAAGGCUCAAUUAAGACGAGGGGUUGAUUUUUAUUUGCAAGAAAUUUGAAAUCUCAAUUACAAAUAAUAGAGGUAAUAAAUCUCAACAUGUAGCAAACAUGGAAAUAUAUAUUACAUCACAUAUGUUCUAGAAUACAAAGUACUCUACAGAAAACAGUACUGGAAAUAGACGUACUGAAAACAGGAAUUAAACAGGAUCUAAGACAGGGAUUAGUCUACUGCUAGAUCUACUGUUGAUAGUACAGGAAGUAAUCUAAAACAGAGAGCAAAUAGUACUAGAAAAUACUACUAAAGUGUGCUGGAGUGUUGCAAGACCACAUGUGCCAUCGAACCAAGACCACAUGUGUCCCAAGGAUGUGCACAUGUCGUCUGCAGCGCCCACUUUAUUUAAAUCACGGGAGGAUAAGGCAGAGCCAGCUCUAGAAAAGCAGAAGCGGCACCGCAUCAGGCAGAGCCCCGCGCCAGGGAGAGCUCCGCGCAGCAGCACACAUUCACCAGGGACGGGCGAGAGAGCCUCCGCCGCGCUCGUCCUCGUCUUCGUCGGAAGGCCCGCCCGGGGGCAAGGAGCCAGGUGCAGCGCCAUUCGCUAGCCCCAGUGCGGCCGGGCUCCAGGAGCCAGCGCGCGGGGCGUGGCUGCUCGACGGAGAGCCCGCCGCCGCGAGGCCGUAGGGCAUCAGCCGGCGGCGCGUCGGAGGGGUCGCCGGCGUCGGGGACGGCAGGCGCGGGCGCGGGGGCGUAGCCGGCGCUGUGGGCGCGAUGGAGUCGGCGGCCGCCGCGCAGGAGAAACUGCGGGCAGCGUAGGCAAAACCGGNGGCGCAGAAGCGGCGGCCCCGGUCGGCGCGAGCGCGAGCGCGGGCGCGGAGGCGGCGGCCCCAGUCGACGCGAGCGUGGGCGCGGAGGCGCCGAACGCAAAGAAGAGAGCAGGGGCUCCGGCCUGCGCGGGGAAACCGCCGCCCAUCUCGGCAACCACCGGGGUCGGAGACGGGAGGCGCGGCGCGACGGGGUCUUCAGCGGCGGCGCUGGUGGAUCCCCACUCGAAGACGGGUCCAUGCACCUGCUCGAGGGAGUCGGUGUCAUCCCCAUGGAGUGGGCAGAUAACCCACCCAUGGGCAGGACACCAGAAGCCCGGCGAGGAGCCGAGCAUCUGCGGGGCAGGGCCGGCGAGGAGCCAGUCGAUGGACUCACGUGCGAGCGGGGCGCGGGGCUCGGCGCCAACAGCCGGAUUUGCACCGCUCAGAGAGCGGGUGCCCAGGCCGUGACGGAGCGCUCUUGUAGCCACCGGCGCCGUGGCGGCGGCCGAUGUAGCGACCCGCUCCAUGGCGUCUUCCAUCGAAGCGGCGGCGCUCUCCGAAACUGCGGCGGAGAACAGCAAGGCGGCGACGACGGACGUCGUUCUGCAGCACGCGACGAAGGUGCGUCGGCAUUGAACGAGGCAUCCUACCUUUCUUCUUCCUGUCUAUCUCUUCUCGUCGAAGGCGCUCUCGAAGAAGCAGUGCUGAUAACGUGUUGUAAUUGAAAAGAGAGAGAUGUAAUGAAAACCACUGUUCACUUUAUUCCUNNNNNNNNNNNNNNNNNNNNNNNNNNNNNNNNNNNNNNNNNNNNNNNNNNNNNNNNNNNNNNNNNNNNNNNNNNNNNNNNNNNNNNNNNNNNNNNNNNNNNNNNNNNNNNNNNNNNNNNNNNNNNNNNNNNNNNNNCUUUAUAUGACAGGGAAAGGCGGUUCCCGCAUAUGUCGGUUCCCGCAUCGUGCGUGCGGUUCCCGCAUCGUGCGUGCGGUUCCCGCAUCGUGCGUGCGGUUACAAGUAGGGAUUAACUUAAUUAAUUACAUAAUUAAUUAAACUCUAACAGUUAAGGUUUAUAUUACACUUAGGGAAUCUACUUUUCCGUUCUCAACCGACGCCUCUGCCGCUCGUCCUGGAACCGACGUCUCUUCACAGAGCGUCACGUCUGUCCGGGCAAUAUAUAAUCUCUGUAAAAAGUAACGAUUGAUUAAAGAAUCUGUUUUGAUUCUAAACAUGUUAUUAGCACCUAGUUUCUACCAAAAGAGCAACAGAGAAGAGGAAAAUCUUUUGCCGCUGGUGAGAUGUCGCCACUCACCUCCUUUUUCCUCCGCCUGAUCCGCGAGGACGCUCGCCGUUACCGCCUUGUUGCCCUUCGUCGCCAUGGGGUUGGAGGCCAGCGUCAAUUCCGGCGCCGAAUGCAAGCUAUUCGCCAUUUCAACCGUCCUGCCGCUGGACGUGGCACCCGUCGCGGCCCCCAUGCCGAUGGAAGUAACCAUCACGACGCUGGACGCGGCCACCGCGCCGCUGGUCGCACCGCUGGAUGCGGCCUCCAUGUCGCUCCCGAGGCCCCUGAACGCGGCCCUGCGCCGCCCCCUGGAUCUCCACCACCUCCCCCUCCUCUGCCCGAGGCAUGGCUCCCGUCGUGGACGCCAACGCUUGAUGCCGCGGCCGCCUGGCUACGCCCCGGUGCCCAUGCACUCCGAGGUGAAUGCCAAGGAGGCUCUCGUCUUCAUCUCUGCAGGGACGGAGGGCGUCGACAUGACCGCCCCGCCUCAGCAGGAUAUGGCCGUGGAUCCGGGCAGCAGCGAGGAACUGUUAAAGUUUAAUUAAACAUGUGUUAAUUAUGGGGUAAUCUCCCCUUCUAACUGCCAUCUCUCCCGAACAGAUGUCUCUUCAUUGCAUCUCUUUUCCUUGUAUAUAUAUCCAGAAUCAUCUAAUGAAAGGGAGAAAGAAUUCAUUUUCAAACACGUUAUCAGCACGCUCCCGGCGGAGCGAUUCCAUCGAUGCGGUGUUCUCGGCUACUGCAUGAAAAGAGAGUUCGACGGCCACAACCCUCGACAAGGCGUGGUGGCGCCCACUAACUCGGCGGCCCUCAGCGUGCCGGAAGCGUUUCCAAUCCAAGACGGCAGCCUCGCACCGUGGAGUGCAACAGCACAAAUCCUCGAUCUCUAAUUGUUUCUUCAAGAGCGGUUCCUUGCAGGAAAUGAACGAAGAAUUAAGAACAAGGGCAUCGGCAUCCAUCGACUCUAAAUUAUUUUAGAGAACGUGAAUCAAGAAAAAGGUAAGAUGCCUAACUUAAUUACCAUUGUCGAUGGACUCGUGGUGGCGCUCGUCGCCAUCUUGCCAUCAAGGACGACGACAUCUAUUUCAUCUGGCCUUUGGUCGUGAUGCGUCCACCGACGCAUAGCGCGCACUGUCUGCGGUCCUCGGCCUGGUCUCCUCUGGCCUCUGCACCGACCCGCUCCAGCGUGGAACAAGAUGGCGGUGGUCAACAGCCGGCGACACGCCUUGUUGAAAUUUGGAGGUGGGCUUUACGUCCAUUAGAGAAUUUCAGAAAAUCUCCAAGGGCCCAUGUAGGUGGUGGCAUGACAAGGUGGUAGGAGUUUAGUCCCACCCCGCUAGUGGAGGAGAGUUUGGACCCCUUUAUAAGGGUCUCUCUUCCACAUGCUAUUGGAGAGUGAGAAGAGAAGGUGCCCUCGCGCACUCCUCCUCCGCCGCCCGCCUCGCCACGCCUCGUCAUGACGCGCCGCGCCGCGGGAAUGAGCCGAGCUCAUACCUACGCGCUUAUUUUUGACUCGGACGUGGGUUCGGCCCACGUCUCUCCACCCAGCCGCCUUGCGAUCGCCUACCCUAGCCGUCCUUGAACUGCUGCCGCCGGCGACUCCGUCCCGUUUGCCGCGUACACGGUCGACGGGAGAGCAGGCCUCCGAAACCUCGCCUCUCUGGUUCCUGUACGGGAGAGGGGCGAUUAGGUUUNNNNNNNNNNNNNNNNNNNNNNNNNNNNNNNNNNNNNNNNNNNNNNNNNNNNNNNNNNNNNNNNNNNNNNNNNNNNNNNNNNNNNNNNNNNNNNNNNNNNNNNNNNNNNNNNNNNNNNNNNNNNNNNNNNNNNNNNNNNNNNNNNNNNNNNNNNNNNNNNNNNNNNNNNNNNNNNNNNNNNNNNNNNNNNNNNNCAUCAUCGCCAUGUCUUCAACAAGCGAAGCUAAUCGUCUCCGCGAGAACGCCGAAGCCGAGAAGAAGGCGGCAGAGGAUACUGCCGCCGCCGCUGCUGCUGCUACGGCCAACUGGCUGAUCAGAGGGUAUGAUAUGUUUAUCUCUCUCAUGUUUCUGUCUGCACUAGUAAUACUGCCUAUAUGCGUAGAUGUUUCUGCUAUAUGUGUAGUACUUGCUAGUAUACUCCGUGAUCAGUAUGUCGUGAACCUAGUCAAUGCCAUGUUAGUAAUUAUUUCAUGGAUUAAUCUACUCGGAAAAUUGCCUAUUUACUCAACAAUCCAAAAACCUAAUUUCUGUAGGAAUUUUUCGAGUAAUGGUUUUGCUGCUGCACUAAAACCGGAUAAGUUUACCGGUACUUUUUUCAAGCGUUGGCAAACGAGAACCACCUUAUGGCUCACGGCUAUGAACGUGUUCUGGGUAGCCGGUGUCACUCCUACGGAAACUAUCACUCCUGAACAGGAGAAGAUGUUUAAGGAGGCCACCGUCCUAUUCCUUGGAGCAGUCAUUAGCGUGAUCGGAGAUAAGCUGGUUGAUGCAUAUUUACAUAUGCAUGUUGCCAAGGACUUGUGGGAGGCACUCGAAUCUAAAUUCGGGGCCACCGAUGCUGGGAGUGAGAUGUAUGUUAUGGAGCAGUUCCACGAUUACAAGAUGGUUGACAACCGUUCUGUAUUGGAACAAGCUCAUGAGAUAAUAUGCAUAGCUAAGGAACUUGAGGUUCUUAAAUGCAAUUUGCCGGGCAAGUUUGUCGCGGGCUGUAUAAUUGCUAAGCUCCCUAAUUCCUGGAGGAGCUUUGCUACUACUCUGAAACAUCAGAGGCGUGAGUUCUCAGUAGAGGACAUCAUCGGCCAUCUGAGUGUUGAGCAGAACUCGAGAGCAAAGGACUCCAAUGGAAAAGCAGUGGAAAGCUCUUCUGCUGCCAAUAUGGUACAUCAGAGGAACUUCGAUUCUCACAAGCCCAAGGGAAAGAAUUCUGUCCAACAGAAUACCGACUUCAAGAAGAAGGGAAAGAAGCCCUUCAAGAAGAAUAAGAAGGGAGAUGGCUGCUAUACUUGUGGUUCAGAGGAACAUUGGACGAACAAAUGCCCAAACAAAUACAAGAAGCCGGCGCAGGACUCCAAGUCUGCAAACAUGAUUGUGGGCAACAAUGAAAGUGGUGCAUCUGGGUACGGUAAUUUACUUACUGUAUUUACAGUUUGUCAGUCCACCGAUUGGUGGGUGGACACGGGUGCAAAUAUUCAUGUGUGUGCUGACUUAUCAUUGUUCUCUUCUUAUCAGACCACCGGUCGCGGGUCCGUAUUGAUGGGGAAUGGCGCGAGUGCUUCUGUUCUUGGUGUUGGCACGGUCAAUCUGAAGUUUACUUCGGGAAGGAUCGUGCAGCUGAAGAACGUGCAGCAUGUCCCCGCCAUCAAGAAGAAUCUCGUUAGUGGCUCCCUUCUGUGUAGAGAAGGGUUUAAGUUGGUGUUCGAGUCUAAUAAAGUAGUAGUUACGAAAUAUGGACUUUUCGUUGGAAAAGGUUAUGAAUGCAGAGGUCUGUUCCGCCUUUCCCUAGAAGAUUUUUGUAAUAAAGUCGUGAACAAUAUUCAUUCCAGUGUUAAUGAAUCUGAAGUUUGGCAUUCACGUCUUUGUCACAUAAGUUUUGGUGUUAUGUCGCGGCUAGCAAAACUGAAUUUAAUCCCAACUUUCACUUUAGCCAAAGGUUCUAAGUGCCAUUCGUGUCUGCAAGCAAAGCAACGUCGCAAGCCUCACAAGGCUGCAGAGGAGAGACAUUUGGCACCAUUAGAACUCAUACAUUCUGAUCUUUGUGAGAUGAAUGGUGUGUUGACUAAAGGUGGAAAGAAAUACUUCAUGACAUUGAUUGAUGAUUCCACUAGAUUUUGCUAUGUGUAUCUGUUAAAUACUAAAGAUGAGGCUCUACACUACUUUAAAAUCUAUAAGGCAGAAGUUGAGAAUCAACUUGAAAAGAAAAUUAAACGAGUCCGGUCUGAUCGUGGUGGAGAGUACUUCUCAAACGAAUUUGAUUCAUUUUGUGCGGAACACGGCAUUAUUCAUGAGAGGACGCCUCCCUAUUCACCCCAGUCAAACGGGGUUGCCGAGCGGAAAAACCGUACUCUAACUGAUUUGGUAAACGCCAUGUUAGAUACAUCGGGUUUAUCCAAGGCAUGGUGGGGGGAGCCUAUAUUGACCGUGUGUCAUGUCCUGAAUAAAGUUCCUACAAAAGAUAAUGAGGUCACUCCCUACGAGGAGUGGUCGAAGAGAAGGACGAUGCUCUCAUACUUACGUACUUGGGGCUGCUUGGCGAAAGUCAAUGUACCGAUCCCCAAGAAGCGUAAGCUUGGACCAAAGACUGUGGACUGCGUUAAUUUGGGAUACGCUAAGAAUAGCGUAGGCUAUAGAUUUCUAGUAGUGAAAUCUGAGGUACCUGACGUGAAGGUCGGUACAAUAAUGGAGUCGAGGGAUGCUACAUUCUUUGAGGAUAUAUUUCUCAUGAGAGAUAUGCAAAGCACUUCUAGACAGGAAUCUGAGAUAACUCCUGAGCCUGCCAUUCCUAUGGAAUACUAUGAACAAACACAUGAUGAAAAUCCUGAGGAGGAUGACGAGGAAGCCCGUGGUAGGGGCAAGAGACAAAGGACUGCAAAGACCUUUGGUGAUGAUUUCUUCGUAUACCUCGUGGAUGAUAAUCCCACUUCUAUUUCAGAAGCGUAUGCUUCUCCAGAUGCUGAUUACUGGAAAGCUGCGGUCCGUAGCGAGAUGGAUUCCAUCAUGGCUAACGGGACAUGGGAAAUCACUGAUCGUCCCUAUGGUUGCAAACCAUUGGGAUGCAACUGGGUGUUCAAAAAGAAGCUUAGGCCCGAUGGUACGAUUGAAAAGUACAAGGCUAGGCUUGUGGCCAAGGGCUAUGCCCAGAAAGAAGAGGAAGAUUUCUUCGAUACUUAUUCACCUGUGGCUAGACUGACCACCAUUAGAGUACUACUCUCAUUGGCGGCCUCUCAUGGUCUUCUCGUUCAUCAAAUGGACGUUAAGACGGCUUUCCUGAAUGGAGAGCUAAAUGAGGAAAUCUAUAUGCAACAGCCAGAUGGCUUUGUGAUAGAAGGUCAGGAAGGAAAGGUGUGUAAGUUGCUGAAAUAUUUAUAUGGUAUGAGACAAGCACCUAAGCAAUGGCAUGAGAAGUUUAAUACAACUCUGACAUCUGUUGGCUUCGUUGUUAAUGAAGCUGACAAAUGUGUAUACUAUCGCCAUGGUGGGGGCGAAGGAGUUAUAUUGUGCUUGUAUGUUGAUGACAUACUGAUAUUUGGAACCAACCUCAAAGUAAUUGAGGAGGUUAACUCUUUUCUGUCUCAAAACUUUGAGAUGAAGGACCUUGGGGUGGCUGAUGUUAUCUUGAACAUCAAGCUGUUGAGAGAUGAUCAGGGUGGGAUUACACUUCUGCAAUCCCACUAUGUUGAUAAGAUUUUGAGUCGCUUUGGAUAUUCAGACUGCAAAAUUUGUCAAACACCUUAUGAUCCUAGUGUGCUUAUUCUAAAGUUUAAAGGCACAGCUAUAGAUCAAUUGAGAUUCUCUCAAAUUAUCGGUUCACUUAUGUACCUAGCUAGCGCAACGAGGCCUGACAUCGCGUUUGCUGUGAGCAAACUUAGCCGGUUUGUUGCAAACCCGGGCGAUGUUCAUUGGCGUGCUGUUGAAAGAAUAAUGCGCUACAUGAAAGGUACUGUCAACCACGGGCUUCACUAUACGGGAUUCCCAUCGGUACUUGAAGGGUAUAGUGAUGCGAAUUGGAUCUCUGAUGCUGAUGAGAUGAAGGCCACUACUGGGUAUAUGUUUACUCUUGGGGGUGGUGCUGUUUCCUGGAAGUCUUGCAAGCAAACGAUCUUAACAAGAUCGACAAUGGAAGCAGAAUUAACAGCAUUAGACACAUCUGGUGUCGAAGCAGAAUUUCUUCGAGAUCUUUUGAUGGACUUACCUGUGGUUGAGAAGCCGGUUCCGGCUAUCCUUAUGAACUGCGAUAAUCAGACGGUUAUUGUUAAAGUGAAGAGUUCAAAGGACAAUAUGAAGUCCAACAAACAUAUAAGAAUGAGAUUGAAGUCUGUCAGACGUUUGAGAAACUCCGGAGUGAUAGCGUUGGAUUAUAUCCAAACGGCUAAGAAUCUGGCAGAUCCCUUUACUAAAGGGCUAUCACGUGUUGUGAUAGAUAGUGCAUCGAGGGAGAUGGGUAUGAGACCCACAUGAGUUGCCAUGGUAGUAACCCAACCUAUAUGAUCGGAGAUCCCGUGAAGUAGGACCUGGGAAAACAAGCCAGUGGUGAACUGAGGAGAGUAACUUUACUAACCCACUCCGUUGGAGAUGCAAUACUCUCGGAUACUGUAUGGUAGGAUGACUACUAUCUUAAUGUGUUCUAAAGCUUAUAUGUAAGCAAGAUGAUGUCCUACAGAGCGAUCUUUGGAGGAACACACCUAUAUGAGCUUGACUGCUGGUCACAUUCUAUGAGAUUUGGGUGAUCUCUAGUAAACUCAUGAAUAGGCCAGGAGUGUGACUAAUAUGCUCCACCCGAGGGGUCACCUUCGGCAGUCUAGUACUAGUAAGACUUGUGGUGAAGCUCCUUUACGCCAAACUGACAAUUCAAGGCAUAGUCCAUUGUUCAGUUGUAAAGGGGUGUAGCUACUUGCUCUAGGUGAAGCUCAACCUUAACAGGUCUUCACUGAAAUGCUGGUAUAUUAAAACAGUGAUUGGAACGAGGGAACACGAUGUGCCCUUGAGAUCUGGUGGGGGAUUGUUGAAAUUUGGAGGUGGGCUUUAGGCCCAUUAGAGAAUUUCAGAAAAUCUCCAAGGGCCCAUGUAGGUGGUGGCAUGACAAGGUGGUGGGACUUUAGUCCCACCCCGCUAGUGGAGGAGAGUUUGGACCCCUUUAUAAGGGUCUCUCUUCCACAUGCUAUUGGAGAGUGAGAAGAGAAGGUGCCCUCGCGCACUCCUCCUCCGCCGCCCGCCUCGCCACGCCACGCCUCGCCUCGCCUCGCCUCGCCUCGCCUCGUCACGACGCGCCGCGCCGCAGGAAUGAGCCGAGCCGAGCUCAUACCUACGCGCUUAUUUUUGCCGGUCAGGAACGGUUCCUGUACGAGAGAGGGGCGAUUAGGUUUNNNNNNNNNNNNNNNNNNNNNNNNNNNNNNNNNNNNNNNNNNNNNNNNNNNNNNNNNNNNNNNNNNNNNNNNNNNNNNNNNNNNNNNNNNNNNNNNNNNNNNNNNNNNNNNNNNNNNNNNNNNNNNNNNNNNNNNNNNNNNNNNNNNNNNNNNNNNNNNNNNNNNNNNNNNNNNNNNNNNNNNNNNNNNNNNNNNNNNNNNCAUCAUCGCCAUGUCUUCACCGAGCGAAGCUAAUCGUCUCCGCGAGAACGCCGAAGCCGAGAAGAAGGCGGCAGAGGAUACUGCCGCCGCUGCUACGGCCAACUGGCCGAUCGGAGGGUAUGAUAUGUUUAUCUCUCUCAUGUUUCUGUCUGCACUAGUAAUACUGCCUAUAUGCGUAGAUGUUUCUGCUAUAUGUGUAGUACUUGCUAGUAUACUCCGUGAUCAGUAUGUCGUGAACCUAGUCAAUGCCAUGUUAGUAAUUAUUUCAUGGAUUAAUCUACUCGGAAAAUUGCCUAUUUACUCAACAUGCCUUGCCGGCACUCGGCUAGUCCAUCACGAGAGCCUGUCUCUUGGCCACCGCGCCAUGGCCUCCCCGCCCCCAAGCCCGCGUCAGGCCGGGGCCGUGCUCCACCCGGCUGCGUCGCCUCCUGUGUCCAGCACGUGGUCGCCGGGCCGUCACCCGGCCGCGCCAGGCCGUGGCCGGCCCUGCCCGUCCUGACCCACCCGCGCGUCGGCCGCUCCCGCGGUGACGCCUCCUCCCGUAGAGGCAGUAGCCAACGAUGUGGUUGCGAGGCCGGCUACUGAUGCUCGGUUAGCCGCAGGCAUCAGGCCUCUCAUGCUCUGUGCCCAUGCGAUGGAUAGAAUCAAUCGAUUUCGUAUCCACAGACCACACCGACGAAGAGAUAGCAAACCUGGACUUAUCUCUUCUCGGUUUUGUAUUUCAGGCCUAGUUGUUUUGCGUAUUUACGGAUUGGGCGCCGUCGUUUGUUCUCUAAGUCUUUUGACUUAGUUCAGUAUGCGGAGUAAUCCUCGACUUAUAUGUAUUUCACAUUCAAGUCUCUGUAAAUUACAAAUCAAUGGUCAGGUCGUUUGUACAAUGUAAAUAUUUUGUACAAAAACAUGACAUUUGCGAUUGAGGAUAAGUUUUCUCGCACAACAAUAUUGAUUUGCGACUGAGAAUUUUCUUUUCUUGCAACACAAUCUCAUUGCGAUUGAGAUUAUUUUAUUUUUCUCGCAAAAUAUUAAUUCACUUUGCUGAAUUAUCUUGCAACUUGAUACAAGAUCAUCUCACUUAAUUUGAGUUCUAUACAAUUCAAGUUUUUCACUUGAACAUCAAGUUUACAACAUCAUUACUAUUCAUUACAAUAGUAGUGUAUUUCUGUUGAGUACGAUGUAUUCCGAAAUGUAUGCAUCUCCAUGUUCGCUACAUGUCGAGAUUAAUACGUUUAUUUGCAAUUGAGAUUUUAAAUUUCUUGCAAAUACAGAUGCAAAAUUCAAAGUGAUUUUCUUUAAAUUGAUGUAUUGAGAUCACAAUGUAGUCAUAUGGAUAUGUUGCCUCAGAUUAUCGAUGACUACUGAUAAAGCCUACAUUUUAUCGUUUCAACAUUAUGAUUGCUUUACAAAGUGCUCUCCCACACAUUUUACUAAGUCAUGACAUAAGGCAUUACAAGUGAGUAUCUACUGAUUUCAUCAGAUUAUACUUCCUAGUGCUGUGAGAUCUACUCCAUCUUGAAGAUUAUGUUCAAGGUGUCAUACUUAGCAAUUUGAGAUUCACACUAAUGGUUUCAAGAUAACUUCUUAAAAUACACAUUAAUUUUGCUAAGUUUGUUACAACAUCAACCAUGAUGGUCUUUAAUUUACUGACUGUAAAUUAAUUAUCUAUGGUUUACCCAUAUCGGUAAAAUAUGGCUAUAGAAUUUGAGGCACUCGCCCACAAUGGCCACCAUUGCCCUCUCUGGGCCAUGGGCAUCAUGAUUGCUCUUGUCUCUCGUGGGAUAAAGUGUGCAAUCCUCAUCUGUGGUCAUGAUCACACCGCUAACAGAAAAAUGGUGUCUUAUAUAUCAUAAGCCAUUAGAUUCAGAUCUCAGCAUCUGGUUAUUCUGUAUUAGCAAUUCCUGGGAUACAAUGAACUCAAGGGCAAAGGUUUGAAGCCCACUUCAACCUUCAACCCGACAUCACCACUGAUGACGGAAUCCUAUGGACAUGGAGAAUGACAUGUUUAACCGACAUGUUUGGAGACUAUGAGUAGUCUCUCAAUCUCUUGAGUGGUCAAUAUUUAUUUAUGUCCAUUUAUGAUGUUGUAUUAGCACCAUAAGUAUUGUUGUCAUCAUAUAUUGUAUCAACAUUUGGUACAAAUACGUUUAUAUGUAUUAUAUAUAUCUCACAAUGAUUUUCAUAUUGAGAAUCUUCAUGUCUAUAUAUAGAUUUCUACGGGAGUCAAUCCAAUGAAAGAUGAUAUGUUCCUUGUGGACAUAUGCACCACAAACUCUAUACUCAGGGAAGUCCAAUGUUUCCACUCUCACUGAGAGAAAUGAGAUAUUUAAAAAUCGCUAGACGCGAUGAGGAAUUUGUUGGCUCAAAUCGAGUCAUAUUUACUAUCCCUCUGGGUACUUGAGUAAUGUGAGGAUGCUUUAUUGCUCCUGAUUUAACUCGUACCCUACUAAACUAUAGAGGUAUCCGUCAAAAGAGUUUCCAUUGCGAAACUUAUGAUGACAUCAAAGAGAAAUGACUUCUCUUUACCAUAUGCAACGAAUAUGACAAGCACAUUAUGUAUGUAUCAUCUGGAUUGUACCACACAUACUACAAAAUCCGUAGGACAUGUUGCGCCCAAAAUAGUUUUCCAUAAUGUCUUGUACAUGACAAACUUGGCAUAUUCGCCUUGGUCAUCCAGACAUUGGGCUAAAACCGAAACUAUCAGCAAUUCCAUUGGUUUAUGAUUAUUAUGAUGCUAAAUUCUAACAAUAUUUGGAUUUUAUGUGCACUACAUGUGACACGAGGAAACUAAUUUUAAGGCUUGCGCACCUUAAAGUCUACGUUGAACCACUUAGACUCCUUGAAUACAUCAAGUUGAGGUAAGUGACUCUUCCCAUCCAUUGACUAGACUAUUCAGGUGUUUCAUGGUUCUAAAGGACAUAUCUACAUGAUGGUCUUGAGUGUGUGCUUUACUCACACAAAACCAUUGGCUCAUUAUCCUGACAUCGAUUUCACGCAAAUCGAAUGGAUAACAUUGCAGAAUUCUCCUUGAGUGUCUUCUCUAUGGCCCUUGAAUUGAAGUUUAGCAAUUUGUCUGUCUAGACUCAAAAUGAUUUGGUAGAAUCCUAUAUCCAAAGAAUUAAGCUCAUUACAUGAUCUUUAUUUUGAAAUAGCAACUUACCAACUUGACGUUGGAGUCAUGCAGUUUUACACGCUCAUGGCAGAACUGCAUAAUAUUAUUCCCCUCUAUCUUUGAUACGUGGAAAUCUACCAAGUAUUUCCCAUCUGCGGUAAUUCGGUUGCAUACCGACAUCACCACCCGGCAUACAUCAUUGGCCCCUCAACAUAUAGUUGGGACUAUGUGAGGAAUAACUGUAUUUCCGUUGAUACAUCAAGCCCCUCACAUGGGGAGUUAUUCAAGGCCAGUAUGUUGAUUCAGUGAGGAAUAUUUCCAGGCAUUAGGGCGAGAAUUCAAGUACCGUGAAAAUGCCAGGAAAUUAGUGGAAUGUUCAACACAUUUCUGCCUCAAAUCCACGUACUCAAAGAUAUGAACCAUGCAUUCAGAAGGUUUGCAACACAUUGCAAAUAACCUGCCAGAUUCAUUUACUGACUAUAAAGGUGUCACGCAAUCCUACAAUCCUGCAAAAAUACAUUGGAAAGAGUGGAGGUACCAACUAAAACCACUCAACUCCCCGUUCAAAGCACCAGGGGAAAAGUAUGAUGAUGGUAUAUCAGGAUUCAGCUUCUUGCAAGCAAGGAUAUCAAGGCCUGUGAAUCAGUAAAUGCAAGUCAAGUUCACGUUGACAGAUACCUAAUGGGUAGUAUAUACCCAGUGGAUGGGAAACCUCCACAAACCUAUGUCAUAGUGCACACAAUGACCGGGACAUUGGAAUACCUGACUCAACCGCAUUGGGAAAUCGCGAGUAGUCACCAUGAGUAACGAUAUUUCCAUCAAACUAUAUCGCGAGUAGUCACCAGAAGUCUACAAUUGUCGACAUACAUUUCUCAAUUAGAUUGCAAAACCUUUCACAUGAUUCAGGUCCAAAGACCAUGGCCAUGGCAAAGUGUGAACAACACUCAGACUGAGCUCAAACAAAGGGUAUAAUCUAGGUAGAAAUAAUCUUGCUCAAUAAUGGGAAGGUAUUCAUAAGCAAUACCUACACCAGUUUUCUUCUGGAAACAGAAUUGAGAACAAGGUGGUGAAACAUAGAGCAAGUAUUGUAGCACAAGGGUUCACGCAGAUACCCAACUAUUCUCCAUAGGUGGAAUCUCUUUCCGAUAAAUUAUAUCAUUGGCAGUGCAAAAUCAUCUACCUAUGCAGUGGAUAGAUGUAGUGAUCACAUAUCCAUGUGGAUCACUAGAUUCAGACAUAUAUGAUGGAUUCCCGAUGGAAUCUCACUUCUGAAUCGAAAUGCAAAAUGCAACAUACAUUGUGUAAAAAUCAGUAAGUCACCAUACGACUUAUUGUUGUCGGUACAUAUGGUACAACCGACAUAGUGAGUUCCUUAUACACAAGGAUUACUCCUACAAUGAUGAUUAUCCAUGUUUGUGUGUCUGCAAUGACGACACAUGUAAUCAUCUAAAUGACGGAGUUUAAAAUGAAGGAUUUUGGUAAACCAGAAUACCGCUCAUUACUACAGCUUGAUCACCUUCAUUCAUACAUUGUGGUAUAUUAUGUUGUCUAUUUCCAAAAUAUAUUAGAGAAAUUCAUUAUGGACAAAUCUUAUCCAUCCUUAUUCUCAUGGUAGUUCAUUCUCUAGAUGUAGAGAAAGAUCUAUUUAUACCAAGAGGCGAUGGAAAUGAGAUAUUGGGACUCAACGUUCUAUAAUGCCAUUGGAUCCACCAAAUGCAAUUGGUUGGGACUCAAGAAUAUCUAUCGAUAUCUCCAAGGGCAUCAAACAUCUUGUCCUCGUUCUUCAAGUUUCAGAGAAAUCUGAAUAUCAAUACCAUUGGAUACAUUGAUUAGAUCCCCGCUAUGUCAGAUCAUAGACAAGCUUAGUAUUCCCACUAGGUGUGGUAGCCUUCUCGUGAAGAGUCUUCAAAAUAGACCUCAUGGCUAAUCCACCAACCAUUAUCUCAACGAUAAUGUUUCUUGUGUUGUCCGGAUGCAAAUAGGUUAUGUAAUAAGCAACAUCGCUAUAUUGCAUAUCUUGCAAAUCAAAUCAUGUGACCGAUUUUCUCACGAAGUUUGUACCAAUUUUUACAUUCCAGAAAUAUGUUCAUGAAAUUGGUAUGUGACAGCUUCAAAAUUUGCAAGAAUCAAGGGGAGUAUCUUCCCAAAUUAUUCAUGUUCAACGCAUCAUAUUAUACUCUUUUUUCCUUCAUGAGUUUACUAUACAGGUUCUCAUAAAGGUUUUUAAUGAGGUAAUAUCAACAUGAGAUCAUGUCAUACUUUAUGUUUUCCCCACCAGGGUUUUUAGGAAAGUAUAUACGACAUAUUUAUUGUCCUCUAAAUUCUAUGUGUUUCUCAUAUUGAGUCAUUUUCUCCUUAUUUUUUCCACCGGGUUUGAAGGAGUUUUAUCAACAUAUCAAACACUUUUCUCCUCAUAUUUUUCCACAGGGUUUUUGGAGGAGUUUCUAUCAAGAUGAUGAUGCUCACGAAAUACAAGCCGUGAUUAGUGAUGAUGCUCACGAACAACAUACAAUUACUUUGGUAAACGAUUUUGAUCUUAAAGAGCCUAGUUUUCAAAUCUUUCGUACCAAUGCAUUAUUUGUAAGUUAUUGCAAUGUUUGAAACUUGCACCAAGUCAUGAAAAAAUCUUAAUAAAAGGGUCUGUUAAAUGCAUUUUAAGCCAUCUUGAAGAUUCACAAAAGAAAUUGUCUACGUGUAAACGAAAUCACCCCUAUUUGUUGCAUGCAACUCAACGCUUACAUAGCACUUCUCAUCUUUCUAAUUGUGGUAUUUUUGUUGCACAUCACAGUCGAACGCUAAGCGACAACGCAUAUACGCGUGCCCUUCCCAUGUCCCUCGAUAAAUUCAUUUUAGUUACCAAUUCUUUUGUGUCAUUCUCUCCUUCAUAUUUUUUUUAAAUCUUCCGUUCCUUUUUUAUGCCGACAGGCUAAAUUGUGGUAUUCUUUAUUGUGCCUAUUGAAACCGACCAUCCAUACUUAAUUUAGCAUCACAACAUUCCAUGAAAUCUAAGCCAAAUGUCAGACCACCUUUGUUUUCUUAUUAAGAAGGCCUUUUUCUUUUUAGAGGGUCGGCUUGUUUAUUUUCCACAUAACUUAUGCACAUAUAUGAACUUGGGAAAUCUGAUACAAAAAACGAGAUAGGACUAUUUAUGGGAUAGCGAACCCAAAGUUGAUGCCAGCAUGGUCCAGCACAAUUGGUUACACGCUUCGCAACCAUGGUUGAGGUCUGGGGUUCAAGACCAUAAGAAUCAAUUAUUAUUUUUCCGAUGCAGAAUUUUUUAUCGCACAAUUACCAUGGACUGGCCCCUAAAAGGAAAAUACUCAAUCACACUGGGGCAGAGGGUUGGGCCCAUUGCCCGAGACGUGCGACCGACGACCAACAGAUAAGGCAUCAGAAGAACGAAAGUAUUUAGUUUGAUCAUCAUCAGACAGUUUUCAACAUCAUACCCAGUACCAGAUUAAUAAUAAAACAAGGACAAGGCUGAAUCCAAAUAUAUUUAUCCACUCAUCAAGAGGCCAAAACAAGGUUAUAAUAUAUAUCUAAUCAACACAUGAACCAUACCAACAUAGGUGAUCACAAGGAUCAGUUCUUCCACAUUAAAGAUUUUCAGAAGGGAAGUACCAAGGUGAUUGAUUGUUGGGCUGUAAGAAAAUGCGUUCUAGGCAAAUGCGUCUCCAUCAAGCAAAAGAAUAACCGAUCAAAAGUGAAGAAAGAGGAUCAAGGAAUAGCAGAAGAUCAACUUGGUAGCCCUCAGGGAUUAUGCUUAUGAUUUUCAUCAAGGUAGAAAACUCAGGUCUCAAAGAUGUGCCAUCACUGGACUCACGGAAUCAGACACAAUCGAACCUACUACACUGAAGCUGCUCAGUCUCCUCUUACAACUGUUGGUGAGUCAAUUCAAUGUGACACAUAGAGACUACAGAUCCAAACAAUGGUUGGUUCAGCAAUCAAUAAAUUUCAACACCGGCCAAGAUCUUCUAAACAAUAUUAAAAGAUAUUGUACAUACUAGGAAAAGAUCAGUGCACAUAAAAAGCAAGGGUCCAGUCGAAGUAUUCACAGCACCCAUCCAAGGAAGUAAGACAGGGAUAACUGUAUUUUUACAUGUCAUCUCAUCAUCCACAUACAUACUAAUCAGUUUGAUUUGAAAACAAAUUAAAAAAUUAACAUUUGUUGAACAUACCACAUCUUCAUAUAUCAAACACGAAGGAACUAACAUUAUCGCCAAAAUCAGAUCCCAACAGCAGAAAAAUAAAUAUAUGUCAACAAGAACGCCACCAAUCAAUCAAGAUAUACAAGGAACACAAAUCAUCAUCAGGAAUUCGUAAUGGAUCACUCUGCAGCCAAGUUAGAUUAUCAGUAUGGUUGUCUUACACGCAUCAUGUUAUUGAUCAGCCAUGGCUAAAAAUCUGACAUUUGAAUAUUCAGCUCCAGGCAACAACAUUGCUUCUGUUUCGACAGACUAAUAUGUAAAGAAACACUCCGAGCUCUCAAAGCUUAUUUGGCCUGAAACCAUACUGCCUGCACAAAUCUUAUGUUUCGGAUUUGGCUUUUCUUUCGUACGCAUUCUCGUGUUUCCUGAACCGAAUCUGAAGCAGGUCGGUACAAGGCAAGCCCCAACCGUUGCACAGGGAAGCACAAAGCAGCUGAGUUGCCACCGUUUAGAAUCGGUGCAUCUGAGGACUUUUCAUGUGCAGGUACGGAUAAUCUUCAAAAAUAUAGAAGAUGAUUUGCAGGGCCUCAGAGAUCUUGGUGGUUGUGAUCAUCAAAUGGGGUCGUUGCCCCAUCAAGAGUAGCAAAUAUUUUGAUAACAUCACUGGCUCCAUGAAAAACACGAACAAGUACAACUAAAACAAAAAGAAAUAAACGCCUUAAUCCACCAGAUGGCAGAUUGUAUGUCGAGUCAGAAGUAGCUGGUNNNNNNNNNNNNNNNNNNNNNNNNNNNNNNNNNNNNNNNNNNNNNNNNNNNNNNNNNNNNNNNNNNNNNNNNNNNNNNNNNNNNNNNNNNNNNNNNNNNNNNNNNNNNNNNNNNNNNNNNNNNNNNNNNNNNNNNNNNNNNNNNNNNNNNNNNNNNNNNNNNNNNNNNNNNNNNNNNNNNNNNNNNNNNNUCCUCGCCAUCCAAGCCAACUCAACAGAAAAACAAUAUGUUUACAAAAAUCAAAUAUUCUUCUUGCAGCACUACAUAUAUGGUGUCAGGUUAAAAGUAUUCUCAGCACCCUUCCAAGGAAGUAAGACAGGGAUAACUGUAUUUUACUUGUGAUCUCAUCAUCCACAUUCAUACCAAUCGACUGGAAAAAAAUCAAAUUCGAAACAUUUAGAGCCAAAAGACAAAGAAAGGAAGAGAGAAAUAAGAGAGGACGUCAAGCGAAUGUAUGUGGCGUUUCAAGGAUAAGCUGGCACAGAGGACGCCACCAAUCAGGAUAUACCACACAUGAGAUAAUCGCGUGUAGCGUCCGAGACUAAUUACCGCGAGGAACACAAAUCAUCCUCAGGAAUUGGUAAUGAACGCGCAUCAAUCAAAACAAAGAAGUAGAAGAACAAAUCGAUCUGAUGGGAUGAGAUCUGGGAGCUCAGACAGCCAAGGGUUUGUCUGCAGAUGCUGCUGAAGAGGCGGCAUCAGAAACUCUAGUCCACAAAUUUGUCAUCACCGCUGCGGCCUCUCAUCGACCAUAGAAAUGAACAAGAAACAAACCAAAUUGAGAUUCAUCAAGAAUCAGAAGAGCGAUGCAUAUGCGGGUUGACUGGAUGAGCUGUUGCGGUUUGAAAAUUGUACGCAGUGUUGGUGGGGUUUUAUACAAAAAAAAAAUAGGAGGUGGGGAUUUGUCUAGGGUUUUCCGCUCGGGUGAUGCGCCCCGGCCUGCCAAAUAAAAGAUGGUCACUCAAUUCCAUUUCCAUCCACCAGUCGUUGAAUUUAAAAAAUAAAAUAAUGCUUGUUUUGGGUGAGAAAUGAAUUAUUUCCUCAGUUCAGGCCUCCAAAUUUCCUCCGCACAGUACUAUGAAAGAGCACAUCAGAAGAACGAAAGUAUUUAGAUCAAUCAUCAUCAGAAAGUUUUCAACAUCAGAAAACAUGAGAUAAACAACUAAAUCCAUUAUUUCAGGGCAGAAAUAAUAUAAAAUGAAGUGUCUCCUCAGUUCAGGUCUCCAAAUUCCUUCCGCACAGUGCUAUGAGAUAACACAUCAGAAGAACGAAAGUAUUUAGUUUGAUCAUCAUCAGACAGUUUUCAACAUCAUACCCAGAACCAGAUUAAUAAGAAAACAAGGACAAGGCUGAAACAAAAAAUGUUUGUCCAGUCAUCAAGAGGCAAAAACAAGGUGAUAAUAUAUAUCUAAUAAACACAUGAAUUAUAUCACUUUAUUUUACCAACACAGGUGAUCACGAGGAUCAGUUCUUCCACAUUAAAGAUUUUCAGAAGGACAGUACCAUGGUGAUUGAUUGUUGGGCUGUAAGAAAAUGUGUUCUAGGCAAAUACGUCUCCAUCAAACAAAAGAAUAGUCGACCAAAAGUGAAGAAAGAGAAUCAAGGAAUAGCAGAAGAUCAACUUGGUAGCCCUCAGGGAUUAUGCUUAUGAUUUUCAUCAAGGAAGAAAACUCAGGUCUCAAAGAUGUGCCAUGACUGGACUCACAGAACUGAACUGAAUACAAAAGGGCAAACUAAAAUCAUAAAAGAUAUAAUGAUAAGCAGGAGCAGUUUAGACCACACGACUAGAAGUAGGUGAAUCAACUGAUGAUCCCCAUAAAGUCUAGCCCCUUCGGGAAAUUCGAGCCCCAGAGAAAUAAAACAGAAGGAUCAACUAAACAAGGGGCAGAGUCACAUUAUUCAAAACAAAAAGUAAGUGAUCUUCAACAUAAUUUGCCUCAGAAUUGCAUCAUGACAGCAUGGACGCAUAGCGACCAAUCAGUCCCGAAAGAUGGUAUGAUUUAUCAGGUUUUUCAUCACUGGACAAUCAUAAACAAAAACACAAACCAUCAAGGUUGUUGAAUCUACAUUAUUUUAGGGUUGGACGUUGGAAUAACAUAUUUAACAGAAUGGCACACCAGAGCGGACCAAUCAGUCUGUUCAUGGUGACUAUAAUCAAUAUCAAGGAAAAAUUUAUUACCAAGAGUAUAAGAGCAAAGAGAGAAGGUGUGCAAUAAUCAAGAGGAUAAGAAGCAUGAAGUCACAGGUUCCUAUCAAUGCAUGAAAGCUAAUUCUUGGCCCAAUUAUAGAUACCAUGGUUAAUGCUUGGCUUGUAGGUACCAAAGAAGGACGAUUAGGCCCUGGAUGAGCUGUUGCAGCUUGGAAAUUGGAGGAAGCGUUGGUGGGAAUUUAUAAAAAAAAUACUCCCUCCAUCCCAAAAUAAGUGUCUCAAGCUUAUUACAACUUUGUACUAGAGCUAGUAUAAAGUUAAGACACUUAUUUUGAGACAGAGGGAGUAGGAGGUGAGGAUUUGUUGGGGUUUUCCGCUCGGGUGCUGCGCCAAAUAAAAAGAUGCUUACUCAAAUACAUUUCCAUACACCAGUUGUUGAAAAAAAAAUUAAAAAAAUGUUUGUUUUGGUUGAGAAAUUUAGUAUUUCCUCAGUUCAGGUCUCCAAAUUGCUUCCGCACAGCACUAUGAAAUAGCGCAUCAGAAGAACGAAAGUAUUUAGAUUAAUCAUCAUCAGAAAGUUUUAAACAUCAGAAAACAUGAGAUAAACAACUAAAUCCAUUGUUUCAGGGUGGAAAGAAAUAAAAUGAAGUGUCUCCUCAGUUCAGGUCUCCAAAUUCCUUCCGCACAGCGCCAUGAGAUAACGCAUCAGAAGAACGAAAGUAUUUAGUUUGAUCAUCAUCAGACAGUUUUCAACAUCAUACCCAGUACAAGAUUAAUAAUACAACAAGGACAACAUGUAAAGAAACGAUGCAAGCUCUCAAAGCUUAUUUGGCCAGAAACCAUACUGCCUGCACGAGUCUUAUGUUUCGGAUUUGGCUUUUCUUUCGUAUGCAUUCUCGUGUUUCCUGAACCGAAUCUGAAGCAGGUCAGUACAAUGCAAGCCCCAACCAUUGCACGGGGAAGCACAAAGCAGCUGAGUUGCCACCGUUUAGAAUCGGUGCAUCUGAGGAGUUUUCAUGUGCAGGCACGGAUAAUCUUCAAAAAUAUAGGAGAUGAUUUGCAGGGCCUCAGAGAUCUUGGUGGUUGUGAUCAUCAAAUGGGGUCGUUGCCCCAUCAAGAGUAGCAAAUAUUUUGAUAACAUCACUGGCUCCAUGAAAAACACGAACAAGCACAGCUGAAACAAUAAAAAAAUAAACGACUGCUAUCCACCAGUUGGAGGAUUGUAUGACGAGUCAGAAGUAGCUGGUUAGAGAUCUCAUUUUUUUUACAAAUCAAUGGGAAUCCGAAUGAUUUUCUUCUUCAUCCUCGCCAUCCAAGCCAAACCAAAAGAAAAACAACAUGUCUACGAAAAUCAGAUAUUCUUCUUGCAGCACUACGUGUAUGGUGUCAGAUUAAAAGUAGUGUCAGAUUAAAAGUAUUCUCAGCAUCCUUCCGAGGAAGUAAGACAGGGAUAACUGUAUUUUUACUUGUGAUCUCAUCAUCCACAUCCAUAUCAAUCAAUUGAAAAAAAAAAUCGAAACAUUUUUCAGAUACAAAAGACAAAGAGAAUGUAUGUGGCGUUUCCAGGAUAAAAUGGCACAGAGGAGGCCACCAAUCAGGAUAUACCACACAUCAGAGAUUCGCGUGUAGCGUCCGAGACUAAUUACCGCGAGGAACACAAAUCAUCCUCAGGAAUUGGUAAUGAACGCAGCAUCAAUCAAAAUAAAGAACUGGAUGAACAGACCGAUUCGAUGGGAUGAGAUCUGGGAGCUCAGACAGCCAAGGGGUUGUCUGCAGAUGCUGCUGAAGAGGCGGCAUCAGAAACUCUAGUCCACAAAUUUGUCAUCACCGCUACGACCACCCAUCCACCAUCGAAAUGAAGAACAAGAAACGGAACGAAUCGAGAUUCGUCAAGAAUCAGAAGAGCGAUGCGUAUGCGGGUUGGCUGGAUGAGCUGUUGCGGCUUGAAAAUUGUAGGCGGCGUUGGUGGGGAUUUAUAUAAAAAGAAAAUAGGAGGUGGGGAUUUGUCUAGGGUUUUCCGCUCUUCUUCGCGGGUGCAGAUGGGGUGGGCCGACGCAUGCGCCUGCUGGGC
rnacentral:lncRNA from 1 species